rnacentral:lncRNA from 1 species
UGCAGUGGACUAAGACCAUCAAGGUUUAAUUUCUUCCCCAACAAAGGCUUUAGCCUCAAGAUUUCAAGAGCAAGGCCGGUACGGCCUUCUGAAGCAGCAGUAUGAAGAGGUGACUCCACAAAUGGCAUCUCAUUGGGGACUUCCAAGUAGUGCGGAUUAUUGUGUAUUUCCCUAUACAAAGUAACGAUAUCUGAAUCUUGAACAGUGCUCAUUCUGCAAAAGGGAGAUAAUUUACAAUUGAAAAGUGCUGUGAGUAUUCAAGGUGCGUUGCAAUAUGGCUGCCUUAAAUAAAGAACACAGUAAAGAACUUUUAAUUUUGACUUUUGAGUUGAUGAGUGUUUACAAUUUCACAAUUUUCAAUGAAAUGUCCAUUGCCAGGAUGUCCAAAGAUCCUUCAACUGAGAGUGAAAAAGUAAUUUAGAGUGAAAAAGUAAUUUAGGUUGAAGAGGUUGUCAAAGCAGUUUCCGUGUCGCUAAGAAAAUGCAAACUUUGCAUGAGUCGCGUUCAAGUAAUAAAGUAAACUUUUGAAAUUCAAGUUGUCGAUCCCUCGAGUAAUAUUUAUUUUUUUAUUACAUAAAUUUAAUUAAUUUAAUUCUAACAAUUGAAAGAAAUGCACACAAUUAUCAUUAUGAUUUGAAAAUAAGGAAAAAUAAACUAAAACUCUACAAACUAAGAAAACAUAAACAUUUGGGAAUUUCGGAGGAAACCAUGGCUGGGAUUCAUAAUUUUGCUUAAACAUUGUCUAAUAAUUUCUCCAUAAUCUGAUUAACAAAUUUUUCAAUUACAAUGUUAGACCCGAUUUUUCAAGUUUAACCUACUAUAUCUUUAUGUCGAUUAAAAUCAAACAAUCAUAUUAAAUUUUUGUGAAAAUAGCUCAAUUGCUUAUCUAGAGUUAGGGAUAUAUCUCUUUCCCUUACAAGAUCUUAGGGUUUCUACUAUUUGAUCUAAAAUGUACAAUCUUCUCUCGAAGCAUGUACAAAUCACUAAAUACAAUCAUAUAUUGGCCCUAUAAAUGAAAAUACAGUAGUAACAAUCAUAAAAACACAUGAACAUAAAUAAUUUUUAAUAUUAAAUAGCAAACAUUGAAAUUAAUUAAAGUUAGAUUGAGCUUAAACCAUAAAUCCUAACAUAAAUAAUUAGUCUAUUUUAUACAAAUGAUAAAAAGGAGAAUAUUUAUAAUAAUACAUUACAAGUUUGGCAAAAUAAUUGAGAAAAUAUAAGAUUAUAGAUGAAACCCUUUUAUGGUUGAUUUCUUGAAGAUAAUAGUUGCUUGCUCUUGAUUUUUCCAAAGCUUUUCUAAAUUCUUUAAUGCUCCUCUUUGCGCUAUGGAUUUUGCUCUCAAAAUACAAAGAAAAAUCAAAAGAAAAAGGAACGGAAAAAUUGAAAGGAAAAGAAAAAGAAAAAGGACACCUCUCUUAAGAAAGGACAUUUCUCUUUCCUUUAUGUUUCUUUUUCGACACUUCUCUUAAGAAAGGACAUUUCUCUUUUCCUUCCCUUUUCUUUUUCUUUUUCUCUUUCCUUUCCUUUUUCUUUUGAUUUUUCUUUGUAUUUUGAGAGCAAAUCAAGAGCACAAGGAGGAGCAUUAAAGAAUUUGGAAAAGCUUUGAAAAAAAUCAAGAGCAAACCACUAUUAUCUUCAAGAAAUCAACCAAACAAAUGUUUCAUCUAUAAUUUUGUAUUUUCUCCAUUAUUGUGCUAAACUUGUAAUGUAUUGCUAUAAGUAUUCCCUUUUUUUAUCAUUAUAGAAAAUGGGCUAAUUAUUUAUGUUGAGAUCUAUGGUUCCAGUUUAAUCUAGUUUUCAUUAAUUUUAAUGUUUGCUAUUUAAUAUUAAAAUACUUAUGUUCAUGUAUUUUUAUUAUUGUUAUUAUUGUAUUUUUGUUUAUAUGGCCCAUAGAUGAUUGUAUCAGUGAUUUGUACAUUGCUGUUGAAAAGUGCACGUUGCACAAUCGAAGACCUUUUUUUGUUGAUUUGCAUGUUGGGUGAUCAGAAUAUACUAUAAUUUAGUUUGCAAAUUAUCUUUUCUAGUGAAUCUUUUUGGCAAGGUUAGCCAUAAAUUUUUUUACCCCUGUGAAAGGUUCUUCAAGAAAUUUUCCUUCGUUACCAUAUUUGGUAUUAAUUUUAUUUUUAUGCUUUGAUCUAUAUCGCACGAUUGACAAUUAGGAUUUAAGUGGAUUAUACUAAUUAUCUAGAGAAAAUAAUCAUGACUUUGUUGCUUAUUAUUGUUUGUUAUUUUUAAUUCUGCGUUAUACACUUAUUCUCCUCCUCAAGGUGUUGUUGGGUCUAAACAUCGGGCUGGGCAAAUCUUCCAAACAGAACCGAACCGAACCCAACAGUUCUUGUCAAAUUAAAUACCCGAAUGAGUAUCUGAAUUGAGAAUCGACGGGUACGGUUUGGUUCUCGAUUCUAGACGAAGAACCGAAUAAGAACUUAAUCUUUCUAAUUUUUUUUAUAUUGAAUAAAUCAAAUUGUUUUAAUUUUAAUUUUUUCUAAACAAAUUAACAAUUUCUAAAUCCAAAAUUUUGGCCCAACAAUUUGUUUCAUUUCUAAUUUGUUGCCCAAUUACCCAUUUUAUUGUUUCAUUUCUUAGCCCAACAAAAUCCAACCAACUAAAUAAUCCUAAACACUUACACUAAAGUGCAUAACGUUGUCUUGACUCUCACACUCACUCUCGUAGCCUCACUGACAUUCCAAAACUUAUACAAUCGCCGAUCGAAGCUGUGACCUCCGUCAACCGAAACUAUGAUUGCAACGAUCAUUUGAACAAGGUAGUCUACUAGUCUCUGACAUUUCAAAACCAUGGCAAUUAUUUAGAUAGUUGUAGUUUUAGUAUUAGUAUCUACUUUUUGAUAUUUGUAAAUUGUACGCAUUCUAAAUUAAUCUUGUUGGACAACUUGUUAUUUACAUGUUAUUAAAUUUGACUAUGUUAAUUUAUAAAAUUACAAUUAAAUGUGUCAUUAGUUGUAUUUAUAUAGAGUUGUUAUAAAUAUUAAAAAUUUUAAUUAUAGUACGGAAUCGAACCGAACCGAAUUGAACCAAACGGAAUCGUUCCAUUUGCUAGAUACCCGAAAAUUUUGGUUCGAUUCGGUUCUCUUUAGGACCGAACCGAGCCGACCCGCGCCCACCUCUAGAUACAAGCAUUGUAAUGAAAUAUGGAGAAAUUUUAUCUUGCGGACGAUCUUUGUGGGUUUCACCAAGAGAAAUAAAAAUGCUAUAAGGAAAUAGCUACGCACAUAAAAAUACACAAGAUUUAUAGAGAUUCGUCAUUGCAAUAAUUCACUACGAUAAAAGAAAUCGAAAUUAUAAAUUUGAAAUUCCUAAACUAGUGAAAAAUCUAAUGAUUUGUGUAAUGACUCCGCACAACAACAAUAAUUAGACUCCAUAACUUGAAAAAUUAUUUGGAGGCAUCCCAUCUUCUUGCAUCCCAAAAACAUCAUAAUUCUUCUGUUAAGCAUUCCAUUGUAUACACAGCCUGAAAUUACAGAAGUCCAGGAAACCACAUCUCUGUUGCAAAGUCUAUCCAACAGCCUAAUUGCAGCCCCAAUCAUCCCGGAUUCAGCAUAUGCAUCUAAUAACGAAUUCUGCAAUUAAUCAUCCUCGAUAAGCCCAUAUUUUAUCGUGUAACCAUUAACCAGACAAGCCUGUAAAAACACUGCCAAUGCGAAUUCUUUAGGCUACAGAGUUCCCAACAUCUAUGAAAAAACAAUAUCGAUAGACUCAUCUACCCAUUUGUUCCGGCAAUAACCCGAGAUCACACAAGUUCACUAACACAACAGUUUUGGGAGGCAUAUGCUCAAUUUGUACUAGCAUCUUUUAUCUGGCAACAUUUUACAUACAUGUUUAAAAGAGAGUUGCUGAUAAUCUUCAGCAUCAAGCCCUAACUAGAAUAUUUUGGCAGGGACACAAGAACCCAUAAUUUGGUUUCUGUUCUCAAGUUGUACACAGCAAAAGAAUACAUUUAGGAAGUGUGACAUUCACUGGGAAAGAAAGACAGCAAAAUGAAGUGGUUACUUCAUUUCUCAUCAAUCUCUGAAGAAGGUUUGUGAAUAUUGAAACAAAAGCUCGAGCUGAGAGGACGCAAACAGAAGGAGUGCAUUUUGUGGAGAAUUGGAAGUAGGUUUUCUGCUUAGUAUUCACUCGAGGGGCAGCUCAGAUCAUAAUGAAUACUAAUUAGUUGACCUUGGCACCUAACAGAUGUCCACUCAGAUUAUUAAUUAGUUUUUUCUAGCCAAUUAUACGUUAAUAUUUUUAGCGAGUGGUGAUUUUAUACUUCAACAUCCAAUAGAAUAAGAAAAUUAUUCAAUGACCUUUUUGAACUUUAUCCCAAACUUCAGUGACAUUCUUGAAAUUAAACAUAAAAAUAAAAUAAAAAAAUCUCUCCCUUUGGUUUUUUAUUUUUUAUUUUUUUUUGGCAAUAUAAAGUAAUGAGUAUUAUUAGCUUGUACGUAAGAUGCAAUUCACUUAAGGACCUUAUUCAUCUAUAUAUUUUUUAAAAUCAAAAUGCAACCUCAAGAACGAAAACUAUAUUAGGAAAGGAAAUAACAAAUUAGGGAGAGGGACAAGAUCUCAUCUCCCAUAACAAUGCAUAACAAACGAAUCAUCCACAUCGAUAUUGAAUUUUCCAUGAUGCAAUCAAGAUACUUAGAUUUAAUAAUGUAAUUUAACCAUAAGCUUUAACUGAAAUCUAUUUUCCAUGGCCUAGCUCCCUAUGAAUAACUAAUACACCCUUGCAGAUUAUUAUUAAUGUGACUUGUGAAGUUGUGAAACGUGAGACUAGAAUUGAUGCAGUUCCUUCAUCUUUAUAGAAGUUCGAUCUAUUGCAGUUUCCUUGUUGCAUAUUUACUGGUAAAUACACGAUAUUUCAUCUCAUCAAGGCUGUAGCCAGAGGAUGCGUUUGUAAUUAACCAUUGGUCUUGUAUAAUAUUCCAAGGAAGUAUCAUUAUUACUGGCAGUCCGGUUGACGCUGCCAGCAGAAUGAUGAUAACUACGGCACAGAGUGCCGAUUGUCCGUCCAUAAUUGAAGCUCCAUAGCUGAAGGAAAAGAUGCCAAGAGGAAAGUAGAGAAACGAAAAGAGUUGAUUAAAUUUAAAUGUAAGUAGAGCACAUGUUCCAAUGGUCACACCGAAGGCCAAUGUGUUCAAUACUACAGUAUAUGGAUCUUCAUCAAACUUAGGUAUGGUGUGGAUCACUCUUAUGUCCUCUUUAGAAUGCCUCAUUAUAAUAUGUUAAUUUAAUUUGUCUGUAUUUUUGCCACUAAGCAGGAUAAUAUUUAGUCACAUGUAUUUUUUAACUAUAAUAAAUAAUAUAUAUUUUUUUAAAAAAAAGGUAUUGUAUUUGGAAUCGAUCUAGUUGUCAAUUAUAAUGAAACGAAAUGGUUGGAGAACCAAAAUGUUUUACUUUUUUAUCAUUUGUUAAAUAUGAAUCGAAAUAUAAUGAUUGUAUAUUGAUGUAGUGGUCUGUUAAUUGUUCAAUAUUUUUAUCAAUUAGAAAAAUUAGAGUUUGUGUGUUGUUUUUGUUAUUUCAUUUUCCUUCAAAUGAAAUAAAUUUGUUAUUCAUAAUAACCAAUUGUUUUGUGUGAUAUAAUAAAUAUUCUAUAUAAAUAUAAACUAAUAAUUUUUUUGUAAAACAAAAUUGUUAUGAGAGUAACUUGUGUAUAAAGAUUAAACCAAAGAUCUUGACAACCGUAGCUAUAUGUCCUUAUAAAGAUUAGUCCUUAUUCCAAUUUCUGUGGGGUGCACAUUACUGUCCUUGUAUGACAAUUUGCCUGGGGGUGCACAUGUUGUCCUUAUAUGAUUCCAAUUUGUCUGGAGUGCACAUUGUAGAUAUAGUAAUGUUGCAGGCAGCUGCAGCUGUCUCUAAGCAACAUGCAGCUUAAACAGGUAGCUAAUAGCUGCCUAUCUGCCUGCACAAGUGAUGUUCAAUGUUUAGCUCGUGCAUGGCUUAAAAUUUGCCUUGCAUCUUCAUUUCGGUGUUGUGGGUCCAAGUCCUCUAUGAUAUCCAAAAGCUGUAUUAUCUUCCCCGUUCUUGGCGUUCCCAUCUAUGAUUCAGAUAAAUAACUUCAUAACCUGAGCCAAGAAAUAGGUCAACUAAUUUCAGUUUAUUGUGCUCACAGUUGACCAUUGCAAUAAAGUCAUCAUUUUUUAAAAUUCAAUAGAAAAUUAUUGAAUUGUCAACAAUGACGGCUUGACUUACAUCGCCACAUCAGCUGUUGUUUAUUCUGUAGACAGUAAUACCAUAGAUGGAUAUAUUGCUCUCAACAUAACAUUUUGUGUUCUGUCUAGGUAUGGUGGUAUUCUCUAUAAUAGAUGAAUGGAGGUUGAGUCAAAUGAAAAUACCUCUAGCUGGUGAGUUAGUGCUGCAAGAUGUAGCACUAUGAUGUAGCACUAUGUUACCAUCCUCAUCUCUACAUCUUAAAAUUGUCGCAUCGUCACUUCUACGAACCCAACCAAGCAAAACCUUAAAGCCUCGUAAGUUUUUGUUUCUAACAGCAAUAUGUACAGCAGAUUCAUCUCGAAUGGUCACUCCUUGAUUUAGGAUGGGCAUAAUAUGAUAAGAAAUUCAAUCAAAAGAUCAAUGUUGCCAUCUGAUUUCGCUGCAUAAUGCAACGGAGUGAUUCCUGAAGGAAAAGAUGAAUUCCAGUAUGUUUACAGAUUCAUCUCGAAUGGUCACUCCUUGAUUGAGGAUGGGCAUAUGAUAAGAAAUUCAAUCAAAAGAUCAAUGUUGCCAUCUGAUUUCGCUGCAUAAUGCAACGGAGUGAUUCCUGAAGGAAAAGAUGAAUUCCAGUAUGUUUACAUUGAUGAUGGUUUCCUGUUCUUAUACAUCAAGCUUAGGACUAUUUACAGAAAUAUUAUUUACAAAAAUAAUGUAUAAGGCAAAAAUAUAUACUGUAUAAUUCCCAUAAUUGGUUUGUCCAAAUAUAGCUAUGGUUUAAUCAACGUUAGGCUCUUUACCCUCCCUCAAGCUUAACGGAGCAAUGCGGAGAUUGAGCUUGGACCGUAGGAACGUAAACCGAUCACGAGAGAGGCCUUUAGUAAAGAAAUCAGUGAGUUGGUGGGAAGAUGGGACAUAGCGUAUGAAGAGAGGCUUUGCGGGCAAUGAGCUCGCAAACAAAAUGAUAAUCAAUCUCAAUGUAGACAGUUCUAGCAUGGAGCACGAGAUUGGCAGCCAAGUGAAUGGCCGAGACAUUAUCAACAUAUAUGCAAGGAGCGGAUGAGAUGGAAAUGCCAAGCUCAUAAAAUAGAUAACUGAACCAACGAAGUUCCAUGGCUGUAUAAGGAAGAGCCCGACAUUCAGCUUCCGUACUAGAGGGAGAGACGGUAGUUUGUUUCUUAGCCGUCCAUGUAAGAAGAUUGGGUCCGAGAAAAAUGCAUGCCCCAGUCGUAGACCUAUGAUCAUCAAUCGAGCCAGCCUAAUCAAAGUCGGAAAACCCAUGUAGGGAGAGGUCAGAAGAGCGAUGAAACACGAGGCCAUGUUCUAUAGUGCCUUUCACAUAACAAAAAAUGCAUUUGACGACUUGUAAAUGAGUGGUGUGGGGACUAUGAAUGGACUAGCAAACUUGGUUGACCGCAAAGGAGGUAUCAGGGCGAGAGAAAGUGAGGUAUUGGAGACCACCAACCAUGCUCCGAUAAAAAGUGGGGUCAGAAAGAGGGUCACCCUCGGUGCAAGAGAGUCGAAUGUCCGAUGGAAGUGGAGUGGGACAUGGUGUACAUUCUGUCAUAUUAAAUCGCUUGAGGAGAUCAAUCGCAUACCUUGUUUGAGCAAAAAAAAAAGUGAGGUAGAUGUGCAAGAUAUUUCCAUACCAAGGAAGAACGAGAGAUCACCCAUCUGACGACUAUCGGAGGUGGAACAUAAAAGAUUUACAACGGCAUCAAUAUCUCGAACGGUGGAGCUAGUGACUAAAAUGUCAUCAACGUACAUAAGAAUGAAGAUAGAGACAGCUGGAGAGUAUGAACAAAAUAGGAAAGCUUCAGAACGGCUAUGAGUGAACUGAUGGUCCAAUAAAAAAGAACGAAGUCGCUGAAACCAAGUAUGGGGGGCUGUUUAAGGUCGUAGAGAGCCAUAUGAAGACGACAGACAUGGUGAGGCUGAGACGGAUCAUGGUAACUUGGAGGUUGUUUCAUAUAGACCUCUUCUUGUAGGACCCCAUUUAAGAAGGCAUUUCGAACAUCAAGUUGUUUGAGGGGCCAGCUAUAGGAAGUAGCAAGGGUAAGGAUGGUAUGGAUCGUAGCAGGUUUGACCAUUGGACUAAAUGUUUCAUCAAAGUUAAGACCCUCCAUUUGAUUAAACCCCUUGGCCACCCAUCCGAUUUGUGUCGGGUGGAGAUGGUUGAAUAUGAUAAGAGUCCAUCCGAGUUAAGACCCUCCAUUUGAUUAAACCCCUUGGCCACCCAUCCGAUUUGUGUCGGGUGGAGAUGGUUGAAUAUGAUAAGAGUCCAUCCGAGCUAUUCCCAAUGAAAAGGACAGUCCUUGUCUUGAUGUCCUUUACACGAAAUCCAUUAGCAUCAAAUUUAAGAAAACAAGCAUUAUCACGGUAAAGACAUCAAAUGGAAAUUAAAUUUUUUUGAAUGGCAGGAACACAUAAAACCUCAUUAAGAUUUAAUAAUUUUUGGGAUCCAGUUAAUUUUACAUUCACAAUAUCAGUAAUUUUUAGUUCAUUUCCAUUACCAACAAUUAUAGUGUCCGUAACUGCAUAAGGGCGGGAAUCUGAAAUGCCGUCUGGAUUGAGAGUUAUAUGAUGGGUUGCCCCGAAAUCAAAGCACCAAGUGGAGUUUUGGGCUACUGUAGGUGAGGAAGCAUGUUGGGCUACAAAUGCUUGAGGCCCACGAUCUGGACAAUAACGAGCAAUGUGGCCCAUUUUGUCACACCUGAAACAAAUUGGCUUUUUGAGUAAAGAAGCAGCAACCGAUGUGGGGAGGAGAGAGGGGCAUCUGACAGAGAAAGAUGGUGAUGGCUGAUUGGAAGGAGGGUGACUCUGAUUCCACGUCGAUGGAUGGUAACUGGAAGAAGGAAAUCGACGUCCACGACCACAAGUGCCUCUGCCAUGUCCUCUGUUGCCACCAUGAUUAGAAAAAAUAUUCUGAUUUCGAUCAGUAGGUCUCUGAUCAGCAACCAUGGCAACUCCAGAAGUAGUGGUAAGGUUGAGUCUUUUCUGUAAAUGCUUCUCUUUCAAAACUAAGUCAUAAAAUUGGUCAAAUUCCAGGUCUGGGUACAUGUGGGGUGUUGUUGCUAAAUUUAUGAACUCAAGUCCAAGUCCAUCAAUAGUGUAGGUGAUGAGUUCAUCAUCAUCCAUAGAGCCACCAGCCUGCUUUAAUGAAUCAAAGAGUGAUUUUGCUCGAUUGAGAUAGUCAGAUAUUAGGCUAUUAUUGUCCCAUUUAAGUUUUCGAAUUUCAUCCGGGAGAAGCCGCAAGCGGCGCCCGCUAGUGGUGAGAGACGUUUAGCCAAUAAGCUCCAUGCUUGAGAGGCAGUAGAACAUGAGAUGAAGAGUGUUUUGGUGGAAGGUGAGGGUGUUGCCUUUAUCUAACUCAAAACUAAUUUGUCUCCAGCAAAAUUCGGGUGCACAGUUCCGUCUGCCAUCACGUUAGGUGGAUGCAUGGUAUUUUUUAUGACAUUUCCAAGUCCAUGAAUGUCCAGAAUGUCUAUAAAUUGAGAUUUCCAACUGGGAUAAUUAUUCCUGUCGAGAAAUGGAAAUUGGGAUGAGAUAUUGUAGGUGAGAGGGAGAGAGGAAUUGGAUAAGGAGGUGGUGGUUUUGGACAUUUCUGUGAUCAACUUUGUCAAGUCUAAAGUUGCAUCAUUGAUAGGAGGUGAGAAAAUGGAUUGAAAAUGCUCGACGUUGGCCUGUUAUGGCUCUGAUACCAUGAAAGAAAAGAUAAAUUCCAGUAUGUUUUCAUUGAUGAUGGCUUCCUAUUCUUAUACAUCAAGCUUAGGACUAUUUACAAAAAUAAUGUAUAAGGCAAAAAUAUAUACUGUCCAUAAUCAUAUCCUGUCUGUAUAAUACCCAUAAUUGAUUUGUCCAAAUAUAGCUGUAGGGGCGGACCCAACCGUUUUGGGUUGUGGGGUUAAAAAUUAGAGUCAUGCUACAGUGUCCACAUGAAUGACCGCAAGGUUGACACACACACACAUGGGGUUGGGAUUAUUUUAUUCAUGGAGACCCUACCGAGCAUGUGAGGGCGCAGUCACUUGCGAGGUCAUCCUCGCGGGUUAUGCUUAGCUACAAAAAUUAAUGUGAAAUUUUUUAAAACAAUAUAAUAUUUAUAAAAAUAAGUUAAUACGCAUUUUUACAUCUUGAAAGUGUCUUAUAAUUCUAUCAUUAUCAAUAUUGUUAAAUGAAUUUUGCUACAUGUAUAGUUUUGUUUACCAUGUUAUUUAUGGAUGUUGAGCUAACGAUGAGUAAAUCAAAUUGGAUAUAGGAAGUAAAUGAAAUUUAAGUUUAACGAAAAAAUAAUUUGAAAGUAAUUCAAAUUACAUUUAAUCCGUAACGAUUUUAGAAUUUUUGACAUCAUUUUUAAUGUAAAAUUUCCUAAUAAAAUGAUGUAAAUUAUAUUGGAAGAUUUAUCGUGAAAAAUAAUAAAUGUUAAUGAAAGAAUUAAUUUUUUCGAGUUAAAUGCCUCUUUUAAUACGUACGUUUGACGCAUAUUUAACUAUUUUCGAUAUCUGUUUGGACCAUUCGAUAUGACUACGAUGCAGUUUUGAUAACAAACUUCUAGAUGAUGCAAGUGACUUGUAGAUUUGGAUAGUAUACGAUCACCGGCAAAUUUUAAAAGUUAACAUAUUAUCGAAAUUUUCGAAAUACUAAUUUGGAACUAUCGACUUUGAUACAUCGUAACUUUUGCUAUGGUUGAUCAUUUCACACACCAUUAAGAAGCGAAAAACUAGCUUAUGAAUGCUUAGAAAUGAUAUUAAGAAUGCAAUAUUUCGAUUUCAUCUGGUAUGUAUUAAAGUAGGUCGAAAACGGGUUAAAACAACCAUUUAAAAAAAAAACCAAAAUUUGGUGGGGUCAUUUGACCCCAUGUGGGUCCGCCCCUGUAUAGUUGUGGCUUAAUCAACGUUAGGCUCUUUAAUUCCUCCCCUCCUUGGGACACAAAUGAGGUCAGGAUCAUGUCCAAUGAGCUGUUUCAUAGUGGUGAUGUGUCUACACAAAGCCAGGUUCAAUUUUGUCCCUAGCAUAGGCUUUAGCCUCAGGAUUUCAAGAGCAAGGCUGGUCCGGCCUUUGGAAGCAGCUAUAUGGAGAGGUGUUUUUGCAAAUGGCAUCUCCCUGGGAACUUCCAAGUACAGUGGAUUCUUGCAUAUAGAGAUGUACAAGGCAAUGAUAUAGUAGCGUCCAUUCAGCACUAGUUUUUUGAACUGAAGCUAGAGUGUAAAUGAAAAGUGCUAGAGAAUAGAAUACUAGUCUUCUCGAGUCUUUCCAGAUUUUUAAAAUAAUUAUGAAAUAGAAGGUUCGUUUUCUUUCAUCCUAAUAUUUUGGUUGAAUUAGACAUGUAUUAAUUUAGCCAGCAUGUAAAUAAACAUAGAAAAUGGAAUGCAACACAGAUAGGGAUGGCAAUCGGGCUCGCCUACUCGGGCCGCCCGUGAUUCGGCUCGGGGCUUGGUAGACCCGAGCCCCAUUUUUGGUGACAUGGGCUUUGCCCGAGCUAGCCCGUGAGCUCGCGAGCUUUAAGCAAAAAAAAAGAGAGAGGCUGCCUUGGCAGUAAAACUGCUGCCUUUUAAAGGCAGCUAAGUGCCGCCUCGCUGCCUUCAAGGCAGUAGCUUAGGAAAAAAAAGGGGGGAGAAAAUGAGCCUGCCCAGCUCGGGUCGAGCCUUUUUUUUUUGCCGAGCCGACUCGAGCCCGCAAAAAAGCUGGCCAUUUUAACCGGGUCGAGCCUGAGCAGAAACUUUAGGCUCGCGAGUCAGCUCGACUCGACUCGUUUACAUCCCUAAACACAGAACAUAAAAAUAUUACUUUAAAAAAGUAGGAAACAAAAAGCUGUGAAGUAUGGAUGACAAACAAUUCGAGCUGCAUGUGGCUCUACUCGUCUAGGCUCCAUCUAUAAGCAACUCGAUCUCAUUUUGAGACAGACCAUGGAUUGAGCCGAGUACAAUUUAUUUUUACAAGCCGGCUCUUGGACACGUCUUAGGCUUAUGAGCCAGGUUUACCUACAUGGACCACGGGUCAACUUGUUGCACAUGGGCCACUAAUUGUUUUCCUUUUGACCAUUGGCCUUCAGCUAAAUAGCAUAUGAUUGUAUGGUGCCGAGGCAAAAAGUCUAACGUCCAAAUUUAAGUUUUUUUAAAUGAAUAUAUUUCUUUCUAUAUAAAUUCUCCAUUUUUUUACACAAAUUUCUACAUCAAUUCUAUUGUCUUCAAAUUUACUUAAUUGUGUUAUUUAUGUUCAAUUAUAAUAUAAAUUCAAUUUUUCUACCUCUUCCUUCCAUAUAUUAUUUCAAAUGGCAUCGUUGAAUCAAUUUUACCUCUAUGUAUAUGAACGUCACAUGAUAAUUAGGCUAAAAAGUUAGAUCUAAAUUCAUAUCUAGGGUAGAAUUGGUUAAAAGAUGCCAUGUAUUUAAAGAAAAUAUAUUCCAAAUAUUGAAUCUUGCACAAAGAAUUUCGAGUAAUGCUAUGUAGCCCAACUAUUGUAACAUCAAUCUAGAUGGCAUUAGAUAGGCUAAAUGAAAGGUGGACUUAUUUAAUUUCACUUAUUAGUUAAUACCACAUAAGCACCACAUAAACUGGGGUGCAACCUCAAGGAAUUAAGUAGUAUUACUUGAAGAUUUAACGUAUUUAAAUAAUUCAAUACAAGCAGAGUUUCGAAUCCAAAAUAAUGUGAACAUAUGAAUAGCUAAAGAUUUUCAAGAUUUGAUUUCAUAAUUUGAAAGUGCAAUUUAAGUUAAUUUUCUUUAUUAUUAUUAUUUUUUAAAUGAACAGUUUUAACACCAUUUAUAUUAAAAAUUGUCAGUCCCAAAUCUGAUAAAGGAGGAAAGUUUCAUAUAUUUUUAGGAAAAAUUGCAGUCGAGGUACCAAACCUUUUGUUUAUUAGCAGACUUUGCCCAAAUAUUUCAUUUAUGCCAUCGGAGGUACCACACCUUUCAAAAAUCUGCACCCGAAGUCCAAAUGGAUGGAAACCGUCUAUUUGACCGUUAGUGGACCAAGAAAAGUAAAUUUUGACCUAUUUUGACCAAAUUGGAUGAGUAAAAUGGUAAGUUGAUAAUUACCAUAUUAAAUAAAUUGAAAAAAAAAAAUCAAGAAAAAAAUCAAAAAAAUUAAGAAAAGAAAUUAAAAAAGGGUUGUCUUCUUCAACCGUCCCACCUCACCAUCUUUCUCCCUAAACCAGCCACCAGCACCACCGCACCCCACCUCGCCUGGGACUAGCAAUUGGAUUAACCGUAAUCGAUCACUCUCACAAUCAAAAAGUAAUGUGGGCCAUUGUCUUGUGCGUCCUCAUGACAUUAUCGUGUGUAGCAUUUUUCUCGAUGGGGAUAGGCCCAAUUGUGUGGGUCUACAACUCCGAGAUUUUCUCACUGAGGCUAAGGGCCCAAAGGUGCGGUCUGAGAGUCGCAAUGAAUAGAUUCAUGAGUGGAGUGCUGCUAAUGUCAUUUAUAUCCUUGUACAAGAGCAUUACAAUUGAAGGGGCUUUCUUUUUGUUCGUAGAGAUUGCAAUUGUGGCUUGGAUUUUCUUCUACAUAUUGUUGCCUGAGACACAAGGGAGAACCCUAAAGGAUAUGGAGAACCCUAGUGACAGGUGGGGUGGGGUGGGGUGCGGUGGUGCUGGUGGCUGGUUUAGGGAUAAAGAUAGUGGGGUGGGAUACGGAGGUUGAAGAAGACAACCUUUUUUUAAUUUCUUUUCUUAAUUUUUUUUCUUGAUUUUUUGAUUUUUUUUGUUCAAUUUAUUUUAUAUGGUAAUUAUUAAGUUACCAUUUUCCCCAUUCCAAUUUGAUCACAAUAGGUCAAAAUUUACUUUUUUUGGUCAACUAACGGUCAAAUGGACGGUUUCCAUCAAUUUGAACUUCGGGUGCGAAUUUUUAAAAGGUGUGAUACCUCCGGUGGUACAAAUGAAAGGUUUGGACAACUCCUGCUAAUAUACGAAAGGUUUGGUAUCUCGGCUACAAUUUUCCCUAUUUUUUAUUAAUUUAUAAAAAGAGCCAAGCCAUGGGUGGUGAAAAGAUCGACUCCACUAAUAAAAAUUGAAAAAGCUUCAACUUUUCAAUUUUCAAGAUUUGAUUUCAUAAGUGUAGUUUAAGUUAAUUUUCUUUAAAUUUUUUUAAUUUUUAGAAAAAAAAAAGGGUACAAUUUUGACUCCGUUUAUUUUAAAAAUAGUUGAUUCCAAGUCUAAAGAAGUAGGAAAGUUUCAUUUUCUUAUUAAUUAAAAAAAAGAGCCAGGUCAUGGGUCGUGAAAAGCUUGACUCCACACCAACGAAUCCUAUGACUUAAACGGCUGAACUAAACCUAGAUUCCAGAAAUGAGGCAAGGUUCAUGUUUCUAGGGGAUUUGAUUCCAUCCCUCCUUGAAUGAAUUAAUAUGCAAACUAUGUUUCAAUGUCAUAUUCCCCUAUUAGUGAUUUUACUCGAAAAAAUGCUAUUCAUCACAAUUAGUGUCAAGCAUCAAUUUAGAUGGAAAUUAUUUGACGUUUAAUGAUUGAUUCAUUUAAAUACAAUAUCACGUUAUUCAUUUUAUUGAACCUAUUAAGUGUGAUAAUGUACACUGAUGCUCUAGCACUAUAUAUAUAUAUUCGGUCAAUAACUUCAUCGAAGGGUAACCAAAAUCCAUAAUUCUUUUGACAAAUGGACAAAACAUACAUAUUUUCUGUAAGUUUUUAUUUCAAGAUUGGAGGCUAGUACAAAUUUGUUUGAGCUAAAGUACGAUUUUUUUUUUUUGGUUGUUUAAAUUCAUUUACAUUAACAAAAAAGAAAAGACAAAAAGGUUGAAAAAAACAUGCAAAGCAAAUAUAUACUCAAAAUAGAAAAUGUACUUAACAUUCUAUAAAGUUCUUUAUAAUGUGGAUGGCGUUGCAUGUAUGAGUGAACAGUGCUACGCAUCACAAUUGGUACCUAGCACCACCAAUUGGCAGAAGGACUAUUGUCCCAUUGCUCAGUGAAUGAAAUGCAUUUUGUUAUUGAUAAAUAUAUUUUAUAUACUUAUGCGAGCCUUAAAAAUAUACACAUUUCGUUGUUCUUCUAAUUGAUUAUGGUUUAAUUUAUUGCUUGUUUUGUUUGUUAGGUAAUAGUAGAUGAUUGAAAGCAAAAUUGAAAGAAAUAAGUGAAAAAGGGCAAAAUUCAAAGUUCAGAAACCUACUUGCAACUUUUCUAUAGUUGAUUUGGACCACGAGAUGAUGAUUAAAUAUUCUAAGGGUUCAAUUGGUUGCAAUUGGAAGAUAAAACAUCAAAAUUAUUUAAAGAAAUGACUAAAGAAGAAUCCAAGGACUAAAGUAUAGAUUUCAGAAAGAUGUUACACUAAAGGGUUAAUUCAUUGAUUGAUCACUAAAUUUUGUGUAAAGUUUUCAGGGGUCAGCAAACUUCAAAGGUCUUCCCAUUAGUCACUGAACUUAAUAAAAUGUAUUGCCACCGGUCAUUAGUAGUUUAAAAAGACCAAAAUGGCCCCAAGGUCUGGGAAGAAUCCUUAAUUAAGUCUCUCCUAAAGAAAAAAUAUAUGCAAAUUUAAAUAUCUCCCGUUCAAAUAGAUAUUUACCCUCUUGUUUCUUGUUAAGCAUCAAGCAUUUUUAGUAGAAAAAAAAAUAUAGUUAGAUGAGAAUAAUUUGUUGAUUGUGAUUUUUGUGGUCAACACCAAGAAAGUUUUCAAGGACAUAGGGAGUGGUUCGUAAAUUUCUUGUCUGCAACUUGGGUUGAGCUCCAUAACUAUGGAAAAUAGCUGCUUUUUUUAUUAUCAAAUCUCCAGUUAUUCCUACUAUAUUCAGCAAUUGUUAAAAGUCCAUUUUCAGCACCUAAACAUUACCAAAGAUGAAUCGGUUUUUUGGAUGGCGAGACUGAGCAAAUCGGGUUGUUGCGUUGAAUUUGGGAAUUUAUUUUUUAAUAAUAAUAUUAUUAUUAAAUUAUUAUUAUUAUUACAAUAUUAUUACGACGUUGGGAUUGCGGUGGCCGUGGGUGGUGAUUGUGGGGCGGGGUGGUUCCCAUGGGCAAGGAGUGGGGUUGCUUGGGGUGAUGAAAUGUGUAUUUUUUUUUUCUUUUUCUAUUUUUUUUUCUUUAAGAGUGCAUUUGAUUGACAAUAUUUUUCAAGAAAUUUUUUUUUUUUAUCAUCCACUCUUUUUCUUCUACCCUCCAAUAAAAAUUGAAUAACUAUAAUAUUUUCUACAUUCAAAAUUAAAUCAAUCAAGUACAUUUAAUUGACAAUUUUCAUACAAAUAAGUUCUAGACAAUUAAAUUAUCUAGAAUUUAUUUUAUUUUCAUAAAAAUUACAUACUUACAAUCAAACGCACUUUAAAUGCUUUUGUAUUUUUCAGUUUGACCUACUCGUACUAUCUAAAAUGUUACGAGACUCCCUUUAUAAUUCUUUCAUUUAUUAUUAUUAUUAUUUUAUUAUUUUUUUUAUUUUAUUUUUUUGGGGAGGGCGUGUUGUUUUGCCGUUUUCUUUAUUUUUGUUUAUUCUAAGAGAUCAAAUUUAUCAUUUUACACUAAUUUAACAAUCAAAAUAGAUUGAAGGGCGAACUUUGCUACUUAAUUGAAAGGUAUGGGAUGAAUUCAGCUAAUAAAAUUGGUCAGAGGUAGUUAUUAUUAGGAACAUUUUUGUUCUUUCCAUCGUAUUUACAUUUCCUUCUACGAUAUGUUCUAGUUUUCUCUUUUUUUUUUCCUAUUAUUUUAUUUGUAUUUUAGGUAUUGUUAAUAUGGGGGAUUUUUCUAAAUGGCCCAUCACUAUUUAUUCUUGUCAAAAUGUCUAUAAUACCCUUAAUGAAAUGGCUUGCCAUAUUUUGCACAAAAUAUCCUAAUUUAUUGGAAUAGUUCUAAAAUUUUUUUAUUUCUCUCAUUUCGAAAUUUAAUAUAUAGUUCCAUCAUUUGAUCUAAUAAAUUAGCAUAAUCUGUAAUAUAAUUGUCAUAUAAUUUUUUAAGAUUAUCAUAUUCCUUAGACGAUAUAUACAUAGUCUCUAGUUGGGAAAAAAUAUUUUUUAUUUUUUCUAAUAGUCUUUCUAACAGAUUAUCUAAUCCCUUAAUUGUAUAGCAUGACAUUAUAUAGAUAAUUCCUUACAAGCUUUAUGAUGAAUAAUAAUAACAUGAUACAUAAGUUUUUGCAAACAUGAUAAGUAAUAAUCCCUACGAUUCUUUCAAGAUAUUAGAAGAAUUCUUUUUAAAUUUAACAAAAACAAUAACUUUACCUUACUUUUGAUCUUAAAUCUGUAUUCUUAGAAUCGAGUGACCUUCAGGCUCUGAAUCUGCAAACUGCUCCCUUAAAGGGCAUUUUGCCUCAAUGGGAAUUCUGCUAUUUCAGCUGCUUGCCCUCACUGUAUCUUUUCUUAGAAUUAAGAAUAAGGAUUUUAAGUAAAAAAAAUUCUCUCUUUGUUAAAGUAAGAAAGAAAUUAUCUUUUUCAAUCUGUCAAGAAUCUACGGGAUAAGAAGUUUAGAAACUCAUAUUUUUCUGAUAUCAAAAAAUUGAAAUUUUAUUUAUAUAAUGAUUUAUACAAGGUUUCUAUUGUAUACAAGGAAUUUUCAGAAAAACUGGUUUUACACAAAGCUUAAGGAAAGAGAAUGGUUUCUAACUCGAGAUAAUCCAUUCUCUCCCAAAAACCUCUAUUUAUACAUGACUCAAACUUACUAUUAUUGAUCUAUUACAUCAUUGCAUACAUUAGAAUUUGAAAAAGGCUCACAUGCCUCUCUAUUCUUUUCCUUCUGGGGUCUACAUUUUCACAUGCGUUUUUUGAUUUUUCAUCAAAGAGACAUUUUUUCCCUCUAUUAUUGUCUGUUCAUCUUUGGCUCCAUAUGCAGCUGGUUAGAUGCUUUGGUAAUGGUAGGCCCCCUUUUAUUUAUCUCCAUUCAUCUUUUAUCUUGAAGAACCAAUCUUCUUAAUCUUGUCUGCAUGUGGGGCACUCCCUCAGUGUGCAUGAUUUUUGGAUUGUUAUAGGACUUCCAUUAAUUUGAUGAGUAUCAAAUUUCUAGAUAUAUUCUUUCAAAAUAGUAUAUUUUUCUUUUCCAUUAUUCGUCAGGAGUGUCUAUCCUUCAUAUUGACACAAGCAUCUGAAUUUUUUAUCAUAUAAGUUCUUUGCAAUGUUGUAAAGAACAUUCAUCCUCAAAACUUUUCGAGAUUUUAUCCAUGAUUUAUUGAUUUUAGGCAAUGGUUUAUUAUUUCGGCCAACUUCAAUCUGAAAAUUUCGGCCAACAUAUCCAAUUGUGAUAAUAUGUUCAGCAGGAUAGUAUGUCCUUUCAUCAACCUCGAGACUUAUUGAAUAAAAUUUGAUAUAAAUCGAUCUCCCUUAGGCAAAUUUUAAAACUUCUGCCCUGAAUAUAUCAUCAAAAUUUUCAAUUUCUUUUAAAUCUUUUUCUGGAUAGAUCAAAUCCAGAAAUCCAUAAUCUGCUGCCAUUUUGACCAUGAAAUGGUCUGCAUCUUGGAUAAUUAUUAAUCUGGGAUAAACAUGAUCUCUUGAUGUAAUAAAAUAUGAUUCAUUUUCUUCCAAUUCAUAAACAAUUUUGACAAAUGAUCUAUAUUCUUCUUCUUUUGAUGAUAAAGGGGUAUCAUCAUCUUCAUCAGUUUUGAUUCUGAUAACUCUUGUAUGUUCAUCACCAUUUUUUAUAGUCACCUUUUGAGGACUUGCUAUGUCUCGUUUGAUAUUGCUGGAUCUACUGCUGCUUCCUGGCUGUGUACCUGUUUGUAUUUUUGAAAUUGUAUUUAUUGAUAUUUCAUAUUUGGUAUUUAAUGACUCGAAUUGUGAAGUAAUAUUAUCAAUUCUUUGGUAUAUUUGGAAUGAGAAUUAGAGAUUUCUACCAGCAAUUUGACAUUUUGUUGAAUAGAUUCUGCCAUUUGCUCUAAUUACUCAAUUCUAAUUUUCAUAUCUUCUGAUUCCUCCAUGAGAAAUUUCAUUCGUCUUUUGACGUCUAUUAAUGAAUUUAUGAUAUUAUCCUUCUCCGAAUUCGAUAUUCCUGCUCAAAAAAUCUGCAAGAUAAUUAUUUAUUCCUUUAAUAUGAACAAUAUCAAAAUUGUAGAAUGAUAAAUAUGCUUGCCAUCUGUGUAACCUUUUAUAUUGAGGUUCCAUAGGUAACUUAUUUCUAAUAAGUCCUGCAACUUGAGAAUUAUCAGUUUCAACAAUAAAUUUUUUAGAUAAAAGGAAUAAUGAAAACUUUUUUAUUCCUUUAAUAAUUGCUAACAAUUCUUUUUUCAUGAGUAGUAUAAUUUAUUUCUGCUUGGUUAAAAGUUCCACUUGAAUAUUUGCAGAUUUCAUUUAAAUCUGUUUUUAAUAUAGCUGUCCAAUAUUUAUCCAAGGCAUCAGUAUUAACAAUUAAAUUAUCUUUUUCAUCUGAUAAUCUUAAUUUUGGUAAAUUUUUAUAUUCUUCUUUUAAUGAUCUAACAAUUUCAGUAUGUUUUUUGUUCCAACCUUUAAUAUUUGUUUUUUUAGGUAGAAUUUGUAUCUUAUGUCUCUUUUUUGAGAGAUUUUCAAUAAAUCCUUCAACAUAGUUUAGACAUCCUAAAAUUUUUUGUAUUUGUUCUUUGGAUUUUAAUUCAUCUGGAAAGCUUUCUAUCUUUUUAGAUAUAUGAGUCUAUAAUUUUAUUUCUUUUCUAUCUAUUGAUAAUCCCAGAAAAUCUAUUUCUUGUUUCUCAAUUAUAGAUUUCUUUCUAGAAAGUACAAUUCCUUCCUUUUUGCAUUCAUUUAUGAAUUGUAAUAAAUGAUUCAUAUGUUCUUUUUUAUUAUUAAAGUAUAUUAGUAUAUCAUAUAUAUAAACAAUAAGAAAAUUACUAAACUUUUUGAAUAUAUUAUCCAUUUUCCUUUAAAAUAUUUGUGGUGCAUUUUUUAAACCAAAUGACAUAACUAACCAUUCAUAUUUUUUUUGAGGUGUACUAAAAGUUGUAUAUUGUAUACUAUCUUCUUCCAUUUUUAUUUGCCAAAAUCCUGAUUUACAAUCAAAUUUGGAAUAAUAUUGUUUUCCUUUUGCAAGAUUUAUUAGGACUUCUUUAUUUGAUAAAAAGUAAUCAUCAAAUUUAGUAUAUUUAUUUAAUUCCUUAAAGUUUAUUACCAUUCUAGCUUUUCCUCUAAUCUACUCAGAAUGUUUCAUUACCAUAAAAGCUGGACUACUAUGAGAUCCAUUACUGGGUCUAAUUAACUUUUGUUCUAAUAGUUCUUUUAUUUGAAUUUUAAAUUCUUGCAUAUCCUGUAAGGUAUACAUCAUUGGUCUAACUCUUAUUAUAACAUUUUCUAUUAAUUCUAUUUUAGCUCUAGGAUGAUAUGAUUUCCAAAAUAAUAAUGGAUUUUCUCCAUAAAUUUUUUCUAAUUGUUCUAUGAUUUUUUCCAUACUUAUUUCUGUUUCUGUUUUUAGGAUCUUUUUAUAUAAUAUUUUUUUAUUUUUUUAGUUCAUCUUGUACUAUUGGUCGUUUUUAUCAUUUAUCACCACGUUGGGCUGGCUGAACUCUGUAGGGUCUAAAUUCUCUUGGUAUUUUUAAUAGAUGUGCACAAGGUGUUUAUAACAUUAUCAUGUAAUUAUUUUGUUUAUAGUAUUGAAAUUGUUGAAUAAAGUCAUAUCCUAAUAAUAUACCACAUUCUAGGUUAUUAUAAUUGUAUACUUUAUUUAUCAUAACUUGUUUACUACCGGUAUUAUAUUAACUUUUUCAGCACUAUCAAUUAUUUGAGUACUUUCUCCAGUCACUCCUGUCAUUUUUAUUUUACUAUUUUUAUUCCAUGAUUUUAUUAAGAAAUUUUUAAAAAUUGUUAUAUCACUUCCUGUAUCAAUUAAGGCACAAGUUGUUAUAUUUGUUUUUACUAUAGUAACUUGUAUAUAUACUGCCAAUGGAAAACUUAUUUGAUUAUUCAUUCACUUCUUAUUUUACAUAAUGUAGUUUGUCCUUUAUGAGUUAUAUAUAAUCCUUCUCUUUUUAUACUAUAAUCUUCUAAUUCAUUUAAGAAACUCAUUCCUAAUAAUAUAUGAGGUUCAAUAUUCAUACUUUCAUCCAAAUAACAUGGUAUUAAAAGAUCAAUCCCAUCUAUUUUAUUGGUACAUUUACCUUUAAUUAUAUAAUAUAUAGUUGUCCAUCAAAAUUUCUGUAUUCAUAUGGUUCUAUUUUGUAAGUCAUUAAUCCUUUAUUUUUAGUUGCAGCCAUAUGACAUUCACCAGCACUUGUAUCUAUCAAUAUAUUUGGUCCUUUUAUAUACCUUCUACCAUUGAAAUAUUUUCCUUUUAUUUUCAUAUUUCCAAUAUUUCCAUGAGGUUUUAUUUCUUUUAUAUGACUAGUUUCUCCUAAAUAUUCUUUUUUAUUAGGUAGUCUAAGACUUUUUGAUUUCUUUAUCAACCUUCCAUUAUGAAAUGUUAUUUUAUAAUCUUCUUCUUUUCUUAACUCUGUUAUUUCAGGCUUAUUUUUAGUUUUAUUAAAUUCAUAUUUUUCUGGGAUAAGAUUUAUUUGUUUGUUUGGUUCCACUAUUUUACUAAUAUCCUUACAUUCCUUAUGAAUUUCUAUGUAUGUUUUAUUAAAAUAAAUAUUCCCAUAAUUAGAAUUAGUAAAUGUGUAUAAUGCCCUAUAUUCCAUAGUCAUAAUUUGGUUUCCUGGUUCCAUUAUAUCAUUUCUAUGUAAUUUGAAAUGUAAUCCUAAGACUUCAUUAAAAUUUUUAUCUUUCAAUGAGACACAAUAUUUUGGGUAACAAGUAAAUAUUAACUUUUGAUAUGCUAAGUUUCCUUCUAUAGUUCUUAAAUGACCAUCUUCCAGAUUUAUAAUUUUUCCAUCAUGUAAACUUACAGUUAAUGGUGAAUCUAUUUCUUCCCUAAAUAAGGAUUUAAACAUUUUUUGUAUUCCUGCUAAAUAAAUAUAUUGGAUCUUUUCACUAUGUUUUUUUACUUAUUUUUUAUAAUAAUUCUGAUACUGUACUUUUUGUUAAAAUGUUUAUCUUAUGUGUUCCUUGAGUAGUCCUAAUAUCUAUAGUUUUUUCAAUCUUAUGGUAUUCAUUUAUUGCUAUUCUCUUUCUUUUCCAUAUUCUAUCUAGAAUUUCCCGUUUUCCUAUUUUUAAAUCUAAGGAUAACUUUUGUAUUUUCUUGAAUUUAUUAUUAUCAAAAGUUACUUUUAAUCAAUAACAUUCUAUUCCCUCAUAUUCUUGGAUUUCUAUGUUAUUAUUUUCUAUUUCUUCAAUUUCUCUAUUCAGAUUCGGAUCCAUAAUCUUCUUAAUCUUCUUCACUUAUAAAUAUUUCCUGAUUAUUAUAAUAUUCAAUAUCAGAUAUUUCACUUAAUUCACUUUCUAUUUCAAAAUAAUCAUUUUGUAAUAUUCUUACUUUUUUCUUUGUGCAAUUAGGACUUAUAUGGCCUAUUUCUCCGCAAUUCCAACACUUACAUUGUUUUUUUUUAUCUUUCUUAUAAGGUUUAUUUUUCUGUAUAUUAUUUUUCCUUUUAUAAUAUUUCCUUCCAGGUUUUAUGUAUUUUUUCUUAAAGUUCCUGUAUUUUUUAAACUUUCUGUUUUUAUAUUUUCUUUUUGUAGGUUUUUCCAUAUCUUCACAACAUAUUCUAGUUAAUUUUCCUGAUUUUUUCAAUAAUUGUCUUUGUUGACAUAUAUAUGCAAGUCUUUCAAACAAGAAUUUUAUUCUUGAUCCUGAUGUUCUAGGUAUUCCUAUAUUUUCUUUAAUAUAUUUUUCAAAUUCUAUUUUAAAAUAUAUUCCCCAUGAACCUGGUAAUUUAUUAUAAUACAUAUUUCGAUAUAAUUCUUGAUUCUCAUUAUUAUAAAAUUGAGUAAAAUAGUAUUCCUUGAAUUCACAAGUAUAUUAUUUAAUUUUACACAUCACAAAUUGUUAAAUUAAUUAACUUAACUCUUGCAUUAUCUUUUUCUCGUAUUGCUUCUUCUUCAUAAUUUCUUAACCAAUUUUUUCCUAAGAAUUCAUCUGCAAUAUAUUCUACUAAUCUUUAUAUUCCUAGUUUAUCUGACUUUAUUAUUUCUGUUUGUAUAUUUCUUUUUAUUAAUGAUUUUGUAUCACUACUAAUUCCUUCCCACCAAUUUCUAACACUUCCUUCAAAAGAUGCAAUUAAAAAAUCUAUUAUCCUUUCAGUAUUUUCCCAUGUAUCACCUUUAUUAUAUAAAAAGAAUAAUAUCAUUGAGUCUGCCCAAGUUAUUAAGGCUUUCUUAGUGUCUAUUUUGCAAUCUAAAUCUAAUUUUGUUCCUCCAUGAUUAACGGGUUUUUCAUAAUUAUUAUUUAAUUCAAAUCUAUUACUAUAUUUAUUUCCUUUAGACGGUUGUUUUUCUCUUAUUUUAUCAUAAAAUUGUCUAUAUGAUUUAUUAUACAUUGGUGCAUAACUUUCAUCUGGAUCUAUUGAUUCUUGUUUAGAGGUUCCUACGGGAUUAGGUCCUCCUUCAGUAUUCAUUAAGAUUUGAUAUUCAUUAUCUAUAUUUUCUAAGCUUAAAUGAUCAAAAUUAUCUAUAAGUAGAUCUAAUUCUUCAUUCAUUUUCUUUGUCUUGAUUUUCUUCAAUUUUUUGUUUACCUAACAUUUUUUUCUCUAGAUUCCUCUUCUUCUAAUAUUUUAGGUAAUAUAUUUUUUCUAAAUUCAUCAUCCAUGCUUCCUGUUUCUAUUAUUAUAUUUUUUCUUUCAAUAUGUUUUUUCCCUAUUCUGGUUAUUUCUUUUUCCAUAAAUUUUUUAUUUAUUCUAUUAUUCUUUCUUCAUUUUCUUUUAAUUUUCUGACUUCGAGUUUCAAUAUAUUUAUAUCAUUUUUUGCUUCUUUUAUUUCAUUCUUUAUUUCUUGUACAUCAUUUAUUAAUGUUCUUAUUAAAUGUUAUAUGUUCACUGAUUGACAUUUUCUUUUAUCGAUUUUUUGAUUGACAAUAAUAAAAUGCUAUAUGCUCAGCAUUUUUACAAUUUCUUAUCAUUUUAUCAUACUUUUGUUUUAUAACUUCAAUAUUUGUUAGUUCUUUUAAUUUUUCAUAAUACCUUUCUUUUUCUUUAUACCUCUCUUGUUUUAAUUUUAAUAUUUGUUUCUCUUGAAUUUUAGUUACAUCUUAAUAUUAUUUUUCUUAACUUUCUUUCGAAAAUAUUUUUAGUUUCUUCCAUUAUAUUUUUAUGAUUAUUCAAAUAUUUCUCUAUGGUAUAAUUCAUUUUCAAAUACUUCGAUUAUUAUUUCAUAUAUACGUCUAUCUUUGAUAAAUCCUACAAUUAAUUUAUGUAAUAUUUAUUCCUUUAUUUCUCUACGUAAAUUCCUAGUUACAUAUAAUAUUAUUAUUUUUAAUUUAUUAGGGAUAGGGUUGAAAAAUAUAUAACAUCCUUUUUCUUCAAUACAUUGAUAAUAAUUAUUUAUUUUUAUAAUUUCCAUAAUAAAAAAAAUAUAUAUAUAUCUAUGAAAUCUAUUUCACUCUGGAUUUAUUUUAAUAUAUAUAUAUGCUUAUAUUCUUCAAAUAAUAUAUUAUAUCUUUUAGGUAAUUUAUUUUUAUAUAUUUUCUCAUGAUCUCUAUGACUCUGAUACUAACAGGAUGGAUGCUACUAUAAGCGAACAAAAAAUCUAAUAAUAAAAAAUCUAAUAAUCUAAUAUUCUAAAAAUUCUUUUAUUUUUGUUUUAGUUGAUCUAUUUGUUAUUAAGCGUAUAUAAAAUCUUAAGGUAAGGUUAAAAACUAAUUUUUUUUUGUAUGCUUGUGGUAAUCUAUUUUUUAUUGGUCUUCUCAUAAAUUUUUAAGUAAUUUUUCAAAGUCUAGUAAUGUCUGAGAAUUUAUAAUAUCAACAUCUGUUAUCAUAUCUAUGUCUGUUCUAAAAGGUAUAUCGUAUUUUGAGAUAUUUUUCUUCCUUUUUUCUAAUUUAUCUAUGAUACCUUGUAUAUCUUUUAUGAUUAUUGAUCUUACAAUUCCUUUAACAAAAUUUUCUAAUAAGUUUUCUUUGAAACACUUUAAUUCUUGUGAUGCAUAUAAUUGUUCUUGAUAUCCUAUUUUAUCAAUUUCUUUUUCAAACUUAAUUUCUUUUUUAUUUUUAACAACCUUUUUUAUAUUAUAUGGUCCUCUCUUAUAUUUGAGUUUUUUCAUUUUAUAAUUAUUCAUUAAUAAUUCUUUCAAAUUUUUAGAAAAAUUACUUGUUAAUUUUUUAAGGACUUAGAUAGAAGAUUUUUAUUAUGAAAUAGGUUGCUUUUAAUAUUUGUUUAAGGGUAUUUUAGGUAGUUCCAAAUGUUUGGAAAAGUUAAGGGACAUUCUGGAAAAUGACCUCUCUUAUUUGGGUCAAUUUCAUGUAUUUCCCGGUUAAUACAUAGUUAAUUACUUUUAGAUUUUUGAUUAAAGCAUAUAGUUUGUUUGUCCUCCUCCUCCCCCCCAAAGUUAAACGAUGGUACUCUGUCUUCCAUCUGUUGUAAAUUUGUAAUGCUGCCGACUGCCGUAGUGCCUUACGAACCAAAAAUCUUGGCUUCACCAUUGAAUAUAACAAAUUUGGUUUAUCCACAGGGGCGGAGCCAGGAAGAUCUAUUAGGAUGGGCUGAAAAUUGAAUUUUUCUCAUAGAUAUUCUUUGUCACUCGAGAUUUAGUUUAUAAGGUUAAACUCUUGAUGCUAAUGACAAAGUGGGUCAAAAUAUAUUUUUAGACACUUACGACAAAGUUCUAACACAUACAUUUUUACUGAUAAAAGUAAAUAUAGAGUAUAUUACUUAUUUUGAUAGUAACAUCCCUUUUAUGGUCAAAAUAAAUAAAUUUUUAACUCACUUUAUAAUUAAGUAAUCUAUGAAAAAUACGUUAGCAAAAAAUUAAUUACUUUUAAACUUAGUCAAAUACGUGACAUGUUACAAUAAAUUAUUUAUCUUCACUUUAAUCAAUAAGAAUUAUUUGUUAUAUAAUAAACUAAUUUGAUUAUAAGUGAACUCUUUAAAUUUGAAUAAUUAAAUAUUGGGCUUGGGUUGGGAAUGAAGUUAAUUAGGCUAAAAUUAAUUUUUGGGUUAGGUUAAAUAUUUAUUCUUAUUUAUUUCACCAAGAAUUUGGAACCUUGAUUUUGAUGAUAUGACAAUGUAUGAACACUAGUUUAGUCACAUUAGGUGGCAUAUAAUACAUUGUAUCUUGACAUAAUUAGUUUGUUGAUCAUCUUCUGUCAUAUUGGGUGGUGUUUGUGAGGAAUGGACUUGGGCCACAUUUUUAAAAUCUUUUCCUAAAAAGUUACAUGUAGCCCAGCAAUGUCCCCCUCUGUCUCCGCCUCUGUUUAUCCAUGAAUUUCAAACUCAUAGCCCAUAAGUGGUAGCCCUUGAAUUUAGCCUCCAUAUGUCAAAUUCAUAAAUAAUCUGUAAAUUGUUCAAAUUUCAUUUUUAAUGUCACAUGGAUCAACAAGUACUAACCAAUUUUGCAUUGCUCAUUUUUAUAAAUUCUUCCCAAACGGAGGCUUAAAUGGAUAGUAAGUGAUAACAGCUCAAACAAAAGUUAAAAACUUCCUUAAACAACACAUGAAAAUUAAAAUAGCAAGACAUUGCGCACUGAGAUGAAACAGGUUUCUCAAUAUUGCAUUGACUAAAAGAAUGUAUACUUUAUAAAUAGAAACUAACCUAAGGAGGGUGUCCUCAAUUGAGGUUGUGAUGGAUUUUAAAAAUCUUUCUAAAUUUAGAUGUCCUCAAUUAAGAUGUUCUCAAUUGAAAUUUUAAGGAAAUUCUUUAAAAUUUAGGUAUCUUUAAUAACUAGUGAAUUUAUAAAAAUUUCAUUGAUGCAGGGAUCUUAAAAGAUUUGGAAGGAUUAUAAACUUAAAAUUACAUAUAAGCAAAUCUUUUGAAAUUUUACCAUAUUUGGUGUGUGUUAGAGCCACAUAUUUUGAAAGAAGGUAUUUUGAAAUAGUAAACUGAUGAAGAAUGUGUAUUUAAAAAAUGAGGAAAAGUUUUGAAUUUGUAUAUAAAAUUAUUUUAUUGAAGAAUGUGAUUGAAAAGAUGUCAAAUCAUUGAUUAAGAAUGUAUUUUUUUUAAAUGAUGCAACUCAAACAGGGCCUUAAUGAGAUUCUUAUGGAAUUGGUGGAAAUAUAAUCAAAUCUAUAAAAAAAAUUUAGAAUUUAUAAUCUUUUAAAAUUCAUUAAAACCUUAGCUGAGGACAUCCCUGUAAAACAAAAUAGUGAAAAAUGCAAAUCAUUAGUUUUUGGUAUCACCAUUUUUCUAGUUGUAUUUUUUUAAUUAAAAUUUUAAAAAAAAAUGCCAGCAUGCUAGGCUUUUUUAUAAGCAAUGUUGUCAAAACAUGCCCCGCUCAAUGGGGUUCGGCCGGUAAAAUCGAGAACCAUACCCAAACUGAUUCAAUCAUGUCUAUUUAACUGAUUACAAAAAAAUCGCUUAAACCUAUUGAGCUAGGCGAUUUAACCAUGAAUCAGUGAACGGGUCAUAGUUGUGGUCCCCCCCUCCCCCUCCCCCUCCCACACUUUUUUUUUAGUUUAAAAUUUUUUAACUUUAUGAAUGGGUUGCAUAAACUUCAAUUCAAUGGCCCAUAGAGAAAUAAUGGAUGGUAUAUGUAGGUAAAUUUUAGAGAAUCAAAUCAAACCGAAGGCCUGUGUAUUCACAAUUUCCUUAAAUCGAAUUCGCUGUCUUACCGGAGUGCAAGAGAUUUUGAUCGGUGUUCGAUUCCCAGGAUACAAUCGGUUGUCGGUUCACGCUGCACUACGUUAACGGCUUGGGAACUAGCUGUGAUAUACUUUAUCUCACAAAUAAAUUAUAAGCACAAGGAAAAACUUGAAAGUGAGAAAAAUAAGAUUGUUGCUUGGAGGAAGAAGCUUGCAUUUCACUUGUAAUUUUCCAACCUAGAGAGACUCCUAUUUAUACCAGUGGAAGAAAAGCUAGCUCAUUAAUUAAGGAGUUAAACCAUUCAUUGAUAAAAGAGUUAAAAACAUGAAAGGACUUGAGUUACUUGAGUUACAACAUAUGAAGAGACUUUUAUUCAAUAUUUUUCAUUACUUCUAUUCAAUAUUUUUCAUUCAAUUCUAACAAUCCCCCACAUGAAUGAAAAUGGAAACUAAGGUUCAAGAGGAAAGAGAGAGUAAAACAAAUCAAUCCUGCAUAGGAUAGGUAGCAUUUAGCUUUGAACCUUUCCUUGUGAAACCUAUCGGGAAUUACUAGCAAACCAGUGGAUCUGAUGCCUUGAACUGUUUCGCCAUUUGUAUAAACCAAGACAAUAGAUCUCACACAGGAUCAUUUUAGUCACAGCAUAGUUCUUACUGUUGUGUUCGUUUUGGCCAUGAACACGUCGCCUGGUUUUGCAAGUGUUUUUUCAAAGCGUAGCCUUACCAAUCCUUAUAGAAGCGGCCCCACUUCACACUCACAUAGGUGACCUCUUAACUCAAUUUUUCACAACAACGCUUAAUGGUCAUAAAAGCAUAGCUUAACCUGCAUCUUCCAAUCACUGUGAGCACCAUAGGAAUGAGCAGAAGGAGAACAUUCUCAGUGAUUUACACAGAUAUACAUAUUUUAGUUGCUCCUUUGAACCUAAAUCUUGGGAUCUCCAUUCAGCUAGGUUGGGUUUCCACCAUGAUACCUUUCAACGUCAUAGGCUGUAAGCCUAUUCCCCUCGAUCUUUUACAACUAGCUCUCAAGUUAGCCCUUUGGUUAGCGGAUCCGAAAUAUUAUCCUUUGACUUUACGUAGUCCAAAGUGAUAAUACCUUGUGAGAGUAGUUGUCGAAUGGUAUUGUGUUGUCUUCGAAUAUGGCGAGAUUUACCAUUAUACAUAUUGCUCUGUGCCCUGCCAAUUGUUGAUUGAUUAUCGCAAUAAACACAAAUUGCAGGCACAUACUUUAACCAUCUUGGAAUAUCCUCAACAAACUGGCGAUGCCACUCUACUUCUUCAGUUGCUUUGUCCAAAGCGAUGAACUCUGAUUCCAUUGUAGAUCUUGCGAUGCAAGUUUGUUUGGAUGAUUUCCAAGAGAUAGCUAUACCACCAAGAGUGAAGACAUAUCCACUAGUAGACUUGGUAUCUGACAUAUCUGAUAUCCAAUUUGCAUCAGCAUACCCUUCGAUUACUGUAGGGUAUCUAGAAUAGUGCAGUCCAAAAUCACGAGUGUGCCUUACAUAAUGUAGCACCCUAAAAAUGGCUUUACUGCUGCCAGAAGCAGAAGAUUUCAUUGUCCGUUUAAUAGGAGUUAACUGUUUAGGAGACUUACAAGGAAAUAUAUUCUCAAAGAAUUGUGCAUUCCUAGACUCUAUAAUCGUGUUCGGAUGAAUAUCAGGUACAUUUGAAUAAUGCACAAGGAACCUAUAUGCACUACUAUUUUGUGCAUAACCAAUGAACACACAAUCAACUGUCUUAGGGCCAAUCUUGACCUUCUUAGGAGGAGACACCACAACUUUAGCAAGACACCCCCACAUUCGUAAGUAUUUAAAUGAAGGUGUCCGAUUUGUCCAAAGUUCAUAUGGAGUCUUAUCCAUAUUCUUUCUUAAAACUUUAUUCAAGAUGUAAUUUACGGAAAGAAUAGCUUCUCCCCACAUGUUCUGUGGUAAUCCAGAACUAAUCAACAUAGUAUUCAUCAUUUCCUUUAAAGUUCUAUUCUUAUGCUCAGCAGUUUCAUUCUGCUAAGGUGAAUAAGGUAUAGUAGUUUGGUGAAUUAUUCCAUGUUUAGCACAAAAUUCACCAAACGAUGAUUCAUAUUCACCACCACGAUCAAUCCGUAGCACCUAUAUUUUCUUACUAAGUUGAUUUUCAAUUUCAUUCUUAUAAAGAAUGAAUUUAUCGAUAGCUUCGUCUUUGCUUUUAAGCAAGUACACAUAACAAUAUCUCGUGCUAUCGUCGACAAAAGUAAUAAAAUACUUAUUAUCGCCUCGUGUUUGGACAGAUUUCAAGUCACAUACAUCACUGUGGACUAGUUCCAAUGGCUCGAUACUUCUUUUAAUACUAUGAAACGAAGACCUAGUAAGCUUAGAUUCAACGCAUGUUUCACAUUUAUGAUUUGAAUCAAUUUGAAACCUAGGCAAGUAAUUUAGUUUGCUUAGUCUCCGUAAAACAUUGUAAUUUACGUGAUCUAAUUUACCAUGCCACAGAUUAGGAGACUCAAGCAAAUAAACAGAAGGAGUUUUCUCAUUACUCAUAACAGUUGGGGUUACAGCAGUUACAUUCAAUUUAAACAGACCAUCAGUCAUAUAGCCUUUCCCAACACAAACUCCUAUUUUGGUAAUCACCAGUUUAUCCGCCUCAAAGACCAUGCGGAACCCAUUCUUGCUCAGAAGAGACCCAGAGAACAGAUUCUUGCGAAUCUCUAGCACGUACAGCAUAUUAGUCAGAGUAAGCUCUUUGCCAGAUGUCAUCUUCAGGAUCACCUUGCCUUUACCAAGCACUUCAGAAGUUGUAGAGUUUCCCAUGAACAACUUUUCACCAUUGGUAACUGGUACAAAAGUAGUGAACAUGCUCCUGUUGGAGCAGUCAUGGCAAGUGGCCUUAGUGUCCAACCACCACUCCUUUGGGUUAGACCCCACCAGGUUAACCUCACUAAUCACCGUCGUGAGGUUUAGCUCAGACAUUUCAUCUGAGAGAUGAUCUCUCUCAUUUCCAACCAUAUUAGCCUGAGGACGCUGCUUAUUAUCCCUCCGAGGCUGAUGGCAGUCUGCUAAUCGAUGCCCAACUUUGUUACAAUUGAAGCACUUUCCAUUGAACUGGAACUUAGGUUUCUUUCCUACCCCACCUGCAGGCUUCAACUGAGACCCUUUCGUAGCCUUUUUUUUAUCUUUUCAAUUUUCGUUACCCUAUUUGGCUUUAAAGGAGUGAACUUUCUUAGUACUAGAACUUUGGCCGUACUCCAAUACAUUAGCCUUCUUAGAGUAAGAAUUCUCUGACUUACGUUCAGCCCGUUUGUUAUCCUCCUCAAUGCGUAGCUUGAUAAUUAAAUUCUCGAAAGACAUCUCUUUCCUCUUAUGCUGCAAAUAACUUUUGAAAGCCUUUCACUGAGAAGGUAGCUUGUGAAUAGCAGUAGCCACCUUUAGAGAUUCUGACAUGGUUAGACCCUCAGCAUGCAUUUCUUGCAAAAGCACUUGAUACUCUUGUACUUGGCAUACACUGAUUGGCUAAGAAUUUCUUAGAUCCGGCAUCCUCGGUCUUGUAUUUCUUUUCUAAGGACUCCCAGAGCUCCUUAGCAGACUUCUUUACCACAUAUAAGUGAUACAGAGAAUUCUGUAGGCUAUUCAAUACAUAGUUGCGGCACAAAAAAAUCAGUACUUUUUCAAGCGUCCCAAGCUGCACGCCAAUGCACAUCAGUGUCGUUUUCAGCCACGAUAGGGCAUCCUCAGUGAGGAAACGUGCAAGGCCCAACGUAGUGAGAAAAAAACCAUCUUAUUCUGCCAUGUCUUAAAAUCAGUACCAGCAAACUUAUCCGGUCGAAUUGCAUGAUUCACCGGAAAUGGAGCCAGAAACGAUGGAAAAGGUGCCGAAGCAGCAGCCCUAGGCACUGGCAAAGGUAUUGUGCCAAACUAGAUUGCCGAGGUCGUAGUCAAAGGCAAAGUUGGGUUCACUCCAACAUGAGGAAUCCCGCCUCCAAUUAUCCCGUCAAUGGGAGAAAUGUCAGUCGUGAUCUCCAUAGGGUUAACAACGGUCAUUGCAGGAUUUGGUAUACCGGUACCAACAGUGUUGCUUUCGUUGUUCACAUCCUUAUUUCCAUGUGAUGCCAUUGAACUGGAAUAAGCAACAAAUAAUUUAGAAUAAUUAUAAGUUUGUAAAGUUGUAUAUAAAUUCGAGAUCAAGUUAUCUGUUCAGAAAAUAAAACUGUAGAGUUAAAGAACAGAUUAUUUUGUCAAAUUAUUAACAACUUAACAAUCAUUUAAAAUGAAUUAGAAACCAUGCAAAAACCAUGAAUUGGAAAAAUUGACAAAAACUAAUGAACAAAAUUUGAUUUACUAAAGCGAAUUCGAUUUAAGCUUGUACGUAUUUUAGAGAAUCAAAUUAAACCGAAGGCCUGUGUAUUCACAGUUUCCUUAAAUCGAAUUCGUUGCCUCACCGGAGUGCAAGAGGUUUGAUCGGUGUUCGAUUCCUAGGAUACAAUCGGUUGUCGAUUCAUGCUGCACUACGUUAACUGCAUGCGAAUUAGCUGUGAUAUACUCUAUCUCACAAAGAAAUUAUAAGUACAAGGAAGAACUUGAAAGUGAGAAAAAGAAGAUUGUUGCUUAGAGAAAGAAGCUUGUAUUUCACUUGUGAUUUUCCAACCUAGAGAAACUCCUAUUUAUACCAAUGGAAGAAAAACUAGCUCAGUAAUCAAGGAGUUAAACCAUUAAUUGAUAAAGGAGUUAAAAAUAUGAAGAGACUUGAGUUACUUGAGUUAUAAUAUAUGAAGAGACUUCUAUUCAAUAUUUUUCAUUCAAUUCUAACAGUAUAUUCCUUUUAUUGAUGCAUUUCUCUAUAAUGGUUUCAUAAGCUUCCAAUGUGGGAAAAUACCUUUUAUAGAUGCGCUUUUUCUAAUGAUUUCAUAAACUUUUAAUGUGGGAUAGUAGCAUAACAGAAAAAUGUUAAAAUGCUCAUCAAAAUCAUUUUCCAAAUGUAUGUCUAAUUGACUAAUUUGAUUUUGAAUCUCAACUAACUAAAUUGCAAUAUCCACCUUCAUCUUUUCAUUUAUUUAAUUUUCAAAUUUAACUUAAAUUGCACUUUAUUAUUAAUAUAUCAAUGUUAAAUAUCAUUUUCUAUGAGUUUAAAUAUUUUAAUUUAACAAAGCAAACUAUUUUAACAUAUUGAUUUUUAAUUUUUGAAAUACCAAGACUAGUUGUAGGAUAAUGAAUCUAAUUAACAAAGAUGGAUUUACUUUAAAUUAUUAAUAUGAAAGUUUAAAAAAAAUUUGUUGUUUCAAUAACAUUUUAUUAUUUUUUGUAUGUAUUUAUUGCACUUGGUUCGAUUCCGGUUCGACUAUUUGACCAUUGACUUUUUUUAGGUCAAUGACCAGGUUAGUUUUCAAAACAUUGCUUAUACAUCCCUGAAGUGAAGAAAGUUGUAUAUCAUAAUCUAAUAAGAACCAAUUUUAUUUUUCCUUUGUCAACCAGUGCAAAAAAUAAAAAAUAAUAAUAAUAAUAAUAAAUUAUUUUUUUGUGAUGAGGACAAAUCAUAAAUCUGAAUUCUAAAUUGUCAACACAACAACUUUUGAGUACGCGGUGUCAACCCUUAGUCCCUUGUAUAUUUGUUGUCAACAAAUUAUUUAUUAUCAAAAUAUAAGUUGUGUCACAUUGUACUUCUCAAUACAAGUACCCAACUUAUAUUAUCAUAAGUGAUUAUUGGCACUUUGAUUCGCAUGCUCACUAAUAAAUAAAUACAACCACAAUUUAUUUCUUUUAAAUUAUUGUUUUAUCAUAGGAAAAUAUACUAAAUGGGCACACAAUCCAAAACUAAUAAGAAACAAUUUUAUUUUUUCUUUGUCAAUCACUGCAGAUCCUUACAGAAAAACAUAAUUCAUAUUAAGAUGACGUUACAUGCAUGCUACUAUCUUUAAACUUAAACUGAAAAUUAUUUUCCUUGGCGUCCCAAUCAAUAUGUAGUUACUUGAUUAAUGUCCUUUUUGCAAUAUUGAUUGUGAGGCAUGACAGAACUUUUGAUGCAGUAGCUUCAUCAUGAUGCUUUAAUUUUAGCCAUCCGAGUCAGUAUGGGUCCUUGAUUGAUAUAUUGGCUACUAAAUAAGAGAUAUAUCACCUCAGCAGGGUUGUAUUCGUAGCAGAUAUCACCACUUAUUUUGCCUUUGAUUAGUAUGAUCGUCCAGGGUUGUAUUAUCCUGAGAGACAGUUCGAUUAAUGCCCCAACUGCAAUUAUGAUAAAUAGAGCUUCUGUACCUGGGUAUAUUGCAUAUGCCAAUACUCCAUAGCUUAACGAAAAUAGAUAAACAGAUGGAAAAAGAAACAAGUGGACUCGAUUAAGUGUAAGUAUUAAACACGUUCCCAUUGCAAGACCAAAGGCGAUUGUGUUGAUAAAUAUAUUCUCUUUUGCCAUACUUAGGGUUAUUUUUUUUUUGAAGUUGGUGCUAGUUGAAUUGGUUGAAGUAGUAUUAUCACCGUGAGAAAUCCAAAAAGGAGGAGUGAGAGCGGCUUGAAACGCAGCAGUUGCAAUAAGCACAACUACUACGAGGAUAGCGUUUCGCAUAUCCCCUGACAAACCGAGAUCCAGGUAAGCACCAUAUUGGAGUAAAUAAUCUAUCAACCUCAUCUUUGGUUUCAAGUACGUUUCAAAAACGGUGGCUUCAUCUUGAAUAUGUAAAUAUUUGGCAAUGGCACGAUUGACAAGUGAUGAACCUUCUUUAUUUCCUGCGCUUAUUAAAAUUUUCCUUGCUUCUUCAUUUUCAGGUUUGAGGAUUUCCAAUGCCGUCUUACCUUCUAAGUUUUUCUUAUUCACAUGCACAAGCCCGAUUAAUGACUUCAUAACCUGAAACCAUAAACAAGCAGUCAUAUAAAAUUAUAAUUGAACAGAUAAAGUGUUUACUAAACAAUAAUUGGUUUAAAGAAAAAUGAGAACCAUUUUAUUUUAUUGAUUUUUAUUAAUUUCUGGUAUUUUUAAUUAAGCGAAUUUAUGUAUAAUGAUGUAUCGAUUUGAAAGAGUAUCAACUAUUGAGUGAAUGGAGUUUCGAUCAUGAUCACAAUCCCUUUCAAGUCAAUCCCUUUCAAGUUUUAGUUUGAUCUCGAGACAAGUUUGAUGUUUCCAGUCAAAUUUGUGGGUGUGAAAGGUGGAUUAGGACUUUGAUCCUUAAUGUUAUUUUUACAAAUUAUAGAAAGUUAGAAAAAGUCAAGUAAAAAAUUAUAGAUUUUGGAAAAAUGGAGUUUUUAGGCUCGGUUGCCCAUUAAUCAGCCAAAAUUUCAAUGAAUCGGUUAUACAAACUCGAUCUCCUGUUCUGCUUCAUUCAUUCUGCUUUUUCAUAAUCAUUUAAUUAUAGUUUAUUAUGUUUUACUUUAUUUAGUUGGCUACAGUUUCAAGCUAUCUUUUGAUUGUUAUUCUUCUAUUCCCUUAGUUGUUUGUUGAAUAUUUGAGUAAGAUCACUUUUUAUUGUAAAAUUAGUUAUUAAUAUCCUAACAGCAUACAUAAUAAAUAUUUAUCUAAGACAGUAUAUUCCACAUAGUCAUUUUAACAGAAAAAUUAAUAAAAAAAAUCAAAUUUCUUGAAAUUGGAAAAUAAAAACAUACUUUAUACAGUAGCAAAAGUUCAAAUAAGUGUGUAAUACCAAAGGACCUUGGAAGUUAUGUUGAACCAAGGAAUACACCUAGCAAGAUUUGCCCAUUAGCGAGGUGGAAAGCAACAUGUGAAAGGAAUGAGAAAGCAAAAGGCUCACCUAAGAGUCACGAACUAUUUUUCAUAAAUAGGCUGGCCACAGGCUAUUAAUAAGAAGCACAUGGACAGUGAAUAAAGCGUAACUCCUAAUCAAAUCAAUUACAAAAUAACCAAUAAGUUGUCGCCAUCUAGCAAAAAUUGAAAAUGACCAAACUACUCCAACGCUCGGAGAGAAAUCUAUAAAUACCCCUAUAGUUGAAGGAGGCAUACAAAUUAAAUAUCUUACUCUCAAAUAGCUAUUUCUUCUAUUAUUCUAAUUAAGUAUCAAAACUAGUAAAUUUAGGAGGUGAAAGUCAUAGUUAGAUGAGAAGAUUUAUUAAUUUUAUUUACAUUGAUAUUCGAUUGUAGUUGUUUUAUCAAUAAACUCGUUUAAUUCUAUUUGUACCAUCAACAAGUACCAAUUUUAUUCAUAAGGGUCAAAAUUAAUAGUUCAAUGAUGGGUAAUUGGAUAAACUUCUCAAUUCUACAAUCAAUAUUCUUUCAAAAUUAGAAUUGUACUAAUUUUACCAAUUACCUAAAUUACUCUGAUUGUUUGACAAUGAAGAUUUGGAGCUCUGAAAGUGAUCUCACACUAAGCUUAAAUGCUGUAAUCAUCCAUCUCUAAACCUGGAAAUCGAGUGAAGAUCUAGUAUAUGAGACUCCAUCAAAGUAGAUCUCCACUUAGAUGCUUUAUGGUACAUAAUUUUUAAAACUCAUUUUUUUCCAAAUUAAUUUUUUAUAAAACAUUCUCACAUUAAAAUAAUUUUAUACGUGAAUUCAUAAUUUUUCUUAUUUUUUAAUCACUAAGUCUUCAAAAAUAUUUAAUAUAUUCUCAAAAAAUCUUACAUCAAAGGGGCCUAAGAACGAAACUAGAAAAAAACAUUGUGUUCUUUGCUUUGGUACUUUAUUGGGAUUUCUAGAUUCAAUAAUGUCAAUGGUUUGGACAAACCUCACAUGAGCCCUGUCGUCGCUUCCUAGCAGCGGGUUGGGUUCAGCUUCAAGUUUAAUAAAGGAAUUAUUUAUUGAUGAAAGUUAAUUGAAGGAGAUUCUAGGGAACUCAUUCUGAGUUAAAUAAAUGGAGAUUUAGUCAUAGGAACAUACCUCCGGUUGGUUUGUUAAUGCUGCAAGAUGUAUCAAGGUAUUGCCGUCCUUGUUUCUCCAGCGAAACACGUUCUUAUAACCUGUCCUCUUAGCCCAACCAAACAAAACCUUAAAAGCUCCCAAAUUGUUGUUUAUUACAGCAAUAUGCACGGCAGUCUCAUCUCGAACGGUCAAGUCAUUUAUUGAGAGUGGACAUAUGAGAAGAAAAUAAAUCAAAAGAUCAAUUUCCUCCUUUUCCACUGCAUAAUGCAAAAGAGUGAUCCCUUCCCUCCCUGGGACACGAAUGAGGUUCAGAUUAUGCUUGAUAAGUCGUUUCACAGUGUUGGUAUGUCCCUUAUCCAAAGCCAGGUGCAGUGGACUUAGACCAUCAAGGUUCAAUUUCUUCCCCAACGAAGGCUUUAGCCUCAAGAUUUCAAGAGCAAGGUUGGUACGGCCUUCUGAAGCAGCAGUGUGAAGAGGUGACUCCACAAAUGGCAUCUCACUGGGGACUUCCAAGAAGUGUGGAUUAUCGCCUAUUUUUGUGUACAAUUCAGCUAUUUCAGGAUUUUUAACAGUUCUCAUUAUGCAAACUCAAGAUAGUUUAAAAUUGAAAAAGUGAAAAAAAACUGAAAACUGCUGAGUAUUUCAAUUGGAUCUUAUCUGAGUUUCUUUAUAUAAUUGAUCACAAGAACAAACACUGUUCAAGAUUCAGGUGUCACGAUCUUGUACAGUCUCGAACACAACUAUCCAAUCAAAUUUAUAUUUUCCUCUUCCUUGAAUUGUAAUCUAUUUUCUCCACCUAACAGUCAAACUCAAUAGAAUAAUAUUUACAUGCAUGAUGGUGACUUGAUUAAAUAAUAUUUCUCGUUGAGCAUUUCGAAUUAGCAUCAUGUGGCCAACACGGAUUAAAAAUGUGAUGACCAUGCUUUCUUGUUGACUUCGAUAGUCAAUGAAUUUCCUCCUUGUUGUUUUCGCUUCUAUCCCAUAGCAUUGAAAAAAAAAAAAGGUUUUAAACAAGCGCGUUAUUUUCUCACUAACCCAAUAAAUUUAUAUUUUCGAAGGAACGUUAGUUUUUCAAGUGUAGCCUGGAUUAAAAAUGUGUUAACCCCGGUUUCUCAUCGCCUUCCGCAGACAAUAAAUUAUUAAAUUCUCUCAUUGUUGCCUUUUCUUCUAACCUAUUACAUUAAAUUAAAUUAAAAAUAAGCAAAUGCAUUACCAUCUCACUAACCCAGUCAAUUUAAAUUUUCCUCACCUAACGGACAAACUCACUAGAAUACAAAUAUAUGAAGUUCACGUGCAUGACUAGAUUGAAUAUUAUUUUUGGCAAGUGUUCCAAAGUAACUUAAUUUUUCAGGUCUUGCCGGUAUGGAUUAAAAAUCUGAUAACCCCGCUUGCUCGUCACCUUCGACGGUCGUUGAAUUUCCUUAUUGUUGCUUUUUCUUCUAUGGUAUAGCAUCGAGUUAAAUUAAAAAUAACCAAACGCUUUAUCUUCUCACUAACCUAGUGACUACAAUUGCAAUUGCAAUUACAACAUUAUAAUAAGUUUAUAAUUACAAUUACAAUUAAGUUUAUAAAUUUUAUAGUAAUUACAAUUAAGUUGAAAACUUAUAAUAAUUGUAAUUAAGUCCAAUACUUUUACAAUAAUUGCAAGUAAGUCUCAAUACAUUAUGGAGCUACCACGAGACCUAGUUGAAUUUGUAUUAUUCGAAUUUCAAUAAUUAGAUCAUAUUUAGUUGACCCCAUACUACAUAAUCCAAUCAUUAGUUUUUAUUUUUUCAUUAAAGGAAAAAGACGACACAUUAGAAAUAUAUACAAUAUCAGAAGUCAACAUAUACUUUUCUCUAACCUUCCUUGCAUGUAUUUUUUUCCGUUCGAAAUCCAUUAGCUUGAUACAGGCAUAAAUGAUUAUUAUACCCUUCUAAUUAUUCUCACUAAUUCAGGUACCAUUUUUCUGCAAUGGUUUUGUGAACCAAUANNNNNNNNNNNNNNNNNNNNNNNNNNNNNNNNNNNNNNNNNNNNNNNNNNNNNNNNNNNNNNNNNNNNNNNNNNNNNNNNNNNNNNNNNNNNNNNNNNNNNNNNNNNNNNNNNNNNNNNNNNNNNNNNNNNNNNNNNNNNNNNNNNNNNNNNNNNNNNNNNNNNNNNNNNNNNNNNNNNNNNNNNNNNNNNNNNNNNNNNNNNNNNNNNNNNNNNNNNNNNNNNNNNNNNNNNNNNNNNNNNNNNNNNNNNNNNNNNNNNNNNNNNNNNNNNNNNNNNNNNNNNNNNNNNNNNNNNNNNNNNNNNNNNNNNNNNNNNNNNNNNNNNNNNNNNNNNNNNNNNNNNNNNNNNNNNNNNNNNNNNNNNNNNNNNNNNNNNNNNNNNNNNNNNNNNNNNNNNNNNNNNNNNNNNNNNNNNNNNNNNNNNNNNNNNNNNNNNNNNNNNNNNNNNNNNNNNNNNNNNNNNNNNNNNNNNNNNNNNNNNNNNNNNNNNNNNNNNNNNNNNNNNNNNNNNNNNNNNNNNNNNNNNNNNNNNNNNNNNNNNNNNNNNNNNNNNNNNNNNNNNNNNNNNNNNNNNNNNNNNNNNNNNNNNNNNNNNNNNNNNNNNNNNNNNNNNNNNNNNNNNNNNNNNNNNNNNNNNNNNNNNNNNNNNNNNNNNNNNNNNNNNNNNNNNNNNNNNNNNNNNNNNNNNNNNNNNNNNNNNNNNNNNNNNNNNNNNNNNNNNNNNNNNNNNNNNNNNNNNNNNNNNNNNNNNNNNNNNNNNNNNNNNNNNNNNNNNNNNNNNNNNNNNNNNNNNNNNNNNNNNNNNNNNNNNNNNNNNNNNNNNNNNNNNNNNNNNNNNNNNNNNNNNNNNNNNNNNNNNNNNNNNNNNNNNNNNNNNNNNNNNNNNNNNNNNNNNNNNNNNNNNNNNNNNNNNNNNNNNNNNNNNNNNNNNNNNNNNNNNNNNNNNNNNNNNNNNNNNNNNNNNNNNNNNNNNNNNNNNNNNNNNNNNNNNNNNNNNNNNNNNNNNNNNNNNNNNNNNNNNNNNNNNNNNNNNNNNNNNNNNNNNNNNNNNNNNNNNNNNNNNNNNNNNNNNNNNNNNNNNNNNNNNNNNNNNNNNNNNNNNNNNNNNNNNNNNNNNNNNNNNNNNNNNNNNNNNNNNNNNNNNNNNNNNNNNNNNNNNNNNNNNNNNNNNNNNNNNNNNNNNNNNNNNNNNNNNNNNNNNNNNNNNNNNNNNNNNNNNNNNNNNNNNNNNNNNNNNNNNNNNNNNNNNNNNNNNNNNNNNNNNNNNNNNNNNNNNNNNNNNNNNNNNNNNNNNNNNNNNNNNNNNNNNNNNNNNNNNNNNNNNNNNNNNNNNNNNNNNNNNNNNNNNNNNNNNNNNNNNNNNNNNNNNNNNNNNNNNNNNNNNNNNNNNNNNNNNNNNNNNNNNNNNNNNNNNNNNNNNNNNNNNNNNNNNNNNNNNNNNNNNNNNNNNNNNNNNNNNNNNNNNNNNNNNNNNAAAAUAAGCAAAUGCAUUACCAUCUCACUAACCCAGUCAAUUUAAAUUUUCCUCACCUAACGGACAAACUCACUAGAAUACAAAUAUAUGAAGUUCACGUGCAUGACUAGAUUGAAUAUUAUUUUUGGCAAGUGUUCCAAAGUAAAUUAAUUUUUCAGGUCUUGCCGGUAUGGAUUAAAAAUCUGAUAACCCCGCUUGCUCGUCACCUUCGACGGUCGUUGAAUUUCCUUAUUGUUGCUUUUUCUUCUAUGGUAUAGCAUCGAGUUAAAUUAAAAAUAACCAAACGCUUUAUCUUCUCACUAACCUAGUGACUACAAUUGCAAUUGCAAUUACAACAUUAUAAUAAGUUUAUAAUUACAAUUACAAUUAAGUUUAUAAAUUUUAUAGUAAUUACAAUUAAGUUGAAAACUUAUAAUAAUUGUAAUUAAGUCCAAUACUUUUACAAUAAUUGCAAGUAAGUCUCAAUACAUUAUGGAGCUACCACGAGACCUAGUUGAAUUUGUAUUAUUCGAAUUUCAAUAAUUAGAUCAUAUUUAGUUGACCCCAUACUACAUAAUCCAAUCAUUAGUUUUUAUUUUUUCAUUAAAGGAAAAAGACGACACAUUAGAAAUAUAUACAAUAUCAGAAGUCAACAUAUACUUUUCUCUAACCUUCCUUGCAUGUAUUUUUUUCCGUUCGAAAUCCAUUAGCUUGAUACAGGCAUAAAUGAUUAUUAUACCCUUCUAAUUAUUCUCACUAAUUCAGGUACCAUUUUUCUGCAAUGGUUUUGUGAACCAAUAGCAUAUGUCGAAAUUUAGUCAUCGCAAAACACAGUGUCCAGGUUUUAAUUGCUCAACAGAAAUACUUAGACCAUCGCUUUACUCAUUUUUCAGGAUGAUGGUUCCCAACACAAAAUCAAAUUCUCUACUUAGCUCGUUUUUAAUCUCCCAAUUUAUCGAGAUAUUUGACUGAUCGAAUUUAUAAAAAAUUAUUGGUUAAUAAGAGAAUUAUUAUAAUUACAAAAAGAUAGACACAAUUGUGUUGAGCAGUGUGAAGAUGUGACUCUACAAAUGGCAUCUCAUUAGGAACUUCCAAGUAGUGUGGAUUAUCGCCUAUUUUUGGGUACAAUUAAGCCAUUUCAGGAUUUUCAACAGUUCUCAUUAUGCAAACUCAAGAUUGUUUAAAACUGAAAAGUGAAAACUCAAGAUAGUUUAAAACUGAAAACUGCUGAGUAUUUCAAUUGGAUCUUAUCUGAGUUUCUUUAUAUAAUUGAUCACAAGGUGUCACGAUCUUGUACAGUCUCGAACACAACAAUCCAGUCAAAUUUAUAUUUUCCUCUUCCUUGAAGUGUAAUCCAUUUUCUUCACCUACCAGUCAAACUCAAUAGAAUAAUAUUUACAUGCAUGAUGGUGACUUGAUUAAAUAAUAUUUCUCGUUGAGCAUUUUGAAUUAGCAUCAUGUGGCCAACACGGAUUAAAAAUGUGAGGACCAUGCUUUCUUGUUGACUUCGAUAGCCAAUGAAUUUCCUCCUCGUUGUUUUCGCUUCUAUCCCAUAGCAUUGGGGAAAAAAAAUGGUUUUAAACGAGCGCGUUAUUUUCUCACUAACCCAAUCAAUUUCCGCGGACAAUAAAUUAUUAAAUUCUCUCAUUGUUGCCUUUUCUUCUAACCUAUUACAUUAAAUUAAAUUAAAAAUAAGCAAAUGCAUUACCAUCUCACUAACCCAGUCAAUUUAAAUUUUCCUCACCUAACGGACAAACUCACUAGAAUACAAAUAUAUGAAGUUCACGUGCAUGACUAGAUUGAAUAUUAUUUUUGGCAAGUGUUCCAAAGUAAAUUAAUUUUUCAGGUCUUGCCGGUAUGGAUUAAAAAUCUGAUAACCCCGCUUGCUCGUCACCUUCGACGGUCGUUGAAUUUCCUUAUUGUUGCUUUUUCUUCUAUGGUAUAGCAUCGAGUUAAAUUAAAAAUAACCAAACGCUUUAUCUUCUCACUAACCUAGUGACUACAAUUGCAAUUGCAAUUACAACAUUAUAAUAAGUUUAUAAUUACAAUUACAAUUAAGUUUAUAAAUUUUAUAGUAAUUACAAUUAAGUUGAAAACUUAUAAUAAUUGUAAUUAAGUCCAAUACUUUUACAAUAAUUGCAAGUAAGUCUCAAUACAUUAUGGAGCUACCACGAGACCUAGUUGAAUUUGUAUUAUUCGAAUUUCAAUAAUUAGAUCAUAUUUAGUUGACCCCAUACUACAUAAUCCAAUCAUUAGUUUUUAUUUUUUCAUUAAAGGAAAAAGACGACACAUUAGAAAUAUAUACAAUAUCAGAAGUCAAUAUAUACUUUUCUCUAACCUUCCUUGCAUGUAUUUUUUUUCCGUUCGAAAUCCAUUAACUUGAUACAGGCAUAAAUGAUUAUUUUACCCUUCUAAUUAUUCUCACUAAUUUAGGUACCAUUUUUCUGCAAUGGUUUUGUGAACCAAUAACAUGUGUCGAAAUUUAGUCAUAGCAAAACACAGUGUCCAGGUUUUAAUUGCUCAACAGAAAUACUUAAACAAUCACUUUACUCAUUUUUCAUGAUGAUGGUUCCCGUCACAAAAUCCAAUUCUCUACUUAGCUCAUUUUUAAUCUCUCAAUUUAUCGAGAUAUUUGACUGAUAAAAUUUAUAAAAAAAUUAUUGGUUAAUAAGAGAAUCAUUAUAAUUACAAAAAGAUAGACACAAUUGUGUUGAGUUUAGAUAAAAUACAUGAAAAUCAUGUGGAAUUGAAUUCUUUGUACGUCAUGCUAUAGAAUUAAACUCGACACGUGAUCAUUUCAAUGCAUUCCAAGUGUAAUACACCUUUAACUAUUUUUGAAAUAAGCACAAAUCAUAAAUCUGGCUAUUGAAUUGUUCAACACUACAAUCUUUUAACACGACGUGCCUACCCUUAUAUAUUGGUUGUAAACAAUUUAUUUAUGAUCAAAAUAUAAAUUGUGUCACAUUGUUUUUCUCAAUGCAAGUAUCUAACUUAUAUUAUUUCGAGUAAUCAUAGAUACUUUAAUUCGCAUUUUCAAUAAUAAAUAAAUAUAAAAAAUAAAUAAAAUUACAAUUUAUUUUUAAUAAAAUAUUAUUUUAUCAUAGCAAAAAUUAUCAUAUGAGCGCUUAACUAGAAAAAUUCCUUGAUGCUUAAGUUAACAUAUUUCAAGCUCAGGAUUUUGAAUUUUUUUUUCAUUUUUUAAGAGAGUUUAAGAUUGCAUAUCUUUCUAGUUGGAAAUGAUUUCUUUAUGCCCCUAUUUGGUUUAAUUUAAGAUAAAGUCAACAAUUAAUUAUAACAAUAUAUUUUAUGGAAUCCACAACUUUUCAAUCACAUAUCUCAUUAACUUUUAUCAAGUUUACUGAAAAUAUAAUUUUAAUUCCAUUGAAACAUAGGCUAUACAAUGUUUUCAAGAAUUAACAACACUCAUCAUUUCAUUUACUGUCAAUCACUUUCAAUAAGCAGCAACAUUAGGAUGGCAUGUCAGAGUAAUUAUUCAUUUGGUAUAAGAAAAAACCAAGAAAUAGUUAAAAAUCAAAUGAAUAACUCACAUUGAACGCUGAAGUACGAGUGGUGUAAUUCACAUCUCGAAGCAAAAUCUUUAUCCGGACGAGGAGUGCGGCCUUCCGAGUUGUACUUUCUAAUCACAAGCUUUAUCAUCUCCUCAACACUGGAUCCUAAUUUCACCAUUGUUCGGAUUGGCCCAGGACUUCCCUCCAAUGUUACAUUAACUACAACCUUGGAGUGUUUGUUGUACCUCUACACACCAAAUUUCUCACAGAAAUUAAACAUCGUACCAUCAAUAAAAUUUCAAAUUUUUUCCUCAUUAAACAUGUUCAACUCAAUACAAUUCAAAAUAAUGAAGACUACAAUGAAGAGCUAAUAAAUAAAAAGGUGUCUCAAACAUUUCGUAGUAAAAGUAUAAGGUUAUGUUUAGGAUCCAAAUUCUUCACAUAAUAUAUACAUAUAAGAUUUUAAUUUUUUUUUUUCAUUUUUAUCAUGUUUAGUACUCCAUAUUAAACAUGUUACAAGAGUUCAAGAGUUUUAGUGCGAGUUCUCUAUGAGUGUAUGAAAAUGCAAUAUAUUGCAACCUUAUAUUAGAUGAAUUUAAACGACCAUAAUUGAAACUCCAUAGCUGAAGGAAAAGAUGCCGAGAGGAAAGUAGAGAAACGAAAUGAGUGGAUUAAAUUUAUAUGUGGGUAGAGCAUAUGUUCAAAUGGCCAUGCCAUAGGCCAAUGUGUUCACAAACUGAAUUGCAUAUGAGCACCCACUUUGAUUAACAUCUUCGUCAACAUUAUACCUGAAAUUCGUCAACAACGACGGUUUAAUUUGCAUGGCCACGUCAGCUGUUGACACAUUUUAUUUAGUCCGCAAUGGGGAAAAGAACAAUUCUACGAACAGUAAUACCAUAGAUGGAUGAUGGAUUUAAUGCUCUCAACAUAACAUUUUGUGUUCUAUCUAGGUAUAGUGGUAUUCUCUAUAAUAGAUGAAUGGAGGUUGAGUCGAAUGAUAAUACCUGCAGCUAGUGAGUUAAUGCUACAAGAAGAUGCAGCACUGUAUUGCCUUGCUCAUCUCUAAAUCUUAUAACUGCUAUGUCGUCACUUCUAUGAACCUCUUUUAAGUUUUUGUUUCUGACUGCAAUACGCACAGCAGUUUCAUCUGAUUCCGCUGCAUAAUGCAAUGGAGUGAUUCCUUCCCUCCCUGGGACACAAACGAGGUCCGGAUUAUGUCUGACAAGCCGCUUCACAGUGGUGAUGUGUCUAUUACGCAAAGACAGGUCCAAAGAGGUGCGACCAUCAAGGUUCAAUUUCCUCCCUAGUGUAGGCUUUAGCCUCGAGAUUUCAAGAGCAAGGCUGGUCCGGGCUUUGGAAGCAGCUAUAUGGAGAGGUGUUUCUGCAAAUGGCAUCUCACUGGGGACUUCCAAUUACAGUGGAUUCUCGCAUAUUGAGCAAUGUCCAUUCAAGUUUUUUGAACUGACGCUAGUGUGUAAAUGAAAAGUGCUCGAGUAUAGAAUACUAGCAUUCUUAGUUUCUUUAUAUAGUAUAAUCUAAUGGUUUUUUUCGCCUAUAUAUGAAUUAAAAAUAUGCAAAUUAUUUUUCCCGUUUCCUUCCCGUGUGAAUUUCCUCAUUCUAUGGUUCUAGUUUAUCGGGUCUUUUCAAAGUCGUAAAAUAAUUAUGAAACAAAAGGUUCGUUUUCAUUCAUCCUAAUAUUUCGGUUGAAUCAAAUUUACGAGUUGGCUCAUGGACACGUCUUAGGCUCAUGGGCCAGGUUUACCAACAUGGACCACGAGUCGACUUGUGGCUCAUGGGCUACUAAUUGUCUUCCAUUUUGCCGUUGGCUGGCAGCCAAACUGCAAAUGAUCAUUUGGUGCCAAGGCAAAAGGUCUAAUGUCCAAAUUUAACAUUUUAAAAUGAACAUAUAUGUUUUUAAUAUAGAUUGUCACUUCAAUUCAUUUUUUUACACAAAUUUCUACAUAGAUUCUAUUAUCUUUAAUUUUACUUAAUUGAGUUAUUUAUGUUCAAAUAUAGUAUAAAUUUAAUUAUUCUAUCUUUUCCUUCCAUAUAUUAUUUCAAAUGGCAUCUUUGAAUCAAUUUUACCUCUAUAUAAUCAGGCUAAACAGUCAUAUCUGAAUUCAUAUUUAGGGUAGAAUUGGUUUCAAAGAUGCCAAGUAUUUAAAGAAAAUAUAUUUCAUAUAUUGAAUCUUGCACGGAGAAUUUAAUGUAUUUAAAUAAUUCAAUAGACAUGGAUUAAGUUUAAGUUAAUUUUCUUUAACUUUUUUGAAUUUUUAGAAAAUAAUGUACAAUUUUAACUCUGUUUAUAUUAAAAAUAGUCGGCCAAAGUCCUAAAAAGGAGGAAAGUUUCAAAUUUUUUAUUAAUUUAUAAAUAGGAGCUGGGUCAUCGGUCGUGAAAAGCUCGGCUCAAUUUUCAAGAUUUGAUUUCAAGAUUUCUAAGUGUAGUUAGUUAAUUUUCUCUAUUUUUUUGAAUUUUCAGAAAUAUAUUUACAAUUUUAACUCCAUUUAUAUUAAAAAAUAAUCAGUCCCAAAUCUGAAAGAGGAAAAUUUCAAUUUUUUAUUUAUUUUAAAAAAAUGCCUGUUACGGGUCGUGGAAAGCUCGACUCCGCCAAUAAAUCCUUCGACUUAAAUGGCUGAAACAAACAUAGAUUCUAGAAAUGAGGCGAGCUUCAUAUUUUAUUGUCAUAUUCCUCAAUUAGUGAAUUUCCUCGAAGUAAUGCUAUUCAUCAAUUGGUGUCAAGCACCAAUUUAAGUGGCAAUUGACACGACCCGUCCCGAAUCAUCUUAAUGGACUCAACACGUGUCGGAUCAACCACCAAGGUAACUUUAAUUUGCUUGAUUGAAAAAUAUUUUUAACAAAAUUUUGACUAAGCCUCCUCUAAAAUAUGGACUAAAUCCACCUGAUCCAUAAUUGAUUUGCUUAAAUCAAUACAUAUAAUGUAAAAUAAGGUACAUCAGCCCCUCAAAAUUCAAACUAUUCAAAUAAUUUGCUAGCAAUUCAAUAUUUACUUGCUUUACUACUAAAAAUCCUCAAAUAUACUAAGUAUACCACGUAGUGAUUUCAUGACAACCUUUUCUAACAUAAGCUACAUGUAACCCAAAAAAUGGAUACUACCAAAUUUGAUAAAGUAGGCCAUACAACUAAUGACAUGUGGCCCAAUUCAGUGGAUCGAUAGGCUCCAACACUGCUCAACUCGACUGCUAUCUACUAAAGAAAAAGGUUAAAAGAAAUAUGAGCUUGCAGCUCAGUGAAUGCAUAAUCUGCAAAUAAAUAUACUUUUUCUUUUAUGCAUAUAUUCAGAAAAUUCUUGCACUACUAAAACUUUUAGAAAUUCUAAAAUUUGUAAGCUGAACUGUAAACUGGGAAAUGUAAGCUGAAGGCAAAUAAUCCACUAUAUACUUAAAAUUCACAUCAAAAUAUACCCCAUGUAAACAUCUACUAAUGAUCUGAAAGCUAUAAAAUCAUAUGCACAUAAACCGUCUGAUCAAUACUCUGUACACGGCCGUAGCUCCUCAAUGCACAAGAUGGAAACGACAUAAUCAUCCUUAUAUACGAAUGUAGCCCCUCAGUGAAUAAGAAUUACCCUUACAUACGGCUGCAGCCCCCUCAAGGUACAGGAGUUAAAUACAUGACUCUAGUAUACGGUCGUAGCCCCUCAAUGUACAAGAUGGAAACAACAAAAUCAUUCUAAUACAUGGCUGUAACCCCCUCAGUGUAUAGGAAUUAAAAUACAUGACUCUAGUACACAGUCGUAGCCUCUUAGUGUACAAGAUGGAAACAACAUAAUCAUCCUUUUACACGGCUGUAACCCCUCAGUAUAUCGGAGUUAAAAUACAUAACUCUAGUACACUGCCAUAGCCCCUCAGUGCACUAGAGUAAGAUAAUUACAUCAAUUAUUUUCUGAUAAUUUCAAAACAAUCAUGCUCAUUUACUAAUUUCUCGAAAAUAAGGCAUUUCAUGUAACUAAUAUGCUUCUAUAAAAUAAAAAGAAAAUCUUCUUUUUGGAAAAGUAGGUUCUCCACUUACAGAACUAUGUAUGAAAACUUGAUUUAAUUGACGAGCCUUUCUAAACUUUCACGUCUCUACCCGAAACAACGGUAUAAUUUCUCAAAUUAAUAUCUGACAAUUAAACUAAUACAAAUUCACCUCUUAACUUCUCAAUUCCUAUAUAUACUCUUACACCUCCAAUUCUCCAACUUUCCUUCUCUCUAAAGAUUUAUCAACUAAUCACCGUUCAUUAUCAAAUCAAUUAAAUUACUUGCACUUGCUUAAAAUCAAUACCUUAGAAAACCCGUAUACAUAAUUUAGUCUACUACAUAAACAGUGUUGGCCCUGACCCAAGAUAAGUGAGGCCAUUGCCUUGAGCCUCAGGGGCCCCAUCUCUUAAAAAAAUAAAAAUUGGCACAUAAAAAUCUAUGAAGCCAUUUGAAAUAUAAUACACUCAGUAAAAUUAUUAUCACAAAUCAAAGCAAGAACACGUUUAAACAAAAUAAAAACCGAAAAAAUCUAUGAAGUCCACCUGAAGUCAGAUAAGCUUACUUGAAGACAACACAAUUCUUAACAUGGGUCUGCUGCUGUUCUUAACUCUUUUCACAAUAUAAACUCAAUAACCUGGGCUAAAAUUUAUAUAUUUAUAUCAAGAUAAUGAUUUGGUGUUCAUCCCUCAAGGUUUUACAAUUCUGGGUCAAUUUUUUGCUCUUACGCGACAUAAAGUGUACUGAUAGAGAAUAUUUAAGAUAAGGAGUAAAAGAGAGUGAAUGGACCGUUGUUGGAUCUUGUGUUGCGAUGAUGAUGACUUCAGACCUGGUUCUCUCUUUUCCCUCUCUAAAACGAUUUUGGAAGAUUAUUGAGUGACUACGUUUUAAGGUUUCAGUGGUUAGAUUACACAACUCAUUUCUGUAAUUGGCUAAAAUCAAUCGGAUUAACAAUUUGCUAAUGUUAAAUAAAAAAAGUAUUAAGGAGAAAGCAAGUCAAAUUAGGAGCUUUCAUUUGAUGAAUGGAAGUUUACAGUUUUUGGACAUCUUGAGUUUCUAGUCACUUUCACUAUUAUAUUCUUGAUGAAUAUAUCUACAUUUUUUCUUUCCUUUUGAUUUUAAUUGGUUGGGUAAGUAAGAAACUGUCCAGAAAUAAUUUGUGUAAUGCAAACUUUCUGAUAUCUUCUUGAAUAUUUUUCCAAAAUCUCUCCUUUUUUAUUUUAAAUAUUUACAUAUUGUUAGACUUGUAAAAUAAAUUUUGUGUUGAGGGGCCACAUAAUAAUUAAACGCCUAGGGCUUCUAAAUUCUUAGGACCGGCCCUGUACAUAAACUUCAAUACUUAUCAUAUAACUUCAUUCAAGCUUUUAAAAUGUGAAAAUCAAAGGUUAGACAAAAACAAUACUAAAAUUCUAGAAUAUGGAACUGUAAAAUAAGUUUCUGUACGUUGAAGAUUAUCACCAAAACAAUUGAUAAAAAUGGCACUUUUCUGGGCAAAAUUACAAAAUCAGCACCUUGUAUUAAAAUUGCUAAAAAAUAGCUUAAAAUUGUUUAAAAUGGAGAAAUCAAACCUCAUAUUCCUAAAUUAAGUGGCUGACACCAUAUAAUCACAAGAAAGACAAAGAAUAGGUAUCCAUUUCAUAAACCCAAUUUCAAAAUUUCACUUUCUACAACAUCAAUCUUCCUUUAUACAUUUCCUUGAUCUACUCUUGUUUAAUACCUCAAAUACAUAUUAAUAAUCUCUAAGUCUUACUAAACUUCGAAUAUAAAUGAAUUGUUCAUAAACCCUAGAAAUUUAAUUAAGAUUCCUCUUUAAAAGAAGCAUAAAUUGAAGAAAUGAAGAACCCAAACUUGCAAAAGUCAUCAACUUCAUCAUUUCCUUUCCUUUCUUCUUAUUUUCUUUUUUCUUUCUUCUUUUCCAUUUUUUUCUUUCUUCUUUCUAGGCCUUUAUGCUUCUGUGCGUUUUUUUAGAGCCUGUUUGAUAGACACCCAAAUUUCAUGGAAAAUAGAAUUCGUUUUCCAACUUUCACUUUUUACAAUAUUUGAUAAGUUUUUUCCGUGAAAUUCUCUUUCUUGAUUGUCUUGAAAACCGGAAUUUUCUUGAUUUUUCUUAAAAACCAAUUCCCACCAAUAUGGUGGGAAUUGGUUUUCUAGGUACUUUAUACGUUUUUUAUUAUUCUCAUUUUUUUUUUUUACAAUGGAAACAAAUUCUAAGAAUUAUUGUCAAAAAAUAUUUCCCUUUAAUUGGCAAUUUUCAUGUAAAAUAAAGUCAAAUGAACACAAAAAGAUAGGUGAUUUUUUUUAUUUUUUUUUUUGCAAUGGAAACAAAAUUCGUCUCCAAUACCAGUAAAAUCUAUCCAUUUAAUUGACAAUUUUCAUAUAAAAUAAAGUCAAACGAGCCUCAAAAAAUACUUUUAUUUCAGCAUUUUCCAUGUGAAAAUUUAUACUAAUCAAACACAAUAAUUUACAAUUCUCAAGAAAAUAAUUUCUAGAUAAUUCAAUUCCCUAAAAUUCGUUUACAAUUCAAUUUAAUUUCAUUUUUACAAUCAAACGGACCCUUAGUAUGUGUGUGUGUGAGAGAGAAAUAUUGGUCAAAGGUUGAAUAUAAAGGCCCACUUGUUCAAAAUUUCAAAGGAAGUCCCUCUUCUUUAAUAGAAUAUAUACAUUUAAAUCCUAAAGUUUCAAAAAUAUAUUUAAUUUCAUUUUUGUCCUUAAUUGACUUUGACAAUUCAAUAUUUGAAUUUUGACUAGGAAGAUUUGGGUUUUAACAACAACUAUAUGAAUUUUAAUGAUAGAUUCAUUUAAUUAAGUUAGAUAAGUGUGAUCAUUGUUAGAUAGCAAUAUCCACUUCCUCCUUGCUCUCUCUCUCUCUCUCUCUCUCCCUCUUUUUUUAUUAUUAUUAUUAUUAUUAUUAUUAUUAUUAUUAUUAUUAUUUCUCACGAAAUUAAAUUAACAAUUAGUAAAUUCAUAAUCUAGUCAUUGAACUCCAGUUGAUUAGUAACACCUAACAUUCCCACAUUUUGCGUCACCCUAAUUUUCUUAAAAUCGCCAUCUUAUGUAACCAUCAUAAAAAGGCCAUAUUUAGUCAAUGACUCCAUGGAAGGCUAACCAGAAUCCAUAAUUCUUUUUAUAAAUGGAAAAAACAUACCUAUUUUCUAUAAAUUUUUGUUAUUUGCUUUUUGCUAAUAAAUAUUACAUUGAUUAACCAAUGAUUCAAGAUUGGAGGCUAGCAUAAAUUUAUUUUAGCUAAAGUAAGAUUUUUUUUUUUUUUGGGUUUAUUUAAAUUCAUGUUAUAUUAGACAAAAGGUUGAAAAAACAUGCAAAGCAAAUAUAAUAAACUAUUAUUUAAUAUAUGUUCAAAACAGAAAAUAUAUUUGACAUUCUGUGAAGUUGUUGCAUGUAUAAAUGAACAGUGCUAUACAUGAAAAUUGGUGUUUAGCACCACCAAUUGGCAAAAGGACUAUUGUCACAUUGCUCAACGAAUAAAAUGCAUUUUGUUAUUAAUAAAAGUAUUUUAUACACUUAUGCGAGCAUCAAAAAUAUAGAUAUUUCGUGGUUCUUCUGAUUAAUUAUGGUUUAAUUUAUUACUUAUUUCGUUUGUUAGGUAAAACAUGAUCAUUUGAAGCAAAAUUGAAAGAAAUAAGUGAAAAAUAGUGAAAUUCAAAGUUUGGAAACCUAAUUGCAACUUUCCUAUAGUUGAUUCUGACUACAAGAUGAUGAUUGAAUAUUAUCAGGGUUCAAUUGGAUGCAAUUGGAAGAUAAAGCAUCAAAAUUAUUUCAAGAAAUGACUCAAGAAGAAUCCAGGGACUAAAGUACAGAUUUCAAAAAGAUGUUACGUUGGAGGGUUAAUUCACUUAUUGGUCACUAAACUAUGUGUAAAAUUUUCAGGGGGUCACUAAACUUCAAAAGUUUUCCCGUUAGUCACUGAACUUUAUAAAAUGUAUUGCCACCCGUCAUUAGUAGUUUAAAAUGACCAAAAUGCCACCAAGGUCCUGGGAAGAAUCAAUAAAUAAGUCCUACCUAAAGGAACAAUAUAUGUAAAUUCAAAUAUCUCCCAUCCAAAUAAAUAUAUACCUCUUGUCCCUUGCUAAGCAUCAAGCACAUUAGGAGAAAAAAAAAAAAAUUUAGUUAGUUGAGAAGAAUUUGUUGAUUGUGAUUUUUGUGGUCAACACCAAGAAAGUUUUCAAGGACAUAGGGAGUGGUUGGUAAAUUUCUUGUAGAAAAUUCCUAAUGAAUAGGAAACUACGGAUUCAACAGCAACUUGGGUUGAGCUCCGUGACUAUGGAAAAUGGUUGCUUUUUUAAUUAUCAAGUUUCCCAGUUAUUCCUACUAUAUUCAGUAGUUAUUAAAAGUCCAUUUUCAGCUCCUAAACAUAUCCAAAGAUGAAUUGGUAUUUUGGAUGGCAAUGCCGAGCAAAACGGGUUGCCGCCUUGGAUUUGGGAUUUUUUUUAUUUUUUAUUUUUUUUGGGUGUCCUUUUCCCGUUGGGAUGCGAUGGCAGUGGGUUGUGAUUUUGGGUCGGGGUGGUUCCCCAUGGGUGGGGAGUGGGGUUGCUUGGGGUGAUUAAAUGUCUUUUUCAUUUUCUCCAGACCUAUUUGUACUAUCUGAAAAGAUUUUUAGACUCUUUUUAUAAUUUUUUCUUUUCCUUUUUUUAUUUUUGGUUGUUUUGCUGUUCUCCUUUAUUUUAUUUUAUUUUUUUGUUUAUUUAAAAAGGAGAUCAAAUUUGUCAAUAACUGGCACGUUUCAUUAAUGAAAAGAAAAGCGGUAACAGCAUUUUACCUUUUCGACAACAGAGCACUCGUGGCACGCACGCUAUAUCUACGAGGAUUCCGAGUGUUCUAAUUCAUCCUACUUUCUUGUUGGGAUUGGACACAAUAGGAGGUGCUUCAUCCGUCAUGGCAAUUUUCCCUUCUUCAAUCAAUCAAAUAUAUAUGGAAAUAAAUUGUGUCAAAUAUGAUUUGAACCUAUACCAAAGGUAUAGAAGACCUCUAUCCUAAUCCAUUAGGGCGAACUUCGCUACUUAAUUAAUUAAAAAGUAUGGUAUGGAUUCUGCUAAUAAGAUUUGUUAGAGGUAAUUCAAAAUCUUUCAUUUGCUGUCUUUGGGGUUGUUGAAUGUGUUAAUUAAAUUGAACUUAGAGAUUUGUUCUUUCACAUCAGGGAUCAUAGGUCUACUUUUCUCUUUUCUUUAUUGUUUUAUUUGUAAUUUUAAGUAUGGUUAAUAUACAAUUGAAUUACUUCUAGAUUUUCUUAUGCCACUCUUCCGGCUAAUGAAAUGCUGCUGACUGCCGUAGUGCCUCACGAACCAAAAAUCUUGGCUCCAACAUCGAAUAUAACAAACUUGGUUUAUCCAUGAAUUUCAACCUCAUGGCCCAUAAGUGCAACCCCUUCAAUUUGGCCUCCGUUUGCCAAAUUCAUAAAUCAUUUGUAAAUUGUUCGAAUUUUAUUUUUUAAUGACACAUUGCAAUGAAUCAAUGAGUACUAACCAAUUGUCCGUUACUCAUUUUUAUAAAUUCUUCCCAAACGGAGGUAUAAACAGAUGCAACAAUAUAUGUAAAUUCAAAUAUCUCCCAUCCAAAUAAAUAUAUACCUCUUGUCCCUUGCUAAGCAUCAAGCACAUUAGGAGAAAAAAAAAAUUAGUUAGUUGAGAAGAAUUUGUUGAUUGUGAUUUUUGUGGUCAGCACCAAGAAAGUUUUCAAGGACAUAGGGAGUGGUUGGUAAAUUUCUUGUAGAAAAUUCCUAAUGAAUAGGAAACUACGGAUUCAACAGCAACUUGGGUUGAGCUCCGUGACUAUGGAAAAUGGUUGCUUUUUUAAUUAUCAAGUUUCCCAGUUAUUCCUACUAUAUUCAGUAGUUAUUAAAAGUCCAUUUUCAGCUCCUAAACAUAUCCAAAGAUGAAUUGGUAUUUUGGAUGGCAAUGCCGAGCAAAACGGGUUGCUGCCUUGGAUUUGGGAUUUUUUUUUUUUUUUGGGUGUCCUUUUCCCGUUGGGAUGCGAUGGCAGUGGGUUGUGAUUUUGGGUCGGGGUGGUUCCCCAUGGGUGGGGAGUGGGGUUGCUUGGGGUGAUGAAAUGUCUUUUUCAUUUUCUCCAGACCUAUUUGUACUAUCUGAAAAGAUUUUUAGAUUCUUUUUAUAAUUUUUUCUUUUCCUUUUUUUAUUUUUGGUUGUUUUGCUGUUCUCCUUUAUUUUAUUUUAUUUUUUUGUUUAUUUAAAAAGGAGAUCAAAUUUGUCAAUAACUGGCACAUUUCAUUAAUGAAAAGAAAAGCGGUAACAGCAUUCUACCUUUUCGACAACAGAGCACUAGUGGCACGCACGCUAUAUCUGCGAGGAUUCCGAGUGUUCUAAUUCAUCCUACUUUCUCGUUGGGAUUGGGCAGAAUAGGAGGUGCUUCAUCCGUCAUGGCAAUUUUCCCUUCUUCAAUCAAUCAAAUAUAUAUGGAAAUAAAUUGUGUCAAAUAUGAUUUGAACCUAUACCAAAGGUAUAGAAGACCUCUAUCCUAAUCCAUUAGGGCGAACUUCGCUACUUAAUUAAUUAAAAAGUAUGGUAUGGAUUCUGCUAAUAAGAUUUGUUAGAGGUAAUUCAAAAUCUUUCAUUUGCUGUCUUUGGGGUUGUUGAAUGUGUUAAUUAAAUUGAACUUAGAGAUUUGUUCUUUCACAUCAGGGAUCAUAGGUCUACUUUUCUCUUUUCUUUAUUGUUUUAUUUGUAAUUUUAAGUAUGGUUAAUAUACAAUUGAAUUACUUCUAGAUUUUCUUAUGCCACUCUUCCAGCUAAUGAAAUGCUGCUGACUGCCGUAGUGCCUCACGAACCAAAAAUCUUGGCUCCAACAUCGAAUAUAACAAACUUGGUUUAUCCAUGAAUUUCAACCUCAUGGCCCAUAAGUGCAACCCCUUCAAUUUGGCCUCCGUUUGCCAAAUUCAUAAAUCAUUUGUAAAUUGUUCGAAUUUUAUUUUUUAAUGACACAUUGCAAUGAAUCAAUGAGUACUAACCAAUUGUCCGUUACUCAUUUUUAUAAAUUCUUCCCAAAUGGAGGUAUAAACAGAUGCUAAGUGAUAACAGCUCAAACAAAAGUUAAAAAACUUCCUCAAACACCAGGUGAAAAUUAAAACAGUAAGAUAUUGUGUACUGAGAUGAAACGGGUUUCUCAAUGAUUGCAUUGACCAAAAAAUGUAUACUUUAUAAAGGAAACUAGUCUAAAACAGAAAAGUGAAAAAUAGAAAUCAUUAGUAUUUUAGUAUCACCAUUGUUUUAGUUGUACUUUUUAUUUUUUUUUAAAAAGGCCAGUCGGUCAGGCUCGUAUAUACGUCCCUGAAGUGAAGAAAGUCGCAUAUCAUAAGCUAAUAAGAGACAAUUUUAUUUUUUUCUUCAUCAACCACUACAGAUCCUUACAGAAAAAGCAUAAUUCAUAUUAAGAUGACGUUACAUGCAUGCUACCGUCUUUAAUCUUAAACUGAAAAUAAUUUUACUUGGCCUUCCAAUCAAGUAAUGUGCUUUUUGCAAUAUUGAUUGUGAGGCAUGACAGAACAUUUGAUGCAGUACCUUCAUUGUGAUGCUUUCCUUUUAGCCAUCCGAUUCAGUAUGAGUCCUUGAUUCGUAAAUGUGCUACCAUAAAUGAGAUAUUUCGUCUCAUCAAGGUUGUAUUCGUAGCCGAUAUCACCUUUUAUGUACCUUUUAAUUACUAUGAUCUUCCAGGGAAGUAUUAUCAGGAUAGGCAGUACGAAUAAUGCCGCAACUGCAGCUACAACUGCACCUGGGAUAAAUUGACUACUUAUACCUGGGUAUAUUCCCCAUGCCAGUAAUGCAAAGCUUAUGGAAAAUAGAACAUGAGAUGGCCAGAGAAACAGGUGGAGUGGAGCAAGUGUAAGUAUUGCACAGGUUCCCAUUGCAAGACCAAAGGCGAUCGCGUUGAAAAUUAUACUUGUUUGUGCUAUCGACUGGAGUAUGUUGAAGAUGAAGUAAGUUGAAGUAAGAUCAUUAUAAUCAGAUUUGAUGUUGGGAAGAUCAGGAGUGGUAUCAGAAGUGGUAUCACUGCCAGAAAUCCAGUAAGGGGGAGAGAGAGUGGCUUGAAACGCAGCAGUUGCAAUAAGCACAGCUACUACUAGGAUAGCGUUUUGCAUAUUUCCUGACAAGCCGUAGUCCAGGUAAGCACCAAAUUGGAAUAAAACUUCUUUCGUCGUCACAGUUGACUUCAAAUAAUUCUCACAACUGGUGGCAUCAUCGACAAGUGAUGAACCUUCUUUAGCUCCUGCGCUUAUUAAAAUUUUCCUUGCUUCUACAAUUUCAGGAUUUAGGAUAUCCAAUGCCGUCUUACCUUCUAAGUUCUUCUUAUUCACAUGCACAAUCUUGAUUAAUGACUUCAUAACCUGAAACCAUAAACAAGAAGUUCUAUAAAAUUAUAUCUGAACGAACAAAUGUAUAUUAACUAAACAAUAUUUGGUUUAAAGAAAAAUGAUAACCAUUUUAUUUUAUUUAUUUUUAUUAAUUUCCGGUAUUUUUAACUAAGCGAAUUUAUCGAUAAGCUUUCUGCAUGAUAUAUCAAUUUGAAAGAGUAUCAACUAUUGAGUAAAUGGAGUUUUCACCAUGAUCACAAUCCUCAUCAAGUUUUAGUUUGACCUCGAGACAAUUUUGAUGUUUCCAGUUAAACUUGUAGGUGGGCUUAACGUUAUUUGAAUUAGUCUGCGUGUACAGAAUAAAUUUCUACAAAAAAAUUUAAGAAUAAUAACAUGGGUGGGCCUCAUGUGGGUAAAAUAUUGGCAAAAAAAAAAAGGUAAAGUAAAAUUAUAGAUUUUGGAAAAAUGGAAUUUUUAGGCUCGGUUGCCUAUUAAUAAGCGAAAUUUUCAAUAAAUCAGUUAUACAAACUCGAUCUCCUGUUCUGCUUUUUCAUAAUCUUUUAAUUAUAGUUUAUUAUGUUUUAUUUUACUUAGUCGGCUAGAGUUUCAAGCCAUCCUUUGAUUGUUAUUCUUUUAUUCCCUCAGUCGUUUGCUGAAUAUUUGAGUAAGAUCCCUUUAUACUGUAAAAUUAAUGAUUAAUAUCCUAACAACAUACAUAAUAAAUAUUUAUCUAAGACAGUAUAUUCCACAUAGCUAUUUGAACAGAAAUAUUAAUAAAAAAAUUCUGGAAAUUGGAAAAUAAAAACAUACUUUAUACAUUAGUAAAAGUUCAAUUAUGUGUAAUACCAAAGGACCUUGGAAGUAUUGUUGAACCAAGGAAUGCACCUCACAAGAUUUACUCAUAAGCGAGGUGAAAAGCAUCACACGAAGGGAACGAUAUGCAAAAGGUUCACCUAAGACUCACAAAUAUUUUCCAUAAGCAAGUUGGCUACAGAUUGUCAAUAAGAAACACAUGGGUAAAUGAAUGAAGCGUGACUCCUAAUCGAUUAAGGAACAAAAUAACCAAUAAGGAGUCACCAUCUAUCAAAACUUGAAAAUGACCAAACUAUCCCCAAUGUUUGAAGGGAAAUCUAUAAAUGCUCUCACGUUCGAAGAAAGAGGCAUGCAAGUCAAAUAUCUUACUCUCAAAUAGCUAUUUAAUUUGUUGUUCUAGUUGAAACAUCAAAACUAGUAAAUUUAGGAAGCGAAAAUCAUAGCUAGGUGAGAAGAUUUAUUAAUUGUAUUUACAUUGAUAUUCGAUUGUAAUUGUUUUAUCAAUAAACUCAUUCAAUUUAAUUUGUACUGUCAACAAGUACAAAAUUUAUUCAUAAGGGUCAAAAUUAAUAGUUUAAAGAUGGGUAAUUGGAUAAACUUCUCAAAUUUGCAGUCAGUAUUCUAUCAAAAUUAGAAUUAUACCAAGGUUCCCAAAUAUCUAAAUAAUUUGGACCAUUUGACAAUGAAAAUUUGGGGCUCUAAAAGUGAUCUCACACUAAGAUUAAAUGUUGUAACCAUCCAUUUGUACUUUAAACCUUGAAAUCGAGUGAAGAUCUAGUAUAUGAGACUCCAUCAAAGUAGAUCUCAACUCGGAUGCGGGACUUUUAAUUUUUAUAUGGUACAUAUUUUUUAAAGCUCAUUUUUCUCCAAAUUAAUUUUCUAUCAAACAUUCUCAUAAUAAAAUAAUUUUGCACGUCAAUUCAUAAUUUUUUCUUACUUUUUAAUCACAAUUUUUUCAAAAAUAUUAUUUUUCAUAAAAUAUAUUCUCAAAAAAUCCUACGUCAAAUGGGCCUAAGAAUGAAACUAGAUUAAAAUUUUUUUUUCUUUGCUUUGGUGCUUUCUUGGGAUUUCUAGGUUCAAUAAUGUCAAUGGUUUGGAUAAACCUCACAUGUGCCCUGUCAUCGCUUCCUAGCAGUUGGAUGGGUUCAGCUUCAAGUUUAACAAAGGAAUAAGCAAAGUGCUACAUUUACAUAAUUGUCUAUGUAAUGGUGUCCAUAAUUAUUCUGGCACUAGAUCCAACCUUUAAUUCAAAUCUCACACUUGCACAUCAACAACCGGAUGAUUGCCACAUCACAUUAUAGACACCAUUAUGUGCAAUAAUUAUGUACAAGUAGAAUUUUUCAAAAAAUAGUUUAUUGAUGAAAGUUAAUUGAAGGAGAUUUAAGGGAAUUCAUUCUCAGUUAAAUAAAUGGAGAUUUAGUCAAACGAACAUACCAUCGGUUGGUUUGUUAAUGCUGCAAGAUGCAUCACGUUAUUGCCUUCCUCGUCCCUCCAGUGGAACACCGUUGUUCUAUAGGUCCUCCUAGCCCAACCAAACAAAACCAUAAAAGCUCUAAAAUUGUUGUUUCUUACAGCAAUAUGCACGACAGUCUCAUCUCGAAUGGUCUAGUCAAAUAUUGAGAGUGGACAUAUGAGAAGAAAAUAAAUCAAAAGAUCAAUUUCCUCUUUUUCCUCUGCGGAAUGCAAAAGAGUGAUCCCUUCCCUUCGUGGGACACGAACAAGAUCCGGAUCAUGCUUGACAAGUCGUUUCACAGUGUCGAUGUGUCCCUUAUUCAAAGCCAGGUGCAGUGGACUAAGACCAUCAAGGUUCAAUUUCUUCCCCAGCGAAGGCUUUAGCCUCCAGAUUUCAAGAGCAAGGUCUGUACGACCUUCUGAAGCAGCAGUAUGAAGAGGUGGCUCCACAAAUGCCAUCUCAUUGGGGCCUUCCAAGUAGUAUGGAUUAUCGCGUAUUUUUGUGUACAAGUCAACUAUAUCUCGAUCUUCAACAGUGUUCAUUAUACAAACUCGAGAUAGUUUAAAAUUGAAAAGUUAUUUUAAUUGGAUCUAAUUUGAGUUUCUUUAUAUAAUUGAUAUCAAGAACUUACAAGAACAGUAUCGUUGUCAUGUACAGUCUCGUACAUGACCCGUCAAAUUUAUAUUUUCCUCACUUUCAUUGAAUUGUAAUCUAUUUUUCUCAUCUAAUAGUCAAACCACUAUAACAUAAACAAGUGGCAUUUACAUUCAUGACUUGACUGUGACCUGAUUGAAUAAUCUUUCUAGUCAAGUAUUUCGAAUUAACAUUAUAUAGCCAACACGGAUUAAAAAUGUGUUGACCCCCUUUCUCGUUGACUUCCAUGGUCAAUGAAUUUCCUCCUCGUUGUUUUUACUUCUAUCCUAUAGCAUUGAAUUAUCAACAAAUAAACAAGCUCGUUAUUUUCUCACUAAGCCAAUAAAUUUAUAUUUUUCUCACCUAACAGUCACUCACUAGUACAUAAACAAGUGGAGUUUAUGUCCAUGACUAGAUUGAAUAAUAUUUCUAGUAAAGUAUUUGGAAGUAACAUUAGUUUUUCAAGUGUGGCCCGCAUGGAUUAAAAAUGUGAUAACCCGGUUUCUCAUAGGCUUCCACAGUCAAUGAAUAUUCUCAUUGUUGCCUUUUCUUAUCCUAUUGCAUUAAAUGAAAUUAAAAAAAUAAGCAAAUGCAUUACCUCCUCAUUAACCCAGUCAAUUUAAAUUUUCCUCACCUAACGGACAAACUCACUAGAAUAUAAAUAUGUGAAGUUUACGUGCGUGACUAGAUUGAAUAAUAUUUUUGGUAAGUAUUACAAAGUAAAUUAAUUUUUCAAGUAUGGCCGGUAUGGAUUAAAAAUGUGAUGAUCCCGCUUUAUCAUCACCUUCCACAAUCAAUAAAUUUCCUCAUCGUUGCUUUUUCUUCUAUUGUAUAGCGUUGAAUUAAAUUAAAAGUAAACAUUGGCAAUUACGAUUACAACAUUAUAAUAAGUUUAUAAUUACAAUUACAUUUAGGGUGCAUUUGAUUGUCAAUAUUUUUUAUGCAAAAUAUGUUUUUUCACCCACAUUCUUACAUUUGUGCUAUUCAACUACAUUUUUUUUCAUGAAAAAUAUUUUCCUAAUACUUUUGAUCACCUAACUAUAUUUGGCCACCAAACCAAAUUUCUCAAAAUCAAGGAAAAUAUUUUCUUUAGAUGGAGUAGAGUUUUAUUCUCUCUCUCUCUCUCCCCCCACCUCUCUUAUCUACUCAUCAAUAAAAAAUCGGAUAAGUAUAAUAUUUUCUAUGUUGAAAAUUAAAUUAAUGAAACACAUAAUUGAUAAUUUUCAUGCAAAUAAGUUUUAGGAAAUUUAAUUAUCUACAAUUUAUUUUCUUUUCAUGUAAAUUUCAUGCUUGCAAUUAAACGCACCCUUAAAUUUAGAAAUUUCAUAGUAAUUACAAUUAAGUUCAAAACUUUAUAAUAAUUGCGAUUAGGUCCAAAACUUUUAUAACAACUGUACAUAGGUCUCAAUAUUUUAUAGAGCUACAAUAAGACCUAAUUGAAUAUGUUUUAUUCAAGUUUCAAUAAUUAGAUUAUAUUUAGUCAACCCGCAGAAUACAUCUAAUCAUUGGUUUUUUUACUUUUCCACUAAAGGAAAAAGACGGCACACUCAGAAUAUAUACAAUCACAGAAACCAAUAAAUACCUUUCUCUAACCUUCCUUGCAUGUAUUUUUUUUCCCAUUCGAGAUCCAAUAACUAGAUACAGGCAUAAAUGAUUAUUUUGUGCUUCUAAUUAUUCUCAUUAAUUUAGGUAUCCUUUUUUUUGCAAUGGUCCUACGAACCAAUAACAUAUGUCAAAAUUUAGUCAUUCGUAAAGACAAAAUUCAGAUUUUAAUCGUUCAACAAAAAUACUUAAAUAGUCACUUUUCGUUUAUUUUAGACAAUGGUUCCCAUCAUAAAAUUAAGUUCUGUACUUAAGUGAUUCUUUAUCUCCUAAUUUAUCGAGCUAUUUGAUUAAUCAAAUUUAUAAAAAUUAUUGGUUGAUUAAAGAAUCAUUAUAAUUACAAAAAGAUAUACACAAUUGUGUUAAGGAGUUUAGAUUAAAUGCAUGAAAUCAUAUGAAAUUGAAUGCUUUGAUUAAAUGCAUAAUUAUUGUAAUUGUUGUUUGUGUAUUUAAGCCAUAGACGGAUUGAGGGGGGGCUGGGUUGUAGCCCCCCUCCCUCAGGCCCAAGAACUUUUUUUUAAGGUAUUUUUUAUUUUUUUGGUAAAAAAUCAGUUUUUUAUGUGUAAAUAUUUUUUUUUUUUUUUUUUACGCGUAGUAGCCUGGUUUGAAAUUUUGUAGCCCAGUCUUGUAUCCAAUCCUAGAUCCGUCACUGAUUUAAGCCUGCAAUUUUUCACGUUUGACAAAUAUUAAAAAGCUAUGCCACAAUUAUAAAGUAUACAGUUGCAAUAUGGAUAACACUAAAAAGACUUCAAAUGUCCAGAUCAAAAUUUCACGAGAGAGAAAUAAUUCCAUCAGUACAUUAGCAAUGGGAAAAGACUAAAAUAAUCGUCAAACAAAUUACACUUUAACCAAGAAUUUGAAGUUCAAAAUUCAACCUAGAAAGAGAAAAUUCCAUACUCGAAAAUGUAUACAACCUAACUGUCAGCAAACACCACAACAGUCUCAUCUCGAAUGGUCAAAUCAAAUAUUGAGAGUGGACAUACGAGAAGAAAAUAAAUCAAAAGAUCAAUUUCCUCUUUUUCCACUGUGUAAUGCAAAAAGAGUGAUCCCUUCCCUCCAUGGGACACGAAUGAGAUCCGGAUCAUGCUUGACAAGUCGUUUCACAGUGUCGGUGUGUCCCUUAUUCAAAGCCAGGUGCAGCGGACUGAGACCAUCAAGGUGCAAUUUCUUCCCCAGCGAAGGCUUUAGCCUCCAGAUUUCAAGAGCAAGGUCUGUACGACCUUCUGAAGCAGUAGUAUGAAGAGGUGACUCCACAAAUGCCAUCUCAUUGGGGCCUUCCAAGUAGUAUAAAUUAUCGCGUAUUUUUGUGUACAAGUCAAUUAUAUCUCGAUCUUCAACAGUGUUCAUUAUACAAACUCGAGAUAGUUUAAAAUUGAAAAGUUAUUUCAAUUGGAUCUAAUUUGAGUUUCUUUAUAUAAUUGAUAUCAAGAACUUACAAGAACAGUAUCGUUGUCAUGUACAGUCUCGUACAUGACCCAGUCAAAUUUAUAUUUUCCUCACUUUCAUUGAAUUGUAAUCUAUUUUCUUCAUCUAAUAGUUGAACCACUAUUACAUAAACAAGUGGCAUUUACAUUCAUGACUUGACUGUGACCUGAUUGAAUAAUCUUUCUAGUCAAGUAUUUCGAAUUAACAUUAAACGGCCAGCACGGAUUAAAAAUGUGUUGACCCCGCUUUCUCGUUGACUUCCAUGGUCAAUGAAUUUCCUCCUCGUUGUUUUUACUUCUAUCCUAUAGCAUUGAAUUAUCAACAAAUAAACAAGCUCGUUAUUUUCUCACUAUGCCAAUAAAUUUAUAUUUUCCUCACCUAACAGUCACUCACUAGUAUAUAAACAAGGGGAGUUUAUGUGCAUGACUAGAUUGAAUAAUAUUUCUAGUAAAGUAUUUGGAAGUAACAUUAGUUUUUCAAGUGUGGCCCGCAUGGAUUAAAAAUGUGAUAACCUGGUUUCUCAUAGGCUUCCACAGUCAAUGAAUAUUCUCAUUGUUGCCUUUUCAUCUAUCCUAUAGCAUUAAAUUAAAUUAAAAAAAAAUGCAAAUGCAUUACCUCCACCUCCUCAUUAACCCAGUCAAUUUAAAUUUUCCUCACCUAACGGACAAACUCACUAAAAUAUAAAUAUGUGAAGUUUACGUGCAUGACUAGAUUGAAUAAUUUAUUUGGUAAGUAAUCCAAAGUAAAUUAAUUUUUCAGGUCUGGCGGGUAUGGAUUAAAAAUGUGAUGACCCCGCUUUAUCAUCACCUUCUACAGUCAAUAAAUUUCCUCAUCGUUGCUUUUUCUUCUAUCGUAUAGCGUUGAAUUAAAUUAAAAGUAAACAAUGGCAAUUACGAUUACAGUAUAAUAAGUUUGUAAUUACAAUUACAUUUAGGUACAUUUGAUUGUCAAUAUUUUUCAUGCAAAAUAUGUUUUUUCACCCAAAUUCUUACAUUUGUACUGUUCAACUACAUUUUUUUCCAAGAAAAAUAUUUUCCUAAUACUUUUGAUCACCUAAUAAUAUUUGGUCACCUAAUCAUAUUUUCCUCAAAAUCAAGGAAAAUAUUUUCUUUAGAGGGUAAUAUGAUUUUAUUUUCUAGCUCUCUCUCUCUCUCCCCCGCACCUCUCUUAUCUAUCCAUCAAUAAAAAUAGGACAAGUAUAAUAUUUUCUAUGUUGAAAAUUAAAUUAAUUAAACAUAUAAUUGAUAAUUUUUAUGCAAAUAAGUUCUAGAAGAUUUAAUUAUCUAGAAUUUAUUUUCUUUUCAUGUAAAUUACAUGCUUGCAAUCAAACGCACCCAAAAUUUAUGAAUUUCAUAAUAAUUACAAUUAAGUCCAAAACUUUAUAAUAAUUGCGAUUAAGUACAAAACUUUUAUAACAACUGUACGUAAGUCUAAAUGCUUUAUAGAGCUGACAUAGGACCUAAUUGAAUAUGUAUCAUUCAAGUUUCAAUAAUAAGAUUGUAUUUAGUCAACCCCAGAAUACAUAAUCUAAUCAUUGGUUUUUACUUUUUCACUAAAGGAAAAAGAUGGCACACUCAGAAUAUAUACAAUCACAGAAACUAAUAUAUACCUUUCUCUAACCUUCCUUGCAUGUAUUUUUUUCCCAUUCGAGAUCCAGUAACUAGAUACAGGCAUAAAUGAUUAUUUUGCCAUUCUAAUUACUCUCACUAAUUUAGGUACCACUUUUCUACAAUGGUCCUGCGAACCAAUAACAUAAGUCAAAAUUUAGUCAUUCGUAAACACUAAAUUGAGAUUUUAAUGGUUCAAAAAAAAAAAAAAACUUAAAUAGUCACUUUUCGUUUAUUUUGGACAAUGGUUCCCAUCAUAAAAUUAAGUUCUCUACUUAAGUGAUUCUUAAUCUCCCAAUUUAUCGAGAUAUUUGAUUGAUCAAAUUUAUAAAAAUUAUUGGUUGAUUAAAGAAUCAUUAUAAUUACAAAAAGAUAUACACAAUUGUGUUAAGGAGUUUAGAUUAAACACAUGAAAUCAUAUGAAAUUGAAUGCUUUGAUUAAAUGCAUAAUUAUUGUAAUUAUUGUUUGUGUAUUUAGGCCAGCAAUUUUUCACGUUUGACAAAUAUUAAAAAGCUAUGCCACAAUUAUAAAGUAUACAGUUGCAAUAUGGACAACACUAAAAAAACUUCAAAUGUCCAGAUCAAAAUUUCACGAGAGAGAAAUAAUUCCAUCGAUAUGUUGGCAAUGGGAAAAGACUAAAAUAAUGGUCAAACAAAUUACACUUUAACCAAGAAUUUGAAGUUCAAAAUUCAACCUAGAAAGAGAAAAUUCCAUACUGGAAAAUGUAUACAACCUAACUGUCAGCAAACACCACUCAUGGACCAUAAUACUACCAAGAUCAAAUUAUCAUAACAAAGCAGCUUGAUCCAUAACAAGACCAUUCUACCCAAUAUCAGGACAGAUUGCAACUCAUUUAAACAAUCAGUAAAGUAUAGAUCACAUUUCUCCCGUCCAACACAUACAUCUAAAUUUAAGAAAGCGGUUGUGUCUACUUUGCUUAACUGUUCACUUGAAUCCAAGUGGUGGCACAAUGAUACGGUAAAUGUGGAUAGUUGUACAGGAUCACAUGACCCAUCGUGCUAAUUAAAAUUAAUAAGAGAAGAUGAAGUAUUCAAAUUCAAAUGUUGUUAUUUAAAUAUUUAUGUACCUCAUGAAUUGAAAAUAACGUUUGUGGUCGUAGGAGGUAUCAAAGCAAAAGAUGGCACUUGUUGUGUAAACAUGCCACUCAUCCUGUCGUCUAACAUCAAUUUGUUGGCAUUAAUACAACAUAAAGUGCUGACAAAAUGGUAUAAUUAAUAUAUUAACCAAUUGGAGUUGUGAAUACGAGAAUGGCAUCGGCAUGGAAUGUUGCUGUUGAGGAGGUGCCGAAACCUCGUGUGCACCAACUUCCAUACUACAAUGCCUCAAUGUUGGUCUCUUUCCUUUAGUUUGAUUCGAUCGUACCUAUCUGUAAUCCAUAACAAAUAUGACUUGGUGUAUAAAAUGAAGUGAAUAAAAGAGUGUGACAUAAGAUUAUGUCUUUAAUUUCUUAGCGCUCGCAUCCAUUGGGCCAUUUCUCUGUUUUAUCUUUGGCGAACCCUUUGUUUUCGACGAUUUCGGAUCCCCGACGCUCCUGCUCUCAAGAUUUUGAGAUGCAAUACACUAUGAAAUGGUAUUACUACGUGAACUUGACUUUUUCAAACUAAGCUCUUUAUUUUGAAGUUCUAUCCAAUCCAUGAUAGCACGAUACCGCCCUCAUCAUCCGUUGUAAGGUCUGCCACCCUGGUGAAUGCCUAACACCUGUCGUCAUACUCAAUUGUCCAGGACUACUAACUAACCCAUCAUAGUUAAUUGCGAGCCUCAUGUGUGCUCUACUAAUAUCUCUUCUCCAUCUUCGCAUUAUAUAAAAAUCCAGCAUUACAGUCAUGUAAUUACGCGUUAACACUAUGAUCGCAUGCCUACAUACUAUUCUUUGGAAUUCGAACAAGUGACAGCUAUAAAUAAUUUCACGUUUCACUCUAUUAGAUGAGGCAAGAAAUAGUUUUUCUUUCGUCGAUCGACACAUAAAAUGUCCUCACGUACUCAUACGUCAUCUAUAUGCCCAUCAACAGCAAAUAUGAAGUCCCAAUAAACCUUUUCUGUAAACUCAACUCCUCCGUCAUCAAGUCACCAACUUCAUUGACCAUCUAGCUUUGGGCAGGCGUCAGCCCCAUACAAAGUCUUAUGACUUUUUGGAGACCUGUGUUUUUGGAAAACAGUCGCCCGAUCCUGGACUUGAACUUUUCGAAAUAGUGUCCACUGCAUGAUAUUGCUUUUCUAUUUCGUACGUUGUUGCACAGGCUACCAUUUGAGAGAAAGACUUGAAAUCAACCUAAAAUUCCUUCUCAACCUUAUUCCACAGUUCCUAUUUAUAUUGUUCGAAAAACUACUUCAAUGAAGUCCUCGAAUGCACAUGACCAUUGAAGAAGGCGUUCAUACUCUCACUUCUUUGUAUUGGUGACAUCCCAACCCAAAAGGUUGUUUUCAAGAAAUAUGAAACCUAACAACCUUCAUUUUCAUACAAUCCGAACAAUCAAUCAUUAUCAUGCAAGCUAUACGUAUCGAUCAUCACUUUCCAACCAUCCUCAAAUUCUUUGACAAACUGUGAUCAUACACCAAUACAUGUAUAGCUAAAAUAUUGAAGACUUGUCCUCGUAGUAUACAAACCUUGCUAACAAUUUUUUUUUUUCAAAAUGUACCACAAACACCAUCUAUACUUCGCAUUUGGAAAAACUAUAUGAAUUGCAUUUUUCAUGGCUUUAUCUUGAUCAGUAAUUAUUUCGUGUGGAGCUUGACACCAAAGCAAUGUGUUGAACAAGCAUACAAAUUUAUUCGAUAUCAAACCACAACCAAGCAACGUUGAUUGCCCAUGAUGAUUCAUGCCAACAAAAGGGGCAAACAACAUGUCGUACUUAUUAGUAAAGUAGGUGGUAUCAAAUGUGAUAAUGUCUUUGAACUCCUUAGAUGCUCGCCUGUACCGAUUGACCGAUUGUCUACCAAAAAAAUUCUUUAGAUGUAAAUCGUCUUCCAACUCAAUACUAAAGUAAACUUUCAAGCACCAUGCUUGCAUUUUAGAAAAGUAAGACUGUAUUGCUAUUGCAUCACCCUUACUAAGUUUUAGUCAUCUCACUUGUUCGAUAUAGUUCCGACAAUCGCUUUCCACACAAGUUAUAUUUUCAUAGCCGCUUGCUUCAACAAUUAUGAAGUUAAAACUUUUGUACAAUGGUAUUCAUGUCAUAUCAUUAACUUCAAGCUUCCGUUUCACGUGUGCACUUAAUUCUCGAUUGUAUCAAUACAACUUGAACUUAAUAGGACUUGUCUUAUGAUUAGGUCAAGUUGGACUAUGUUAAUUUCCCACUAACCAUAGAUAUCUAAAGGUGCAGAGAUUCUAGCUUUACAACCUAUCUGAAUUGUUGGUUGUAACUUCAAAGAAGUGCUUAUAUUACCGCUUCUUUGUCCCUGCCAACUACAUGUCAACGUAACAUAUCUCAAAAUACUAUCAUCAUCCUUUGUCGAACCCCUCUUCCUAUUGGAAAACUUACAGCAUAAACACUAUUUUGGGCAAACUAGGGAUCUACCGCGAAGUACUCUAAAAGCGUUUUCGCCCCCUAAUUUUCUUUAGUUUGUUUUUAAUCACAACUGUCCAAAGGCAUUUCAUUUCAACUGUACAUGUCACUUAAUCAAUUGACCACCUAACCCACACUUCUACAAAUAGCAUUAUUGGGAAUACUCAUAUGAUGACAUGAAAACUAUCUGUGUGUCUGAAUGGGUCAAAUUAUUCACAUAAGUUGCUAUAAAAAAAAAAGUUUUUAAUGGGCAAGGAAUUGAAAAAUGUUAUUGAUGGAACACUAAUUGCACCUAAGUCUACUGACAUAGAUUUUUUGAAAUUGAAAAACAAACUGAUCUCAAAAUUUAAAUUGGCAAAAGAUGGUUGGGAGCAUUUUGAGGGCUUGUAUCAAUAAUAAAAUUUUGCUUGCCAUUUUCAACUUGAAACAGAGAUUAGAGCAACACAACAAUGAGAGAAAUAUAUUAAAGACUUAAAUUCUUAUAUGACUAGGCUUUAGGAUCAACUUACAUUGAUGGAUCUACAAUUCAUGCUUGAUGCUUAUCAGAAAGAUUUGUGAAGAAUGAAAACUCAUGGAUUUUCUUAUUGCACUGAGAGAUUAAUUUCAAAGUAUUCGAGGGUCUAUGAUUUAAUGAAAACAUUGCCAAAUCUCUCAUUGGUUGUUUCACAGUUUUUAACUUAUGAAACUCUGUUUCAUCUAAUGGUAGAGUGACUACACUGAUGAAACUACAUGGUAAUGGCAAUCAUUGUAGGAUCUCAAUCAUUUUGAUAUUUAAUUAGCACACGGAUAAUUUUCCAUUGAUUAGAGUUUUGGAGCGUGGUGAUUAUUUAAAUAAAGAACUAGUAAAUUAGUAGCAAUCUUGUUAAAGGUCAUAGAGAAUUCAGAUAAUGCUUUGUUUCAUAUAAUGAUAGUAACUGCACAGAUAAAAAUAUGUUAUAAUGGCCAUAAUGAUGCUAAUUUGGUUAAUAUGACUUGUAGGAUGCUGAAAAAUUUUGUCGAGGUUGAAGAAACUAAUUGGGUUAUGAUAGAUGAAUGGGAAAUUAUGUUAUCCGUUGAGCUUGCUAGGUCUAAAGGUGAUUGCACAUAGAAAUUCUCUUGAUUUUCUGCAGGCUAUGCUGUUCGUGUACCUUUAUCUUUGGAUGCUCAAGUGGAGGCCCGAUAAGUAACUAUAAAAUACACCGCAUCUCACAGAAAUUAUUUCUUUCAAAUAUGAUAUCCUUUCAUUUAUUAGUAUUUUCUCUUUUAUAUUAAAUUUCUUAAUUCGUCCCUACUGUUAGGUUAUGUUCCCAUAUAGUAUGGUUUUGCUGAUAUAAAAAUAAUAUUUUUUUUAUAUUGAAUAAAAUUGUGCUUAAUUUAUUGCAUUUAUUCAUUAUUGAGCAUGCGAAAUUAAAAUACCUAUGAUCACUUAUGAUAAUAUGAGUUGGGUACUUGUAUUGAGAAGUACAGUGUGACACAACUUGUAGUUUGAUCAUAAAUAAUUUGUUUACAACCUAUAUAUAAGGGUUGGCACCUUGCACUGGAAGGUUGUAGUGUGUGACUGAUUCACUAUUCAGGUUUGUGAUUUAUCCUUAUCACAUAAAUAGUUAAAGGUGACACUAGUACACUUGGAGUGUAAUGAACGGACCACGUGUUGAAUUUAAUUCUAUAGCAUGACCCUGCGGAGAAUUAAAUUCCACUUGACCGCUGUGCAUUUCAUCUGAAUCCCUUGACAGAAUUAUGUAUAUUUUUUCGCGAUUUUAAUUGUUCUUUGAUUCAUCAAUGGGUGAGAUCAAUUUGAUUGGUCAAAUAUCUCGAUGAGUUGGGAACUUGAGAAUGAGUGGAGUAGAGAACAAGAAUUCAUGAUGGGAACCGUCACCCUGAAAAUGGGCAGAGUUACUACUUAGCAUUUUCUGUUAAACGGUUAAAAUCUGAGCUCAGUGUUUAACGACGGCUAAACUUUGACUUCUGUGAUUUGUUCACAAGACCGAUGAAGAAAAUGAAACUUAAGUUAGUGAGAAUAAUUAGAGGUGCAAAAUGGUCAUUUAUGCUCGUACCUAAUUAUCGGAUCUUGGAUGGGGAUAAAAUACAUAUACGACAGGUUAGAGGAAAGUAUUACAGAUUUAUUGGCUCCUGUGAUGUUAUAUAUUCCAAGGGUUCAGUCUUUUACCUUUAGUGGAAAAAACAAGGACUAAUAAUUAGAUUGGGUGGUCUAGGGUCGACUAGACAUAAUCUAAUUAAUGGAGCUUGAAAAAUAUAUGUCCGAUCAGAUCCCUGUGGUAGCUCCAUAAAGUAUUGGAACUUAAUUACGGUAAUUAUAAUAGUUUUGGGCUUAAUUGUAAUUACAAUAAAAUUUUGUACUUGGUUGUAAUUACUAUGAAAGUUAUAAACUUAAUUGUAAUUGUAAUUAAAUUUCCAGGACUACACAUGUAAUUAUAUGUAAACUAAUUAGAAUUGGACUUAAAUUAGAACUCCUACUUGAGCUUUAAUUAGAACUCUUGUUUGAAUGUGAAAUUAUAUUUGUACUAGAAUUUUAUCAUCUUUUUCUCUAUAAAUAGAGACUAGAUGGAUAGAAAAAUACUACAACAUUCAUAAUUCCAUAAGAUUCAAAAUUGUAGAGAGCAAAAGAGAAAGAAAAUAUAUUAUUUUCUUGUUGUCCAAAAUUCAAGAAUUAGUUUCUGGAUUAAUUGAGAGAAGGUGCCUACACACCGAUAUAGUCUUUGUAUUGGAGAAUACCAUAGAAGGCUUGAAGGUUUGAAGCACCAAAGUUCUUACAAUUAAAGGAGACGGAAAUUUGCGGAUCAAAAUUAACUCAAGGUUGAUCAUUGAAUUUAGGUAAAAGAUUCGAAUCCUUUAAUUUUGUUGUAACAUACACGUGAACAUCUAAAUGGUCUUGCUUAUUGAAUUAAAGAAAAUUUUAAUUUCUGAUUAAUUUCGCUUCCGCAUUCCAGCAAUUGGUAUCAUAGCAAUCUAGAUCGUUCACGUGCUUGUUAUUUUUUAACCUUAAUUGCAUGUUCUAGUCGAGCGCUGUCUAGGAAAAUUUUAUUUGUUGAUUGAAUGAUUGGAUUAUUUUAAAUUGUGAACCAAUUAUUUGUGGCCAGUCUUUGAUUAUAAUUUGUUAUUUCGAGUCUGUAACAAGAUAGGUGGAUUAAGACUCCAUCAUCUUGAUUUAAUUUUCUGUACAAUUAGAUUCGAAAUUUGUGAGUCUACGGGACAUAAGAAUUUAUGUAAUUCUUGUAGUUUUUGGAUCUUAUAAGUUGAUUGAGAAUUGAAGAAAGAAGACUUGAAGAUGGAGGACAAAGAAUUCAAAGAUUGUUUAUUUAAAAAAAUAAAUUAAUUGCAGACGGAUUAACCCGACGGACAGUAAAACUGUCUGCCUGUCUUUCGUACCGGCAGACAGUUUUCAAUCUAUCUGCACGUGCAAAUAGUUUUAUCUUAAAAGGACUUCAAAAAAAAUGUUUUUUUUUUUAAAUAAUUACAGGUGUAGUGGCAGAUUAGAUUUUUUUUAUUAUUUUUUUGUUUUUUUUUUGAGAAGCUACUGUUGGAUGCUUGGAGAUUUUGGGCUAAAGAUUUAGAUUAAGUUUUGGGUCUUUUAGGGUCACAAAUAAUUGUUAUUUUUAUCGCUUUAUGAAUGCUUUAAAUUGUUGUUUGAAAUAUUGUCAUUCUUGAUAUCAUGACAUAUAGAUUUAUUUAUGACACAACUCGUGAUACUAUGAAUAGGCUGCAUAUCAUUUAACGCGAAUUUUUCUUUGACUAAUUUAAUUUAAAUUAAAUUUUUCUGGAUAGAAAAAUCAUAAUAAUUAAACUGUGUAUUAAUUUAAUUAAUAUGAACGGUUGGUAAUUGUUAAAAUCCAUUAUUUUAAAAUAUUUAGUGGGAGAGGGUGUUUUAAAUAAAAAUCCACGGUCUCCUUUGGUCAAUCCAUAAGCAAAGUAACGCGCUUGGCUCGUACCGAUAAUGCAACGGACUCCCUAUAGGAGGGCCGCAUGGUUCAAGUUGCUUGAUUGGAUUUCUUUAUGAUAAAAUCGUCUAAAUAAAAUAUAAUUUGUGAUCAUCCUAUAGAUGACAAAAUUAUUUUCAAGUGUUUGGAGAUUGAGACAAUGGUUGUACACUCAAAUCGAAAUUAUUUACGAACCUGCUAUAGAGGCUCUCGCUUAUAAUUUUGGCGACCAAGUAAAACGAUGCUAAGCUUAAUCGACAUUUGUUGUCAGAUAUAUUUCGUUCAAUAGGAGGGUGUCAGCUUGAUUAGUGGACACAUUGACCUUUUCUAUAUAGAGGCAUGUUGGAUCACAGGGAUCAAGUCAACAUUGCAUUAUUGUAGUUAGAUGGAUCUACACAUGCAUUCAUGCAUCAUAUGCUAAAUUCCCAUUUGCUGCUCAAUUUUAAUAUGUAAUAAAUUGUUAUUUUUUCCACAAAAUGUCUCUCAGCCCUUUUUCCGUUAUUCUAAAACAAAACCAACUUGUCGGGGAUAAUUAUGUGGAUUGGAAACGUAAUUUGAUGUUUGUGCUUAUUGCCUAAAAACUUGAUUUUAUGCUCGAAAAAGAAUGUCCCGAGGAACCUACUAAGACUACAGGCAAGUCCAAGAGGGCUACACAUGAUAAAUGGAUCGCUGCUGACAAGAUGGCUCGCUGUUACAUUCUGGCAUCCAUGUCAAACGUGUUACAGCAAAAGCUUGAAAGUCAGGAGAUCACUUAUGACAUACUAGAAAGCUUGAAGGGCAUGUUUGGACAUCAAAGUAGGAGGGCUCGCUUUGAGGCCAUUCGUACCUUACAGAACAUCCACAUGAAACCCGAAACGCCUGUGAAAGAUCAUAUGUUGACUAUGAUUGCACACUUCAACGUGGCAGAGAAUUUGGGUACAACUAUUGAUCAGGAAACUCAAGUUGAUAUGGUAUUGAAUUCUUCAUCUAAUAUGUUUUCAUAGUUUACUAUGGACUAUCACUUGCACAAGAUGAAUAUGCCAUGAACUGAAUUGAUGAAUGAGUUGCAAAAUGUGGAAAGUGGUCUUAAAAGUAAGGGUGGCCAUGCUCAUGCGGCAAAUGCUAGCUCCUCUGGCUCCAAGCCGAAAGGUAGAAUUGGAAAGAAGAGGAAGAGAUCUAACGAAAAGCCAAAAAGCAACAAAAAGCUCAAAUCAGAUGAAAGUCGAAAGGCAAGUGUUUCCACAGUUUUUUUAUUGCUGAGUCAUGUUUGGUGGUUGAUUCUACAAAUUCCUGGGUUGUAAACUCUGGAGCCACUAAUCAUAUAUGCAUAUCUAUACAGGUGCUUCAGGAGAGUAGAAGACUCAGUGAAGGCCAGUUUAAAAUUACUGUCGACAUAGGAGCUAUAGUUUCAGCAAGAGCAGUAGAAGUAGUUUACUUUUAUUUCAGUAGUGGUGGGCAUUUAAUUCUUAAAGAUUGUUAUUAUGUCCUGCAGAUGAAGCGAAAUUUAAUUUCUGUUUCUUGUUUAAUAGGACAAGGUUAUUCUGUAAACUCUGCGCAUGAUGCGCUUUAUAUUUUAAAGAAUAAAGCUCCUAUUUGUGUUGGAUAUUUGGUGAAUGAUCUUUAUAUUUUAAAUUAUGCCACAAAUGAAAUAAAUGUUACUUCUGCAAACCAUAAACGAAUGUCUAACCAUACUAGUGAUACUUAUUUAUGACAUCUUAGACUUGGACAUAUUAACCUUAACAGGAUACAGAGAUUGGCUAGAGAUGGUCCACUUAGCACACUUAAGGUCGAACCAUUGCCAGCUUGUGAUUCUUGUUUGGAGGGUAAAAUGACCAGGAGAUCCUUUCUAGCAAAAGGAUAUAGAGCCAAAGAAGUAUUAGAACUAGUUCAUUCUGAUGUAUGUGGACCCAUGAAUACACCUACGAGAGGGGGUUAUGAGUACUUUUUCACUUUUACCGAUGAUUACUCUAGAUUCGGAUACAUCUACCUAAUGACUCAAAAGUCAGGUACUUUUGAAAAAUACAAAGAGUAUCGGGCUGAGGUCGGAAACAUUUGGGUAAGAGUAUUAAGACAUUUCGAUCAGAUCGAGGUGCCGAAUAUCUCUCGAGAGAAUUCAGGGACUACUUGAUAGAAAAUGGUAUUAUUUCUCAACUGAAUGCGCCGGGUACACCCCAACAGAAUGGCAUUUCAGAAAGAAGAAACAGGACAUUGUUAGACAUGGUUAGGUCAAUGAUGAGUUUCGCAACUCUACCUACCUCAUUUUGGGGAUAUGCAUUGGAAACAGCAGCAUAUGUUCUUAACUUAGUUCCUUCUAAGUCGGUUCCCAAGACUCCCCUGGAAUUAUGGAAUGGGCGCAAGCCUAGCUUACAUCAUAUUCAAAUUUGGGGAUGUCUUGCUCAUGUGCUGAAAGGGAAGGCAGAGAAGUUAGAGUCUAGAUCAGAGAUAUGCUUGUUUGUAGGAUACCUACCCUAAAGAUACUAGUGGAUAUUAUUUUUAUAGUCCUCCAGAUAGGAAAGUCUUUGUUAGUAAAAAUGCCACUUUCCUAAAGGAUAAGUAUAUUAAUGAACGUCAGUCCAAAAGCAAGGUUGUGUUGGAAGAAAUGAGUGGGAGCAAUUCCACCACAUCGAUUCCUGAAACACAAUCUCAUGACAGACAACCCUCGGUGUCAGAUAUACCUAAACAAUGUAAUUUGAGUGGGAGAGAUGAGUCAUCCAAUCCCAUGGAUUAAGUAAACAUUGAAGGUAUUGAGGAGGUAAUGGAACCACCUAAUGGUGAUACCAACAUUGAUACAAACGUUACAAUUCCAAAUGAUGCCACAGUCCAGGAUCCACCAUCCCUUAGACAAAGUUAUAGGAUUAUCAUACCACCUUCUAGGUACUUGUUAGUUGGAGAGUCCAAUCAGGCAAUCUCCACGACACAAGUUGAUAAUCCGACUUCAUAUAAGGAGGCCAUGAAUGAUGUGGAUGUAGAUUUAUGGCAACAAGUUCUGAAUGCUGAAAUGGAAUCUAUGCAAUCCAAUAAGGUCUAGAAACUUGUAGAUGCACCAGAAGGGAUAAAACCCAUUGGGUACAAGUGGGUCUAUAAGAGAAAGAGACGAGCAGACGAGAAAGUGGAAACUUUCAAAGCAAGGCUAAUGGCUAAAGGUUUCACCCAACAAGAAGGCAUCGAUUAUGAUGAGACCUUUUCGUCUGUGGCUAUGCUUAAGUCUAUCUAGAUUCUUUUAUCCAUUGCAGCUCAUUUUGAUUAUGAGAUGUGGCAAAUGGAUGUCAAGACAGCCUUUUUGAAUGGUCAUCUUGAGGAAUAUAUCUAUAUGGUGCAACUAGACGGAUUCAUAGGACCUGGUCAUGAAGAUAAAGUUUACAAGCUUCAACAGUCCAUUUAUAAGUUGAAGCAAGCAUCAAGAUCUUGGAACAAGAGAUUCGACGAAGUGAUUAAGACAUAUGGUUUUGAUCAGAACUUUAACGAACCCUGUGUCUAUAAGAAGAUAAGGAGAAAAUUGUAAUUUUCCUCGUGCUAUAUGUGGAUGAUAUUCUACUCAAUGAAAAUGAUGUUGGAGCAUUAUCAUCUACAAAAGCGUGGUUGACCCAACAAUUUCAUAUAAAGGACUUAGGAGAAGCUAGCUAUGUUCUAGGCAUUUAGAUCUUAAGAGAGCGAAAGAACAAGCAGAUAGCUCUAUCCCAAGCUUCAUACAUUGAUAAAAUACUUGUCAGAUUUGCCAAGCAAGAUUCUAAGAAAGGUAAUUUACCUUUCAGACAUGGAAUCCAACUCUCUAAGGACCAGUCCCCUAAGACUUUUGAAGAGGUGGAACGCAUGAGUAGGAUACCUUAUGCACCAACAGUUGGUAGUCUUAUGUAUGCUAUGUUGUGCACUAGACCUGACAUUUGUUAUGCUGUUGGUAUGGUGAGUCGAUAUCAAUCCAACCCUAGGCCGGAACACUGGGUGGCUGUAAAGCAUAUACUGAAGUACCUUCGAAGGACGAGCAAUUACAUGUUAGUUUACUCAUCACCAGAUCUUGUUCCAGUGGGUUAUACAGAUUCAGACUUUUAGGCCGAUAAAGACUCUUGCAAGUCUACAUCAGGAUCACUGUUUACACUUGGUGAUGGGGCCAUUAUUUGGAGAUGUAUCAAACAAUCAUGUAUUGCUGAUUCCACCGCGGAGGCUGAUGUGACAGCUUGUGAAGCCACUAAGGAAGCAGUGUGGCUCAAAAAAUUCUUAACGGAUAUCAAGGUGGUGCCUGCAUCUGCACAGCCCCUGAAACUGUAUUGUGAUAACAGUGGGGCAGUGGCAAAUGCUAAAGAACUAAGGAGUCAUCAAAGGGGUAAACAUAUUGAACGAAAAUAUCAUCUCUUGAGAGAGAUAGUUAAUAGAGGAGAUGUGAUUGUCAGUAAAAUUGCUACUGGGGGAUAACCUUGCGGAUCCAUUUACAAAGAGCCUAUCAGCUAAGGUUUUUAAUGGACAUGUGCAAGGCAUGGGGUUACAGGUAAUGACACAUAUACUCUAGGGCAAGUGGGAGAUGCUUUGGGUUGUGUGCCCAUAUAAUAUAGUUUUGCUGAUAUGAAAAUAACAAUAUUUUUUUAUAUUGAAUAAAAUUAUGUUUACUUUAUUGCAUUUAUUUAUUAUUGAGCAUGCGAAAUUAAAGUGCCUAUGAUCACUUGUGAUAAUAUGAGUUGAGUACUUGCGUUGAGAAGUAUAGUGUGACACAACUUGUAUUUUGAUCAUAAAUAAUUUGUUCACUACUAAUAUAUAAGGGUUGGCACCUUGUACUGGAAGGUUGUAGUGUUGAUCGAUUCACUAUUCAAGUUUGUGAUCUAUCCUUAUUUCAGAAAUAGUUAAAGGUGACACUAGUACACUUGGAGUGUAUUGAACGGACCAUGUGUUGAAUUUAAUUCUAUAGCAUGACCAUGCGGAGAAUUAAAUUUCACUUGACCCCUGUGUAUUUCAUUUGAAUCCCUUAACAGAAUUAUGUAUAUCUUUUCGCGAUUUUAGUUUUUUUUUUAAUUCAUCAAUGGGUGAGAUCAAUUUGAUUGAUCAAAUAUCUCGAUGAGUUGGGAACUUGAGAAUGAGCGGAGUAGAGAACAUGACUUCGUGUCGGGAACCGUCGUCCUGAAAAUGGGCAGAGUGACUACUUGACUAUUUCCUGUUGAACGGUUAAAAUUUGAGUUCAGUGUUUAGCGACGGCUAAACUUCGACUUCUGUGAUUUGUUCACAGGACCAUUGAAGAAAAUGAAAUUUAAGUUAGUGAGAAUAAUUAGAGGAGCGUCAUUUGUGCUCGUACCUAAUUAUCGAAUAUCUGAUGGGGAUAAAAUACAUAUACAUCAGGUCAGAGGAAAGUAUUAAAAAUUUAUUGGCUUAUGUGGUCUUAUAUAUUCCAAGGGUUCAGUCUUUUGCCUUUAGUGGAAAAAGUAAGGACUAAUAAUUAGAUUGGGUGGUCUAGGGUCGACUAGACAAGAUCUAAUUAUUGGAGCUUAGAAAAUAUAUGUCCGAUUAGAUCUCUGUGGUAGCUCCAUAAAGUAUUGAAACUUAAUUACGGUAAUUAUAAUAGUUUUGAGCUUAAUUGUAAUUACAAUAAAGUUUUGUACUUGAUUGUAAUUAUUAUGAAAAUUAUAAACUUCAUUGUAAUUGUAAUUAAAGUUCUAGGACUACACAUGCAAUUAUAUGUAAACUAAUUAGAGUUGGACUUAAAUUAGAACUCAUGCUUUAGUUUUAAUUAGAAUUCUUGUUUAAAUGUGGAAUUAUAUUUGUACUAGAAUUCUAUCAUCUUUUUCAAUAUAAAUAAAGACUAGAUGGAUAGAAAAAUACUAUAACAUUUAUAAUUUCAUAAGAUUCAAAAUUAAAGAGAGAAAAAGAGAAAGAAAAUAUAUUAUUUUCUUGUUGUCCAAAAUUCAAGAAUUAGUUUCAGGAUUAAUUGAGAGAAGGUGCCCACACACCAGUGUAGUCUUUGCAUUGGAGAAUACCAGAGAAGGCUUGAAGGUUUGAAGCACCAAGAUUCUUGCAAUUAAAGGAGACAGAAGUUCGCAGAUCAGAGUUAAUUCAAGGUUGAUCAUUUAACUUAGGUAAAAGAUUCAAAUACUUUAAUUUUGUUGUAACAUACACGUGAACAUCUAGACGAUCUUACUUAUUGAAUUAAAGAAAAUUUUAAUUUCUAAUUAAUUCCAAUUCCGCUUCCGCAUUCCAACACUUACAUGACUCUCUAGAAGUGGUCUAAGUAAUAUGUGCAUUACAAAGUUCAUGAUGCAGAUCACGGCUUCUGGGGAUGACUCAAUCAGGGAGAUGCGUUGGGUUCCAUGGACGAUGCAAUUCUAUAUGGCAUUGAUGUAGUAUGCAGUAGUUGUUCUUCUAGUUAUGGUUCAACACCUAUAUUCAACUGCAGCACACAAUUCUUCAAGUAAAUUGGUUUAAUAUAUUCACAAAAUUUGAGGGCACAUCUUUUUCAAACUGAGAUGAAUGAUGUACAAUUCAAAACAUAAAACCCAAGGACACAAGAACUUAAUGCACAAGAGCAUAAUUCUUUUAUAGAUACAGAAUAAGGACUAAGAGUGCAAAUUUACUAAGUUUCGCAAUCAGCGUAUUUCUGUGGCUUUGGAUUGAGAAACUAAAGUUGUGUUGAGUUUUGUGAUUUUAUGAGUUCUUUGAUCUAAGUCAGUAUUUCGAAACCAACGAAAUUGAUUACACAUUCAUCUUCGUGUUCUAAUUCCUCUACAUCGAAAAUUUUCAGUAGCCUAAUCAUAGACUACACAGAAGUAGCCAACUAAGUAUCACAGUUUAGGUUGCCGUGUUAUUUUCUUGGAAUGGAAGAAAGAACAGUAACACAAUCGAUAAGUCCACACUAUCCGAGUACUAAAGCUUUUUACUGUCUAGAGGGGCCUUUAAAUGCUCUAUAAAAACUAGCUAUUCCCAUGUAUAUGUUUGAGAGAAUAUUUAACAAAUUUCCUUCAUCUUCACAUCUGCUUGAUGUAUAUUUGCUGGAAAAUACCCAAUAUUUCACCUCAUCGAGGUUGUAGUCGACAGAUCUUCUUGUAAGUUGCCCUUUUCAUCCAACUAUUUCCAACCAGCUAUGUGCUGUAUAUUGAGGAAUAAAGAGUGGUACUAAUAAUGCAACAAUGAUAAUACCAAUGCCAAGUACGCCAUAUGUCAAUAACCCAUAACUUAUCAAGAAUAAAUAAACAGGUACACGUAGAAGGAAAUAGAUAGGUUAAUUGUGAGCACAAAACACGUGCAAAUGCAAAACCAAAGCAAAUAAAGUACAGCAUUUCGCAUAUCCCCGAUAAAUCUAAAUGUAGAUAGGCACCACAUUUGAUAGAAGUUUCACUCAACGUUGGGCGUGAACUCAAAUAACCUUCAAAAGUGUCACGCUCAACAAGUGAUGAUCCUGCUUCAGCUCCUGCAUUCAUUAAAAUUUUCCUUUUUUUUCACUUUGAGGAUAUAAUUCCAUGAUAUCCAAGACUGUCUAACCUUCAAAGUUGUUUGCAUUUACAUCAACAUGGGUUGUUUCGCCGUUCUAUUUCAUUUUUGUUUUUUUAAAGAGCUACUUUAACAAUCAAAAUAGAUGUAAGGAUGAACUUUGUGUUUUAAGUGCCUGUCUUGAAAUUGCUGAAAAUAGUUCUUUAUUUCAUUUUAAAAACUGUUUUUCAAAACAUAAAACUGAAAAACGCAUUUAUAUUGUAAUUUUUAGAAUAAUUUUUUAUAAUAUUUUAUUCAAGAAGUAUGAUUAUUCAAUAAUUUUUCAUAGUUUAAUGUUAAUAUAUUAUUAAAAAACAUAUAAAUUUUGAAGUUGAUGAAUCUUGAAAUAUUUUUUGACAGAUAUAAAAAGCACAACCUAAAUUAAAUUUGGCAUCACAGUUCAAUAGAUACUAUUAGAAGUUUACAUAUCAUGACAAAACAAGCAGACAAUAAACAAAAUAUAAAGUACAAGCUACAUUUCAUGUGAUCUGCCCAAACUACUUUUUUCGACAAUUGAAUUCGAAUAAAAAACAGGGGAAAAGUACAAAAGCCCAGUUUACUUGCCAGAAAUAACCUCCCGAUCACUUCAUACAAAGAAAACAUAUACGUAUAACUAAGGACUAUAUACAGAUUCACACAAGAUAUAGCAUUUCCUUGGUUACACGAUUGGCCAAAAGCCAAAGCACUUUCACAUAAGAAUACGUUAUCAGGCCAAAACUGCAAGGGUCAGACAAUGCAAUCUUCGCCCAUCUUAUCUAUCACAAUAAACUAGUUUUAUUGUGUGCUUCCUGCUUCCUCGGUUGCAAUCUCGAAUGGUUAUACUUUACUCUUAUUCUCAAAGGGAAAAACAUAAUUCAAUUUCAAUCGUUUAGCCAUAUCAUUGCAAAUAUGAGAACUAAAAGAACCGCCUCCUUAAAUUCCUAGUCGUAGCUUGAUAUGAACGCAUGAGCAGACCAACACCAAUUCCCCCCAAUAAGGCACAUUCCAAGGCCUAUACCUAUGCCAACCCUUACACCAGCAUUGAACCAUGUAAGUUGCCCAACUUCACCAUGGUACAUGUCUUCCGAGUAAUAGCUGCAUUCAGCUUUCCCAUCCAUUUCAUACGCAUCCAUGUCUACAUCUGUAUACUGUAGAAAAAAACCCGAGCGAUAUUAGUAACAUGAGACAGGCAAGUGACAUUAAAUUAUUCAGUGUGCAUUUACUAAAGAAAAGAAAACUUUCUUGUAGCAAAAAGAGAAGAUUCAAGGAAGUAACAUUACAAAAAAGCUUCCAUGUGCUUACAAAAAAGCUUCCAUAUUCCAAACCGGGGGGAAGGGCAUUCAGAAAUUUGAUUCCCAGCGUACUGUCACGGACCUAGUUUCGUUACACCCGGACAACUAGAACCGUGCGGCCUUAACGCUUGACAAUUCCCACACCUCACGAAAAACAUUAAGUCAGCCUUUUCAUGCUCACAAAUAAGUUAACCAAGGAGGCUAAAUUAUUCCCACAUUGAGAAGAGAAUUUUGAAGUAAGGGAUAUAUGAAAAACAAGUAAGGUUGGGAAACUUUCUUUGUAUAAAUGAAAGGGAAAACUUUACAAUCUCUCUAAUGAAUAAACUCACUCAACUCUAUAUGAUUUACAAAUGAGACUUCCAUCUCUAUUUAUAGGCAAAACUUAAACCUCCUUAAGAUCAAGUUGCAUUACUUUACAACCUAUGCUUAGUUGGUCACAACUCGUGCUAGUUGUUUACAACUCAUGCUUAGUUGUUGUCAAGUGGAUAAGCUUACAACUUUCUUGCAAGUUGUCGCCAACUCCAUCUUAGCUUGCAUAGUAGAUAUUAUUCUUGCCAACUCGUGCUUAGCUUGCACCUUUGAUAAUAUCUUCGCCAACUCACGCUUAGCUUUUAUCUUUGAUAAUAUCUUGCAAGUGGCUCAAGUGGACAAGUUGUGCAAGUUGCCUACUUGCAUCCCAAAAUAUCCCAUUGCAGGUUCAUGUAUUUUUCUCCCAAAAUGGCUGGGUCGGGACUUAGAAAAACCUCAUUAACGCCCUGGAAAACUGCACAAUUUUAGGCAGCCUGCAUUCUACCCAAAACAAUAUGUUCCGUCCUGCUGCAGCGUGCUGUCCACUCUAUUUUGUGGCCGCUACCGGGACGGAUCGAACGCGACCGUGUGGGGCGUAAGUCACUCCCCUACCGAAUUUGGCGACGCCUUCGUCGCCAUGUAGUUCCGAAGCUCGGACUCAAAUUGCCAUAGAUCUCCUUCAUUUUCCCAAGUAGCUUCAGAAUCGGGCAAUCCCUUCCAUUUGAUUAAGCAUUGAGUGCAAGGGGGAACACCUCUCCGUCUCACCACUCGAUCUGCCAAAAUGGAUUCAACAUCUUUCUCAAAGAUUUUGUGACGAUGGGAGGCGCUCUCUUUGAUUUGUUUCUUCCUAGAUCCUCCAAGUCCGGCCUAUAUGGUUUCAACAUGCUUACAUGAAAAAUCGGGUGGAUCUUUGAAGUGCUUGGAAGAUCAAGCCGGUAGGAAACUCUUCCAACCUUCGCUAGGAUGGGGAACGGACCUUCAUGUUUUCUAACCAAGCCCUUGUGAACUUUGUGGUAGGCUUUGAAUUGUUGAGGCAACACUUUCACAAGUUCUUGAUCUCCAAUGUUGAAUUCCAAUGGUCUUCAUCUCACAUCGGCCCAUUUCUUCAUUCGCUUCCCAGCUUUCUCCAAGCAAGAUCUUGCUACGUCCACAUGAUCUCCCCAUGACUUAGCUAUUUUGAUUGCUCCAAGACUUCGGUUAGAAUCACCAACCAUAGAUAAUGUGUGGAGCGUUGUAGAUUGUCGCCUUGUUGUAAGCUCAAAUGGACUAUGUCCCGUUGAUUCACUUUUCUGCAAGUUGUAGGAAAAUUGGGCUAUGUCCAUCAACUUCGCCCAAUCCCGUUGAUUAGCACUAACAAAGUGCCGAAGAUAACACUCCAACAAUGCGUUCACCCGUUUCGUUUCUCCAUCCGUCUACGGGUGAAAACUACUUAAAAAGUGCAAAUUCGAUCCAAGGAGUUUAAACAACUCUGUCCACAAUUUCCCCGUGAAGAGAGGAUCCCAAUCACUUACAAUAUGCUUUGGCAACCCCCAAUACUUCACAAAAUUUUUGAAAAAUAACCUUACCGUCUUCUCCGCAGUGCAAUCCUUAGGGGCUAGAAUGAAAGUAGCAUACUUGGAAAAUCGAUCAACAACAACAAUUAUUGAUCUGAACCCUUCGGACUUUGGCAAGGCACUAAUGAAAUCCAUGGUGACCACGUCCCAUGGUUGAUCUGGAACAGGAAGAGGAUCAAGAAGUCCCGCCGGUAAUUUAUUCUCCACUUUGUCUUGUUGGCACACAAGACAUGUCCGGAUAUAUGUCUCAACUUGAUCCCUCAUUUGCGGCCAAUAAUAUGCUCGUUCAAUCAAAGCUAAUGUCCGAUCUAUCCCGGGAUGUCCAGCCCACUUGGUGUCAUGACAUUCCCGAAUCACGUCACAUCGUAAAUUUCUCCACUUAGGUACAAAUACCCGUUGCCCAGUGGUGUAUAGCAACCUGUUGUCAAUCCAAAAUCGUCUUGUUUUUCCUUCUCGAGUGGCUGGCAUCAAUGUUUUCGCCAUGGGGUCAUGCUCCAAUCCUUGUUUAAUUUCCUCUAACAAGGUACCGUGGCUUGACUAAUUGUUGCAAGUUCCGCCUUUCGCCUAAGUACAUCCGCCACUACAUUCACCUUCCCGGGUUAGUAUUCCAUCACAUAAUCAAACUCUACUAAGAAAUCUUGCCAUCUAGCUUGCUUUGAGCUCAACUUCUUUGGUGAUUGGAAGUAACUUGUAGCCACGUUGUCCGUCUUGAUCACAAAAUGGAAACCCAAAAGAUAAUGACGCCAUACACGUAAGCAAUGCACAAUGUCCGUCAUUUAUUUUUCUUGCACCGUGUAACGCCGCUCCGUGUCAUUCAACUUGCGACUCUCAAAGGCAAUAGGAUGAUCUUCUUGCAUGAGCACACCUCCAAUAGCAAAAUUUGAUGCAUCAGUCUAAACUUCAAAACUUUUGUUGAAAUCCGGUAAGGCCAACACUGGCUCCGACAUGAUUGCCGCCUUUAAAUCAUCAAAGGCUCUUUGACAUUUCACAGUCCAAUCCCAUCCUUGAGACUUUUUGAGCAAGUCCGUUAAUGGGGCUGCUCUAGAAGAGUAGCCUUUAAUGAAACGCCGAUAGUAAUUCACCAAUCCAAGGAAAGACCGCAAUUCCGUUACCUUAGUAGGUGGCUCCCACUCAUUAAUUGCUUUUACUUUGGCUCCGUCCAUUUUCAAGUGACCAUGCCCGAUGAUAUGUCCCAAGAAAUGCACCUCUUCUUUGGCAAAUGAACAUUUCUCCUUCUUGAUGUAUAAUUCAUUUUCCCGCAACACUUGAAAGAUAAUUUUCAAGUGCUCAACAUGUUCCUCCAACGUGUUGCUAUAGAUGACAAUAUCAUCAAGAUAAACCACCAUGAACUUAUCCGAGUAUAGAUAAAAUAUCUUGUUCAUCAAGGUGCAAAAGGUGGCCAGGGCAUUUGUCAAACCGAAAGGCAUGACAAGCCAUUCAUAGGAACCAUACCAAGUAAUGCAAGUAGUUUUAGGCUCAUCUCUUUCUGCAAUCCGAACUUGAUAAUAACUUUUUUUCAAAUCAACCUUGGUGUAGAAUUUAGCGCUACCAAGUCGAUCAAAUAAGUCCACAAUCAAUGGAAUAGGAUACUUGUUUUUCACUGUCACCUUGUUUAGUGCCCGGUAAUCAACGCACAUCCUUAGUGUCCUGUCCAGCUUCUUUUGGAAUAACACCGGGGCGCCAUAGGGAGGUUUGGAUGGUCUAAUCCUUCUCGUCUCCACAAGCUCCGUAAGUUGUUUUCGAAGUUCCUCUAACUCCGGAGGUGCCAUACGAUAAGGUGCCAUGGCCGAGGGUUUAGCACCAGGCUCCAACUCAAUGCGAUAGUCUACUCCCCUCCUAGGCGGAAGUUUCUUUGGCAACUCCUUGGGCAUCACGUCCUUAUUUUCCUCCUCACCAUGGGAAGCCUUCGGUUGAGUCUUCGUAAUAGAUGCCAAGGAUCCAAGUUUAGGGCAAUCCCGCAUGAGAUGUGGCCCUUUGCAAAUGAAGCAACUACGAGGAGCAAAAUUACCCCUCUUUUUAUCAUCAUACUCCUUUCGCCAAAUAGUUGAUUUGUUGCCACCGAGUUUGUAAUCAACUUUGGGAUUUGGCCUCCAAUUUGGCUUACUCUUUAUCUUUUCGCAUAUCACCUGCACCUCUGCCAAAAUUCCCUUUAGUUGGUUUGAAAGUCCUUGCUUGCAACUCCGUACUCCUUUGGAACUCCGUCAAAGAUUCGGCAAUCGCAAUUUCCUCAUCUACAUUUUUGACUCCGCGAUGUUGUAAUUCUUGCCGCACCCAUGUUGUACAUCCAUCCAUGAAAUAGAAUAGCAAGACAUCCUCCAGCAUGCUAGGGAUUUGAAGCAUAAGGGUCGUGAACUCUUUGACAUAGUCACAAAUGGUCCCUUUUUGUUUCAAUUCCCUUAAUUUCUUGCGGGCCUCGUACACAACGUUCUCGGGGUAAAAUUGUCUUUUUAGCUCCCUUUUGAACUCAUCCCAAGUAUCAAUUCUGCUAGCUCCAUGCUCAAUAUCAGCAUGCUUACGACACCACCAAAGAGAUGCGGUGUCGGUAAGAUACAUAGAAGCGGUCCGGACUUUCAUGGCUUCAUCAACAAGAUUUACGCCUUCAAAGUAAACUUCCAUUUGCCAUAGGAAGUUUUCCACAUCUUUGGCAUCCCGUCGCCCAUCAUAAUUUUUAGGCUUGGGGUAUUCAAUCCUUGGGGCAACAAUAGUUGAAGCAGCACCUCCGCUUGUACUGGCAGUGGAGUGCUUGUAUUGUUUAAGCUCUUUGCUCAUUCUUUACAUCAUCACAGCCAAUUGGUUAACUUGGCCAUACAUGGCGAAAAUGGCAUCCAAGACUUUGGUUUGGAGAUGGCCAAAAUCAUCCAUCAUCGCGGCUUGUCCGGCUACCACAGCUUGAACAUCAUCUCUCAUCGUUUGAACAUCAUUUUCCAACGAUGCUUGUGUGUCCAUCACCUCUUGAAUAUUAAUUUGUAGAGUUUCUAGCUUUCCAAUGGCAUGUCCCUCCAACUCCUCGAAGGAGCUUUCAAGAGAUUCGAAUCGAUCACCUAUAUUUGAGAUGAUUUGGUCAAGUUUACCUUCCAUGUUGGUGGCCUCCCUCACCUUACUUUUGCCUCUAGUUUUCCUUACUUCAGUUUGGGCAGCACCUCGACCCCUCUCCUCAAUCUCAAUAUCAACAGUUUCUUGAGAUUCCGCCAUUAUAACGGCCUACAAACGAGGCUCUAAUACCACUUGUCACGGACCUAGUUUCGUUACACCCGAACAACUAAAACCGUGCGGCCUUAAUGCUUGACGAUUCCUGCACCUCAUGAGAAAACGUUAAGUUAGACUUUUCACUCUCACAAAUAAGUUAACCAAGGAGGCUAAAUUAUUCCCACAUUGAGAAGAGAAUUUUGAAGUAAGGGAUAUAUGAAAAACAAGUAAGGUUGGGAAACUUUCUUUGUAUAAAUGAAAGGGAAAACUUUACAAUCUCUCUAAUGAAUAAACUCACUUAACUCUACAUGAUUUACAAAUGAGACUUCCAUCUCUAUUUAUAGGCAAAACUUAAACCUCCUUAAGAUCAAGUUGCAUUACUUUACAACCUAUGCUUAGUUGGUCACAACUCGUGCUAGUUGUUUACAACUCAUGCUUAGUUGUCUUCAAGUGGAUAAGCUUACAACUUUCCUUGCAAGUUGUCGCCAAUUCGAUCUUAGCUUGCAUAGUAGAUAUUAAUCUUACCAACUAGUGCUUUGCUUGCACCUUUGAUAAUAUUUCGCCAACUCACGCUUAGCUUUUAUCUUUGAUAAUAUCUUGCAAGUGGCACAAGUGGACAAGUUAUGCAAGUUGCCUACUUGCAUCCCAAAAUAUCCCACUGCAGGUUCAUGUGUUUUUCCUCCCAAAAUGGCUGGGUCGGGACUUAGAAAAACCUCAUUAACGCCUUGAAAAAUUGCAAAAUUUUAGGCAGCCUGCAUUCUGGCCAAAACAAUAUGUUCCGUCCUAUUACAGUGUGCUGUCCACGCUAUUUUGCGGCCGCUACUGAGACGGAUCGAAAGCGACCGCGUGGGGUGUAAGUGUACGGUCAGAAUGAGAUUAGAAUAGUGACUUUCGUAUAAAAAAUGCUAUAUUAAAUGGCUGGCCUUUAAUAUUGCAGGAAGCAAAGGACCCUAAUAGUUAUUUUCUUUGCUUGCAACUAUAUGCCCUUCAUCAACAUUGAAUGCAUUGCUUUUGCAAUCAACCAGAACACUUUACUGCAGUGUUAUUUUCAUGAAACAAUACAUAGUUCACAGGAAAACGAUAGCAUAGUAAUAAAAUAAUAAGCAAGAGUUCAAUACAGCAACUUCUUAAUUAAAAAUUAAAUAAAUCAAUGAAACAUCAGCUUGCCCGCAAAAAGCAAACCGUGAAAUCAGAUUUGGGAUGUAAAGGGAGAAAUUUAAUGUUACUUUAUAACUUGAAGGAGUUAGAACUUCCAUUAUUGCUUCCCCCCACCCCUCCACCCCCAAGAUACACCUUGAAUUACUUGUACAACAAAGUCAUCAUGCAACUAUAUCACAACUGAUAAUACAAAACAUUUACAGUAACAGUCAUAAUAUGAUACGUGUCAAAAUUUUGAACAAUAUGAGAAUCUUGGCACAAUAUCUCAACUCGGCACUUGUUCAAUGGGUCAAUUGUGCACUUCUCUCAAAUAUAUAUAUUGAGUUGAGUUUAGUGAUGCUUAGGAAAUUUUGUUAACCCAUUUUGCCUCCUAAAAUUUGACUCGGGAGUGCCACAUAAAUGGUGAACAUAACUAGCUUAAGAACAUUGUCGACACAUCCAAUAAGAACAUUCAAAUUUGAUAUUCGGGUUAAGAAAGCAAAUCAAAAAUUUCAAUUAUGACACACCAAGCAUGUUCAUACUCAGUUGCAUUCUGUCUAAAUUCAAACUCAACAGAUUUAGAAUCAGUUGUAUGAAUUAUUUUACACCAAUUUGUUCAACUAAACCCUAAGUCUAUAUUAUUUUGGUCUCUCCUCCCUCCUAACAUGCUUAUUGAGAUUAUGUGAGCAACAAGGACUUUUUUAGAUCUACAUGAGACAUGCCACAACCACAUAAUUCGUCCUCCCCUUAAUUUAUUCUCAAUUUGUGUCGCAUCCACUUACGAACAUAUAUUAUCAUUUCUUGUUUAAUCCAUUCUAUUCGUCAUUCAUCAUUUUACAUCCUCACACUGGUCUAGUACCAUUUACUAGAACCUGUCUGCUAACUACAUAGGUAUUUUACAAGAAAAUAAGAUCCUCAAACACUUGUUCCUUUCAUUCAAGCUGCUCUAGUUAUAUGCAUUACAUACUUUCAUCUUUGUCGACUAAAGAUCCUAAAUGCUUAAAACAAUCACUAUUUGGAUACAAUAUGAUUCUCCAUGUUGACAGGCUAAAACAGCAAGGACAAUCAAUGUAUUAUGUUUUAGUUCAAGUCAAGAAACUUCUAAAUCCAAACAGCUUCUUCUCCACCUAGCUUUGUAAUUAAAACUAUGUAAUCAAUGUUUUAUGUUUUAGUUCUAGUAAAAAAAACUUCUAAAUCCAAGAAGAGACAUUAUCUAGAGCAUGUGUCAAAAGUUUAUUCACCACGAAAUAAGCUCGAUACAAACAUCUCCAAGACUACAACAACACUUACUUUGGACACCACAUAAUAUAUAUAUUUUUUUAAUUACUGAAAACAAAACGCAAAUUUUGGUUUUUGCUUUUUUCCCCCCCCCCCCCCCCCCUUUUCAAAAAAACUUUAUAAAAAAAAAGGGGNNNNNNNNNNNNNNNNNNNNNNNNNNNNNNNNNNNNNNNNNNNNNNNNNNNNNNNNNNNNNNNNNNNNNNNNNNNNNNNNNNNNNNNNNNNNNNNNNNNNNNNNNNCCCCCCCCAACCUUUUCAAUCAACAUCUUAAUAGGUAAAUGGAUUCUACAAUAAUCCCCCUAAAAGAUAGCCAAAUUUGUUCUUUGAACCAAUAGUUAUUCUCAUCUACAUUGUCAUUAUAGCCUACGUCAUUUCUAAAACUAAGAUUCUUACAGGAUAAUUAACAUUUCUAUCAAAAUAAAGAGUGACAAACCAUCCACACUAUAAAUUCCACUAAAUAAUCUAAAGAUAAUUCCUUCAUCUUUUAGUGAUCCACUGAUCUCAUCUCUAUAUAACAGAACUUGCUCAUUUUCAUCUUCAAUACACUUCACUUGAUUUAGAUCUCUUCCCCUGCUAAGAUAUCUGGGAAAACUUUUCCAUGCAUCCUAGUUCUUAAAUAUUUGUAAAAUUUCUCUCAUUAAACUUCUAGAUCUCUCGUCUACACUCUCAACUCACUGUGAAGCACAAAAAUGCAAAAGACGAACUACUUGAGAGUAUCAGCCAAUGGGAAUACAAAUCAAUAUCCACCCUCUAAAAGUCUAGUUGCAUACAGCCUAUCUAAACCUUCAAAUAUUUGUACCACCAAAAGUAACAUAUAAACAUCACAAAAGUCAAUGCUAGCAAAGUAAACUGGUAUUCACAUAACCUGUGGUUUCCGAUGCCAAUGAAAUCCGUUAUUUACAUUCCUUUGUUCUUUCCCCAAAUCCUCAUCCUCAGGAAUGGCAUCAAGCAUCCCCUGCCUCAAAAUCUUUCGCUUUGGACUGAUCAAAAUCAUCUUUGUUAAUAUAACAGGCAUUCCCGAGCAGCAACCUGCUACAUAAACCUCUAAAGACAAUCAACAACCUGCAUAUGGAGGAAAACCAUCACAUAUCCAUAAAGACAAUCAAUUCCAUUUUAUUUUAUUAUUAUUUUUAUUUUUUUUGUAAUUAAUUAAAAACAAAUUUUAAUUGAAUUUAAAUAUGCUCCAAACAGGGGCUCAUAAAGAAGCUCUAUUCUCUACUUACUACCAGAAAAAAUAAACAAAUGUAAGCACCCCAAUCACUGUAUGAACUAUGGAAAUCAAAAUGAAUCCCUUAAAUCUCUCAAUUUUAAAUGAAUCGAAAUUGCAAAUCAAGAAAAGUUAAUGACAUCAAAAGAGGUCAAGUAACGUAAUCAUUCAAAUAGUGAAUUGAUUUUCAACGAAUUAGUAUCAAAUAGAGAAUACCUGAAAUAUAAACAAGAAAAAAGGCCAAAUUACCUAGCCUACACUGACCAUGAGUUGCGAUUGUGAAGUUGAGAGUUAAAAGAUUCAAUGCAAUUUUGACACGAAUUUUCACCUCUUCACGAAAUUUCCCAGCCAAUUUGAGGAGCCGAACCAUCAGUGCCGUACCUGUGUUUCAUAGGGCCUGAGGUGAAUUUCAAAAUUUGGGCCCCUAAACUGCAGUAAGCCAUAAAUCGUAAAACUCCAUUAACAAGAUGCCAAACAUAAUAGCAUCUUGCUCAUUCACAGGCUGCAAUUUUAGAAGUUUGAGAGUUUAGGGUAGGAAUAGAUCAAUGUAAGUAAAAUCAUAUGAAGCUCUAUUCCAUGGACUUUCAUAGAUAGUGACCGCAUAAGUUAUAGGUUUAAUAAGUUGAUAGCUAAGCACAAUUCUGUGAAACAAAUAAUUAUUUAAAGGACCAAACUUACUUAAAAUAAGUGCUUGUUUGGAAGAGAUUUUGAUAAUUGAUUUUUUGACCGUUAGAGAUAAAGUGGAUCCUAUCUGUGAAAAAAAAAUUCAAAAAUGACGACUAAAAGAGUGAAACAACGGUCAAAAAAUUAAUAUUAAUUGGAUUAAAAUCUCUACCAAACUUGCUCUAAAUAGAAAAAGUAGUUAAAUAAACAAUAUGAAAACCCUUACCUCCAAACAGAGAAUGCUUUUCAACAUUUCUACCAGGUUCUUGAAAAUUUCAGGUGAUGUCUCUCCUUCCAACUCUAGGACAAGAAUCCUGAUAUACAUAUAACAGAGAUAAGUAAGCUAGGCAAAUCGGCAUUUUAAGCCUAGCCUAGCCUUUCUCAAUCACUAUGCAAAUCAGUGUAUGCUAUUUUUUAUGCUUGCAAACCAAAGGCCAGCAAGAUAGUUUGGAAAUUGAUGGCAAUGAACUUUCUAGCUACAACUCAAGAGUACUUGCCAUUUUGAUUAAUAGGAUACAACAUAUUUUAAGAUUCCAAAUCUAAUAAAGAAUAUACCUUAAAUUGGGGCACCUUUUACCAACAGAUGAAAGAAUGCAUAAGAGAGUGAGUUACACCUGAGCAAAUUCAAUUUUUGGAUAUGCGGCCCAAGAAUGAUGGUUAUUGAGGACUCAUACAACCGGAGACAAUCAAUAGCUACCCUCUGUAGCCCUUAUAAUUUUGGGGCAAUCCAAUCCAGAAUCUUGCCAUUCAGUGAAAGUGCCUAUUAUUCCAGGCACUUUUAACUAAGCAUCCCCUUCAAUGAUAUUCAAACAUAAAAACCUCCAACAAGAAAAUGUAUUUGUUCUUUUCAAAAAGAAUAGCAUGGUCUGUUACUGUGCCAAAGCAAUUUCAACCACACACAGAUAAUAAAUUUCAAAAAGAUUCUUAAACGCAAAAAGGGCAGCCAAGAUCAUCUCAACUAACCCUUUAACUUAUUAAAUAUAAACAAAAAUAAGGAGUUAUGCACAUAAUUAUCUGAAAAUGAAUGCUUACAGAGAGAUCGAGAGAGCGGAUAGUUGAAAGCGCUUGAGAGAAACAAUUGAACGGAGACCCUGGGAAACGCAAGCCAGUGAACAAAGUGAUUCCAAGUCUAGUUUACUCAAAAUUUUGCUGAAAAUAAUGGCGUCUGGGAGUGGCACUCCCUCCAAUGGCAGUACACCACCUUCAAACACGCAGUGUCGGGGUUUAUACAGGAAUUCUUCUCGAUGUUAUUCAUGGGAAAUCAAGAAAGUCACAGAUGUAAAAGGAGACCGACAAUGGAAAACAUAUUGGGAAAAAACUGCAAUUUAAAAGUGAGAUGGAGCCAAAGAGUUAAUCUCAAUAAUUGCCACUAACCUUAGGUGUUUGUAUCUAACUCCGACCUACGAUUGCAACAUAGAAGAAGCUGAAAAUGGGCUGAAAUUUCUAGGUCUUUAUCACUCGGACAAGGCUAGAUGAUGGGUUAUUUUAAAAUUGACUCACUCAAAUCACCUUAAUUUUACUUGAUUUCUCAAGACUUAUCCAAUGUUAUGGACAAAAAUACGCUUAAAUACAUUAUACAAUUACAAAAAUUGUUUUUUAUAAAUGACAUCAAUACCUUUUUACUUAACAAAUGAAAAUCAAACACUUCAUACUUUUCUUAUCUGUUUACUCCAAUAUAGAAAAAUAAAACAGUCUCAUUCUUCAUCUGCUUCAAUUGCAGAAACUAAAAAAUUUAUCGAAAUCGAAAGUCGAAAAAUUUGUGGACAUCAAUCUCGUCGGUUCGGUAAGUUUAUAUACGCGAAUUUAAUCUUGUUUUCGUUAAAUUAUUAUAUGUUUAAAUCGAUAAAUUGUAUUUCGACAUUUAACGGUAAUGUAGAUAAAAAAAAUUAAUAGAUUCGUAAUUUUUUUAAGUAUUUGACUAGAAAAAAUUCAUCUGCAGAUACAUUGUCAGAACGGCCCAGUGCAGGCCGGUGAUUUGACUGUUUGUCAAUUGUUUUCUUUUCCCUCCCCCUUUUUUAGGUUAUUUUUAUUGCUGUUAAUAUUUUUCUUAUAAUUAAAAAUUCUAUUUUGACAUGCAGAUAUGGUUGUAGUCUUAGUUUGUUACUUUGGUGAUUUCGAGUUGGACGAAAUAGAUCAAUGGGUAUGGAAAUGGAAAAAUGCUAAACGUGAUGAUAUCGCAAUUUUCAUAUUAUCAGGUACAUCGUAUGCAAAACUCUAUGAUGAUUUACAGAAUAAGUUGAAUAUUGAUCAUUCUUAGUACAACAUGAAAUUGAAAUUUAAAUUCAGCGAGUAUGCAUCACUUCCUAUUCCACCUAUAAUAAUUUCUUAUGUUGAUGAAGUGAAUUAUUUGAUUGAAUUGAACAAUAAGCACACGACUCCUCCUUGUGUGACUUUAGUAAGGAAGGAUGUCGUCAAAAAUGAACAAGUAGACUCAAGAGGUGGGGAUCACAAUGCUAAUGAUUUUUGGGAUAUGGUUGAAAUAGCUCGUGAAGAUGAUGUGGUUAUUCCAGAGAUAGUUGCACACAGAAUCCCCUCCAUAGCUCAUGACAACGAGAACGAAAAUACAAAUACUUUUACAAACGAGAACUUGAUUGCUUUAUCCCGGCAGAGACAAGAGUGGGGUGGGACCUCGGGGGCUAGAUCGAGUGGACCAUCCUCUAACUCCUCACGUGUGGUUCCCGAUAAUGAGAAUUUAUAUGUCGAGCAGCUGUUUGAAAUGAAGAAAGAUUUGCAAAAAGUCGUGCACCUAAUUGCACUGAAAUACAACUUUAAAUUUAGAGUGAAAAAAUCGAAUAUAUCGUUGUUGACGCAAUCAUGCAUAGAUGAUAGUUGCAGUUGACGUUUGCAAGCGAUGAAAAUGGACACGAAUGAGUGCUUCGUGAUUCGCAAAUAUACACGAAAACAUACUUGUGAAGUGAGAGUUUAUUGCAAUGAUCACAGGCAAGCCCAAGCUUGGUUUAUUGGUCGAUAGAUAAUGCACAAUUAUCAGGAUCCACGGACAAUCUACAGACCAUCGAAUAUCAUUAACGACGUUCGUCGAGAGUACGGAGUAGUCAUGAGCUACCAGAAGACUUGGAAGGCCAAAGAAUGCGUGUUGGAGGAUUUAAUGUGCUCGGCAGAGGAAAGCUAUGCUAAGUUGGCCAGGUAUUGCUAUAACAUGGAAAAAACUAAUCCUGACUCGGCAAUUUUUAUUGAGAUGGAGGUCGAGAGCUACUUCAAAUUCUUCUUUAUGGCUCUUGGACAAUGCAUUCGGGGAUUUCAAAAUGUUAUGCGACCCCUAAUUCUAGUCGAUUGUACAACUCUGAAAUCCAAAUACCAAGGCAAGUUGAUUAUUACUACAUGUCAAAAUGUCAACAUCCAAAUUUACCCUCUUGCAUUCAACAUAGUUGAUAACGAGAAUGAUCUAUCGAUUCGUUGGUUCUUCACAAAGCUCAGGGAAGUAAUCGGGGAAGUCAAGGACCUUGCCUUUGUAACCGAUAGGGGAUAGUCUAUAAUAAAUGGUAUUGCUGAAGUUUUUCCCGAUGCACAUCAUGGGUAUUGCGUGUACCAUAUACAAGGCAACUUCAAGACUAGGUAUCGGGCCAAAGGCAUCGUUUCAUUGUUUAGGAGAGCGGCUGAAGCUUACAGUAUUGAAGAGUGUAAUAGGUAUAUGGUUGAAAUAGGAAGCAAAUCAUUCCCGACAUGGGACUAUCCAAUGAAAAUGGGGAUUGAACAUUGAGCACGCUCAUAUUUUCCAGGACGUCGAUAUAACAUGAUGACGUCAAACAAUGUGGAGUCUCUCAAUGCAUUAUUUAAGAGAGAUCGAGACUUACCCAUUCUCGCACUAAUUGAGAAUAUCCGUACGAAACUGCAGCAGUGGUUUUCAUGAUCGACGUGCGAAUCACAUAAUUGCAUAAGCGUGCUAGUCCCGACGCAAAAGGUAAAGCUCUUCAAGGCUGCAGAGGCUGGGAGAAAGUUAAAUGUCGAACCACUAGACGACUCACGCUUCUCUGUGGAAUGUGCACAUCAUACGACAUACAUGGUAGAUUUGACUGAUGGAACAUGCACUUGUAAACAAUUUUUGUUAGAAAGUUUUCCAUGCGAGCAUGCAGUUGUGGUGGCUAUGUAUCGAGGAUUUACAGCGAGAACAUUGUGCUCUCCUUAUUACACUACCGAAAACUGGAGAGCUGCAUAUGUUGAAACCAUAUUUUCGCUUCCAGACGAAGCCGAGUGGAAAGUUCCCGAUCAUAUUCGCCCGUUCAAUACAUUGUUGCCACCUCUCAUUGAACCACGUGGUCCUAAAUGUCAAAGUACUUCUAGAAUACUAUCUACUAGAGAGUUUCCCUGACCGCUUAGGUAUAACAGGUGCAAAUCAGUAGGACAUACUCGUCAAUUUUGUACAAAUCAGUUCUCUUAUAUUCAGAUUUCAGCUCGUAUUUACAUUUAAAUAAACAGUAUUUACAGCAGCAUAAUCAAUAUUCAGAUUUCAGCUCGUAUUUACAUUGAAAUAAAUAGUAUUUACAUUGAAAUAAACAAUAUUUACAUGAAUAAUUAUAAACAAUUACGAAAAAUAAUUACAAAUAAUUACAAAUAUUAAUUACAAAAAAUAUUACACAUAAUUUAUGGAUCACAAUUAAAUUCAUAUAAAUCACACGCUAACUUAUUUCGUUAAUUCUGUAUUCAUGACUGGUUGAUUCCAUCAACCUUAUGUGCUAUACUCAAAAAUUCUAUGUAUUUGAUUGUCAAAAUCUCACAGUCACCCCUGCAAGUGAACAAACAUGUGUUACUUCGGUUCAAAUUACGUAUGAACUGAUUACUAAAUUUUAAAAAAAAUUACAAAGACUUAGGAUAUAGACUGUCUCGCCGUCGUCGUGUCCCGCAAGAUGGAUAGUUUGUCCUCCACAGUCAAGCCCGCAUGUCUAGCCAUCAGAGGAACAAUCAUAGUCAGGCAUGAAUGAUCGAGAUCGUACACAUAUAUCGUCAAAUCAGGAAACAUAAUCUCCAGUGCAAUGCAGUGUUAAUUCACGAUCACUAGAAUGUUCAAAUGCGUAAAACCCUCCCAUGGCUUUCCUCCAACACUCGGUGACAACCCGAUGACCCACUCGAGCAUAUACAUGGGAAGCACGUACUCAUUACCUAGAAGCUGGAGCGACUGAUACUCAAUGGUAACGGCACGCAAGAACUCAGUGUUCAGUAUUAUGCGGCCAAGCAUGUGGAAUGAUUGUGGAUAUCUCUCAACUCGAUCACGCAACAAGUCCAUGGCCAUGUUGAUGUGCUACAUCAAGGAAAAUCAAAGACAUAAAUACUUAUUUCAUUUACCAAAUUAAACAUAAUGUAUACAAAAAGUAACAAUAACACUUCACUUACAUCAUCGGCGAGCCAAGCCCCCUGAGUGGUGAUAUCAUGGAACCUCUUGUAUGCGUCCAAUAUCGUCCUUCCGGCUAUCAUGUGUGUGGCUCUGGAAGUAAAAUAGAAAAAAUGUUAAACGAAGUAUAUACGAGUUCUGAUAGUCUACUAAAUUAUGCAAUACUUACCCCGGGCAACAUUCUUUGCCACUCAGCCUCGAAUGCUUUCCACUUAGCAUGGUUGACCUCCCGGAAUAGAUUGGGGUACGUCCCAUCGACGAACCUCCUCAUUUUCACCUCAGCCAUGAAGGGAGAGACGACGUACUGUGACGGCACUCUCGGCCUCUAGCCGACCACCGUCUCUGGCAUGUCAACAACACACUUUUUUACAUUAUACACUGCCACCUCCUCCACCCCAGGGCUCGCCACCUCCUCCAUCCCCUCAUCUGUCACCGUCUCCGUCCCCGACAGGGCCAUUCCCUCAUUUGUCACCAUCUCUGUCUCCGACGUGGCCAUUCCCUCAUCUUCCACCGUCUUUGUCCCCGACGGAGCCAUUCUCUCAUCUACCAUCAUCUCCUUCCCCGAUGGGCCCCUCUCCUCUACCACUGCUCCUAUCCCAUCGCGCUCGAUGAAUAAAAUAAAUGAUUCCCAUGUAUAAUCAUCAUGCAUGUAUGACUACAGGAGAUCCCCAUCUCUAUCAUCCCCUCUAUCACCCCUUCGAUCACCGUCUCCAUCAACCCAUCGCUUACCGACUAUAUCACCUCGAAGUGUUGCAAUCUCAUCUUCUAGGUCCGCACAAUGGCCACGCAGCACUCUAACAUCAUUAGACAAAUCUUCAACCCUUCCUACCAACUAUCGUUCCAGAUUAUCAACCCUCUCUAUCAUCUGUCAACCCAGCUUGUCGACCUGCUCCGCUAUAAAUCUGCUCAGAUGGGCAUAUAGAUCAUCAAAAUAAUGUCCCUGACUAUGUGCGGGAGAUCCACGGGAAAGGUCUCUAGACAGGGGAGGCGGAGGUGGUGAUGCCCUCGGUGGAGAUGAUUGUCGAUCAACUAGAUCACGCUCCUACACAAGCAACAACAUUACAAAUUAUUAACUUAAUCCAUAAUUGCUAACUCAUACAAAAUUGUUAUUAAUAGAUUUUAUUCAAUUCACUCACCUUAUCUCGGUCGUGGAUCGGAUCGGACAUCUGAUCGUCUUGGGUGUGCGAAACGCCUAAUUCACACACGAGACCCUGAGCCUCCUCCUCCAUCGAUGGCGUCAACUCAAUUAUGACUUCAAGCUGACAUAUUAACAUUUGAACUAGUUAACGAUCAUACAAUCAGAUGUUAAAUCACGCACAAAUAUAAAUUACAAAUACAUAAUACUCAUUGAGGGUCGUCAAAGAUAGCCGAUAAUUGUUUCCCAAUGGGAUAUCCCUCCUAUCGAGAUGCUCUCAAUGGUACAUCCGAGGGCAGCGUAUCUCCAUCUUCUCACAAAGCAGGCACCCAAUAUGGGGACGGUCUCAUAUGCCCAGAUCUGCAACACAUACAAUUAUUAUAUAAAAAUUCAAUAUGAAAAUAAUUUUAACAUUCAUUAUGUUAACCAUUUACAUGUACCGCUAGAGGCAAUCCAUAGGUGUCGUACUUACGCAUCGACUUCGAGUGCGAUUUGGUGAAGACGUGUAUGGUGUCCUCAAAACAUCUUCGAUCACACGGAUAGUCGUUGAAACGAUCGAUGUCGUCAAUAAUAUCUAGAUGGAAAAGGUCGAUCGCAGUCUUCUUAUGGUGACACCGCACCACACUCUCAAAUAUGUAGACCAGACCUAAGUUCAGUCUCUCUAACAUCUGAUCACACCUCUUGAUUGCGUCCAACAGCUAUGUAAGAAGCAUAGUUCUCCCUCGAAGUAAGCGUCAUGAAGCCUAUUUCUUCUCUGAGUCCCAUCACUAGCAACUUCAUCACUCGUAAUCUUUAAUCCCGUGAUCAGAGCAAACUCGAACAUUGAAAAAUUGGCGACUUUACCCCUGACUGCGAAGUGGAGGGUAUCGCUGUCAAUUGAACUUAGCAAUCGACAUAGAAGUGCAUUAAUAAUCUGACUCGAGUACUGCAGAUCUCUCAACAGGUACAAGGGCCACAGGAAAGACUGACGCAGCAUAUCGGCAUGCUGAUCAUCGAACAGCUCUAACAUAGUAGUAAAACUGUUAAAGCUACUAUUCCAUGUAACUUUGCCUGGCAUCUGUCUCAACUCUACAUCAAGAUAAUAAUUCAUCCUGUAAAAAUUCAAAAUAUUAUAAUAUUGUACAAGUGAUAAUAGAAUAAAGCAUAAUAACAGAAAACUUAGCGAAUGAAAUUGUAAUUACAAUACGAAAGACGCAGAUUCAUAAUAAUUAAAAUCAUCAAUAAUGUGAAUUUUUUUUAUCCUAUUAUCAAUAAUGUCAAUUUUUUUCAAUUAUCAAUAUUUUUUUAAUCAAUUCAAGUUCAAAAAAUAUUUAAAUUCGAUGAACAAAAAUAAUAUUAUUUAUCAAAAACUAAUAAUAAAAAUAAAAAUAAAUAUUAAAUUUCAAAUUAAAUUUCCAACAAUUAUUUCAAAUUACAAUAAAAAAAUUAAUUAAAUUUGAUCGAUGAAAAGAAUAUCAUCCAAAACUAUUAAUAAAAUUAAAAGUAAAUAAUUUAUUUAAAUUCGACGACUAAAUAAAUUAUUAUUUACAGAAAACUAAUAAUAAAAAUAAAUAUUAAAUUUCAAAUUAAAUUUUCAACAAUUAUUUCAAAUUACAAUUAAAAACAUUAAUUAAAUUUGAUGAAUGAAAAGAAUAUCAUCCAAAACUAUUAAUAAAAUUAAAAAUUAAAAGUAAAUAAUUUAUUUAAAUUCGACUACUAAAUAAAUUAUUAGUUAUCAAAAACUAAUAAUAAAAUAAAUAUAAAAUUUAAGUUCACAAUUAAAAUAAUUAUUUCAAUUCGAUGAAUGAAAAAAUUAUUAUUUAUCAAAAAUGAGAAAAUAAAAAUAAAUAUUAAAAAAAUUAAAUGUAAAAAUUUUAUUUAAAUUUAGUCGUAAAAUUUUAUUUAAAUUCGAUGACUAAAUAAUUUAUUCUUUAUUAAAAAAAUAAUAAAAAUUAUCUAAACUUAAAUUAUAUGUAAAAAAAAAAUUGGACCGAAAAAUUUAGAAAAAGAGGAGUGGGCCAACAGUCGGCCCACUAAGUUGGGCUGACUUGACAGUCAGCAUGGGUCGACUGUUAACAGUCGGGUUUUAGCAAAAAGAGCCGGCUACACCAGCAGUCAGACCUUUUUCUCGUCGGAAAAUCACCAUUUUCGACGAGAAAAGUUUCCAAAUUUAAAAAACCAACCAUUAAAACACUAUAUAAACCUUAUUUUACUUAUAUAAAAAAACAAUAUAUUGAAAAAAUCUCUCACAAAAGAAUCAUUCACACCUUUUACCAAAAUCUAAACAUAAUCCAACCAAACAUUCGAUAUAAUAGUGGUUACCUUAAUAAGAAGUAGUUCGCCAACGAUGAACUAGCAAGUUCUCCGACUAACUGGAAACCGAUCAUUUUUUUUUCAGUUUUGUGCGACUGUUAAGCAAAUGGAAAGAGGAUAGUCGAGGGGUAUUUUGGGAUUUUAAGUUUUAAAUUCAUUUUUUGUUUUUUUUUUUAAUUAAAAAGGAGGUCAAAUGUCACUUUGGAAAUAGGGAUGGAUUAUCCGAUCUUUUUCAACAAUUUCUUCCAAGAUGAUGUGAUUUUUGGUGUGGAUUUCCACAACAACAACAACAACAAAAAAUGAAAAAACAAAGGAAACAAUAAAAAUUUUUUUGGGCCCCUUCAGAUUCUGGGCCGAGGCCGAGGCCUCUUGGGCCUCUCCUCAAGUCCGGCCAUGUGAACCAAGGAGCGCACCUAUUCGUGGGAGUUUAAGAAUUGAGUGAGGCUAUUUUGGUUUGGGAAGGAAGAGCAAAACCCUAGAGAACAAUUGCGAGAGGCAAAAACUUAUGGGAGAGAGAAAGAGGAUAUGUGAGAGUGUGAGAGAGAGAUAAGGAUUGGUAUUUAAUUUGGAUUGUUUCUUGUGUUUUUAGUUUUCAACAUGUUAUGUACUGAAAACACUCAAAACGUCAAAAAUGAUGUUUUGAGUUUUCAGCACAAUAUUUUGUUUUGUUUUCCAAAAUUCAUUUUCAAAAAUAGGAAAGAGAAUGCGUUUCUACUGUUUUGAAAAAUUGAAAACAGAAAACGAUAUGAAAACAAAGAGAGCAGCCCCUAACCUAUCAAAUAGGCCCUAAAUGCUUUUGUAUUUUUUAGUUAGACCCAUUUACGCUAUCUGAAAAGUUGUGAGACUACUUUUAUAACUUUUUUUCUUUUUCUUUUAUGGUUGUUUUGCUGUUUUAUUUUAUUUUUGUUUAUUUAAAGAGCUACUUUAGCAAUCAAAAUAGAUGGAAGUGUGAACUUUGCUACUUAAUUGAAAGGUAUGGGAUGGAUUCAGCUAAUAAGAUUGGUUAAGAGGUAAUUUAAACUCUUUCCUGUGUUGUCUAUAGGGUUGUUGAAUGUGUUAAUUAAAUUGAACUUGGAGAUUUGUUCUUUAACCCCCGGGGUCAUAGGUCUAAUUCUUGUGCCAAAAAUACUGUUUGAUCUUCUUCACAUUUCCUGCGUUAUGAUCUAACUUUCUCGUUUCUUCGUCGCUUUAUUUGUAAUUUUAAGUAUGGUUCAUAUACAGUUGAUUACUUUUAGAUUUUCUUAUGCCACUCUCUCUUCCAGCUAUUUUAAUUCUACUGCCUACCGUAGUUCUUCACAAACCAAAAAUCUUGGCUCCACCACCGAAUAUAACAAACUUGCUUUAUCCAUGAAUUUCAACCUCAUAGCCCAUAAGUGCAAGCCCUUCAAUUUAGCCUCCAUUUGUCAAAUUCAUAAAUCAUUUGUAAAUUGUUCGAAUUUCAUUAUUAGUGACACAUUUUAAUGGAUCAACAAGUACUAACCAAUUGUUUAUUACUCAUUUAUAUAAAUUCUUCCCAAACGAAGGCUUAAACAGACGCUAAGUGAUAACAGCUCAAACAAAAGUCAAAGACUUCAUCAAAUAACACAUGAAAAUUAAAACAGUAAGACAUUGAGCACUAAGAUGAAACGGGUUUCUCAAUAAUUGUAUUGACCAAAAGAGUGUAUACUUUAUAAAUGGAAACUAGUCUAAAAUAGAAAAGUGAAAAAUGGAAAUCAUUAGUAUUUUAGUAUCACCAUUUUUCUAGUUGUAUUUUUUAUUUUAUUUUAAAAAGGCCAGCCGUUCAGGCUUGUAUUUACGUCCCCGAAGUGAAGAAAAUCCCUUAACAUAAUCUAAUAAGAGACAAUUUUAUUUUUUUCCUUUGUCAACCACUACAGAUCCUUACAGAAAAAACAUAAUUCAUAUUAAGAUGACGUUACAUGAAUGCUACCAUCUUUAAGCUUAAACUGAAAACUAUUUUCCUUGGCCUUCCAGUCAAUAUGUAGUUACCCGAUUAAUGUGCUUUUUGCAAUAUUGAUUGUGAGGCAUAUGACAGAACAUUUGAUGUAGUACAUUCAUCGUAAUGCUUUCCUCCGAGUCAGUAUGAGUCCUUGAGUUAUAAAUCUGCUGCCAAAUGUGAGAUAUUUCACCUCAUCAAGGUUGUAUUCGUAGCAGAUAUUUUCUAUCACUUUCAAUUUAAAUUGUAUGAUCUUCCAAGGAACUAUAAUCAAGGUAGGCAGUAUGAUUAAUACCGCAACUGCACAUGGGAUAAAUGGAGCUCCUGCACCUGGGUAUAUUCCCCAUGCCAAUGCUGAAUGGCUUAUGGAAAAUAGAACAAGACAUGGCAAGAGAAAGAGGCAGAGUGGAGCAAAUGUAAGUAUUGCACAGGUUCCCAUUGCAAGACCAAAGGCAAUUGUGUUGUAAAUCAUACUUACUUCUGCUAGCCUUAGGGUUUUUUUGUUGAAGUUGGUGCUAGUUGAACUGGUUGAAUUAAUAUCAUUAUAAGCAGAUGUGAUGCUGGGAAAAACAAGAGUGGUAUCAUUGUGAGAAAUCCCAAAAGGGGAAGUGAAAGUGGCUUCAAACGCAGCAGUUGCAAUAAGCACAACUACUACUAGGACAGCGUUUUGCAUAUUUCCUGACAAACCGAACUCCAGGUAAGCACCAAAUUCGAUAAAAAAAUCUUUUAACGUUCUAUUUGACUUCAAAUAAUUUUCACAACUGGUGGCAUUACCGUCAAGAUAUGCACCUUCUUUAGCUCCUGCGCUUAUUAAAAUUUUCCUUGCUUCUACAUUUUCAGGAUUCAGGAUAUCCAAUGCUGUCUUACCUUCUAAGUUCUUCUUAUUCACGUGCUCAUACCCGAUUAAUGACUUCAUAACCUGAAACCAUAAACAAGAAAUUUUAUAAAAUUAUAACUGUUUACUAAACAAUACUUGGUUUAAAGAAAAAUGAGAACCAUUUUAUUUUAUUAAUUUCCGGUAUUUUUAACUAAGCGAAUUUAUAGAUAAGCUUCCAGCAUGAUGUAUCAAUUUGAAAGAGUAUCAACUAUUGAGUAAAUUGAGUUUUGAUCAUGAUCACAAUCCUCUUCAAGUUUUAGUUUGACAUCGAGAUAAUUUUGAUGUUUCCAGUCAAACUUGUAGGUGUGAAAGGUGGGUUAGGACUUUGAUCUUUAAUUUUAUUUUUAUAAAUUCUGGAAUGUUAAAAAAAUUGAUAAUAAUAAUAAAGUCAAGUAAAAAAUUACAGAUUUUGGAAAAAUGGAGUUUUUAGGCUCGGUUGCCCAUUAAUCAGCAAAAAUUUCAAUAAAUCCGUUAUACAAACUCGAUCACCUGUUCUACUUCAUUCAUUCUGCUUUUUCAUAAUCCUUUAAUUAUAUUUUAUUAUGUUUAAUUUUAUUUAGUAAGCUAGAGUUUCAAGCCAUCAUUUGAUUGUUAUUCUUUUAUGAUGUCAGUUGUUUGCUGAAUAUUUGAGUAAUAAUAUUAUUUAUCUAAGACAGUAUAUUCCACAUAGUUAUUUUGACAGAAAAAUAAUAAAAAUUCAAAAUUCUUGAAAUUGGAAAAUAAAAACAUACUUUAUACAGUAGCAAAAGUUCAAAUACUUGUAUAAAACCAAAUGACCUUGGAAGUACCGUUGAACCAAGGGAUACACUUUGCAUGAUUUACUCAUCGACGAGGUGGAAAGUAACAUGUGAAGGGCAUGAGGAUGCAAAAGGCUCGUGUUGGGUUUUGAUACCCAAUAAAUCCCAACGAUGAUUUUAAACAAUUCGGAUUAUAUUUCAUAGGCCUCUACCGAUGAGUGAAAUAUUUAUCAUCCAAUCAAUUCAUAUGCUUGACCCAAAAACAACAUGGACCACUAGUAGCAACUUAAUAAGUUUUAAAUAUUGCCUUAGUCCAAGUUCACUUAUAGGGGGGCUUCCUUGUGUCUUUGCCCAAUUGUUGUUAUAACCUAUAUAUAUAUAUACAUAUAUAUAUAUAUAUACAUAUAUAUAUAUAUAUAUAUAUACAUAUAUAUAUAUAUAUACAUAUAUAUAUAUAUAUAUAUGUGUGUGUGUGUGUUUGCCCUUUGUUUGAGAAGAAAGAACCAGCUACCUCUUUUUGAUUUCCUUCAAGCCCUUGCCUUCUUCUAUCUUCUCUUUGCCUUUGUGGCUUGUAAAUCAACACCAUAGCCUUGUCCCUUUGUGGGUUAGAGUUGUGGGUUGGAGUUUUGGUUGGUUGGUUGAUAUUGAUUGGUAAGUUUAAUCCGAGCAUGGAUUCCACAAAUUGAAUAUAUAUUCCAAUACAAUUGUAUCAGAGCACGUUGGUGGUGGAAUUCUGGCAAAAAUUCGACCAGAAUCGAAGCAGAAACUGGCCGGAUCGAAAUUGCACAAAAACUUGCAAAAGUCGAACCUACAACCUCGAUUUUCGAGCAAUUCAGAGGUCUUUUGGUGAAACGGAGAUCGGGUUCUUGAUCUACAGGUGGAGGUGGUGCCUGGUGGCAGGCUCAUCUGGGUAACAGUUGUAGUCGGGGCAUGGUGAUUCCAGCGAGACACUUGUGGGGACAUGUGGGCACGAUUCUCGAGAUGGUUUUUCUGAUGGAAUAUUUCUAACGAUUUUACGUUGUUAGUUUUCUAUUUCAGGUUAUAUGAUAAAAUCUAGACUAUUUUGCCCCUGUGCGUUUGUGGUUCAAUUUUUACUCGAUUGGUUGCUACAAUUCUUAGAGACUUUAGGAUGAAUAGUACUAGUCCUAAAGUGAUAAAUUUGCAUAUCUCAUAAAUUAUAGACUUGGAUUGGUCCACUCUGGUAUAUUAGCUUAUCCUUGUUUAAAUUUCAGCAUUAUCGUGUCAUCUUGUGGGGUAACAUUAGGAAUGGGUUACCAUGAAGGGGUAAUCAUUGCUUGUGCUAGAAAUUUAGAAGUUAUUUGUCAUAUUUGAAGUGUUGAAUUUGAUUGCAAGUAGAUAAUUGAUUUUGUACUUUAACUGUCAUAUAGUUAAUGUGUGAAAUUGCAUUGCGUGAAUUUGAAUUUUUUGUUAACAUACAUUCGUGUUGUACUAAUUAUCCUAUUAGAAUACUGGACUUGACCCGUUUGAACAUUCCCUUGAUUUAAUAUCGUGAAUUUUACGAAACCUUGAGAAUUUUAGAACGUUGUAUAUUGCAGCCUUAAGAUUACUUUGUAUGACCUAUCUAUACAUUUUAGUUGUUCUGUUUUCUUAAAAUGUCUUCAUAUUUUGAAAUUGAAAUUUUUAAUGAGAAAGGAGAUUUUUCUAUUUGGCAACAAAAAAUGAACGGGAUUUUGGUUCAACAAAAAGUUUUAAAAGCCAUGGAUGACAAAUAUCCUGCAAAGCUGACAGAGGCACAAAAAGAAUAAUAUGAUAAAUUCGUUUACACUUCAAUUAUUUUACACCUAUCUGACAUUAUUUUAAAAAGGGUUGGAAAACCUGAUUCUACAAAAGAAUUUUGACAAAAGUUGGAGGACUUAUAUUUGUUUAAGUCCACUCUUAAAAAAUUGUACUAGCUUGAAAGGUUUUUCAAUUUUAAAAUGGAUCCUUUAAACAAUAUUAAUGAAAAUUUGAAUGCUUUUAAUAAAUUAGUUCAAAUUAUUGUCAAUUAUGAUGUAAAGGUUUCUGAAACGUAUAAGGUCAUUAUUCUGUUUAAUUCUAUGCCUAAUUCAUAUAGCGAAGUUAAGAAUGCAAUUAAGUAUGAUAGGAACACCACAACACCUGAGAUUAUCAUAGACUCCCUUAAGUGUAUGGAGAUGGAGAUUAAGAUUGAAGAGGAAGAUAAAAUGAGUGGUGAGUAAUAUCGAGUAGUGAUUCGAGUGAUGAGGGUGGUAAGAAGAAGAGCAAUAGAGUUACACUCUAGUGAUAGACCGUUUUACAGUUGUGGUAAGUCUGAACACUUUAUUAGAAACUGUCCCAAGAAAAAAUAUUUGCAGAAGGGUAAGAUGAGAGGUGGGGAGAAUUUGGUUACAGGGUCGAGUUAUGACCAUAGUGAGGUUUAUUGAAAGUAAACCUAGUUACUGCAUAUGUGUGAUUGCCUAAUUUUGUUGCAUAAUUAUAUGCUGCAUUUCGUUGUAUUUGACAUGUGCGUUUGGAUGAAUUUGAGGCAAUGUGAUUACUUGAUGUAAUUGCUUGCAUUCAUAAUAGGUUAGGAUGCAUUAGUAGUGUGGUGUAUGUCUUUUAGUAAGGUGGAGCUUUAGAUGCCUAGGGGUACAUUAUGGUUUUUAUCGGGAUGUAGAAUGUGACAUUUGAAUUACGAGUGGAGAGAUAAUUAAAUGUCUAGAAUCAUUUAUCUGUAAAGAGAUCCUGAUCAAGUGGAGUAUGAGAGAAACACUUCUACCACUUCUAUUAGGUAAAGACCCAUUAUCCACAUUGGAUGGGAAAAGUGAUGUGGUGAUAGAGGAUUAUCCCAUGUGUUUAGGAUCUAUUGUGACUUACCAGUUAAAUAUGAGUUGAGUGGUCAGUCUAGUAAGCAUGGUAGGCGAUGAGAGGGGAUAUAUGUUUUCGAGGUAUGAGCAACAUGGAAUGAGAUAGGAUAAGUGUGGUAAGAUCCUUUCGUGGGGUCAUUUAUGCAUUUGUCACAUUUGCGUUGGCCAUUUUUGGAUUAACUUGGUGUUAAUCUAUUGUUUUAUGUGAACAUGAUUUUUUGAAAAGAUAUGUGUGUGUGAUCGUGUAUUAUAUCUUCACUGCAUCAUUAUUUAUUCUUGAUUGAUUAUUGUAAAUAUUUGUUUCUACUUAGGUGUUCUUGACUUUAGCCUUAGUGAGUCUAUGGAGCAGGUAUGGUAUGUAUUUCAGGUUUGAAACACGAGGUAAGAUCUGUGAUUCCAAUUUUAUUGGUUAUCUUGAUUAUGCAAGUGCUAACUGUGUGUUUUGAUUACUUGCAGAUUGAUUGGGCAUUAAAGUAGAGAUUUGUUAGGUUUUGAUUCCCAAUAAAUCCUGAACGAUAUGUUAUACAGUUUUGGAUUCCAUUUCAUAGGCUUUGGUUGAUGAGUGAAAUAAUUAUCAUCCAAUCAAUUCAAAUGGUCGACCCGAAAACAACAUGGACCACUAGUAGCAAUUUAAUUGGUUUUAGUGUUGCAUUGACCCAAAUUCACUUAUAGAAGGGCUUCUUUGUGUCUUGCCCCAUUAUCUUGUGUCUUAGCCCAAUAGUUGGUAUAACCUAAAUCUAUAUAUAUACCCAUUCUUAAGUGUAGAAGUCGUGUGUAUAUUUGCCCUUUGUCUGAGAAGAAAGAACCGGCUACCUCUUUGUGAUUUCCUUCAAGCCCUUGCCUUCUUCUAUCUUAUCUUUGCCUUUGUGGCUUGCAAAUCACCGCCAUAGUCUUGUCCCUUUCUAGGUUAGAAAGAAGGAAUGCAACCACAAGUGAAUAGAGUUGUGGGUUGGAGUUUUGGUUGGAUGGUCAAUAUUGAUUGGUAAGUUUCAUCUGAGCUUGAAAUUCGCAAAUUGAAGAUCUAUUCCACUACAUCAUGCCUAAGAGUUACAAACUAUUUUUCAUAAGCAGACUAACAAAAGACUGCCAAUAAGAAGCACAUGGACAAAUGAAUAAAGUGUGACUCCUAACCGAAACAGUUACAAAAUAACCAAUAAGGAGUCGCGAUUUUGCACAACUUGAAAAUGACCAAACAAUCACAACACUUGGAGAAAAAUCUAUAACUACCCUCACAUUUGAGGAAAGAGGCAUGCAAAGAAAUAUCUUUAUUUCAAAUAGUUAUUUCUUCUGUUGUUUUAGUUGAAGCAUCAAAACUAGUAAAUUUAGAAGACGAAAGCCAUAGUUAAGUGAGAAAAUUUGUUAAUUGUAUUUACAUUGAUAUUCGAUUAUAAUUGUUUUGUCAAUAAACUCGUUUAAUUCAAGUUGCAUUGUCAACAAGUACCAAUUUUAUUCAUAAGGGUCAAAAUUAAUAGUUUAAUGAUGGGUAAUUGGAUAAACUUGUCAAAUUUGUAGUCAAUAUUGUUUCGAAAUUAGAAUUAUACCAAGUUUACCAAAUACCUAAAUUAUUAUGAUUGUUUUACAAUGAAAAUUUGGGGCUCUAAAUGUGAUCUCACACUAAGCUUAAAUGUUGUUACCAUCCAUUUGUACUCUAAACCUUGAAAUCGAUUGAAGAUCUAGUGUAUGAGACUCCAUCAAAGUAGAUCUCAACUAGGAUGCGGGAUUUUUAAUUUUUUUAUGGUACAUAUUUUUUAAAAUGCAUUUAUUUUCAAAAUAAUUUUCGGAAAAAUUGCAGCCAAGUUACCAAACAUUUCAUUUAUUAGAAGACUUUGCAUAAACCUUUUAUUUAUAUCACCACGAAUACCAAACCUUUAAAAAAUUGCAGCUCAAGUCCAAAAUGACGGUUUUCGUUAGUUUAACUACCAAAACAAUCAGUUGACACCCAAAAUAAAAAAUAAAUAAAUUAUUAUUUUUCUCAAAUAAGGCAGGACAUUUUGGAUAAAACACAUUUUCUCUAUUAAAUAAAAAAAAUUAAAAAAAAACCUACAACCCAUCCCUAUCUUCUUCUUCCCUAAAAUCAAAAGCAUGGUAGCCACCACCGCCCCACCUAAUACUAACAGCCAUCACUACCCACCCAACAUCAGUAUCUCCAUUCUCUAUUCUUUCAAUAUUUUUUUGCAUUUUUUUAUAAUGGUAGUUUGACAUUAUUUUGAUACAUCUGUGCUGAAAAAGUGUACAAUUCUUUUGUUAGAUUUCUGUAUAAUAUGAGCUAAUUUGAUCACCUAGAAGCUUUUAAUUGUGUGACUUUUGGAAAUAUGAGGUUUUUUGGUUGGUAUUUGGAGAUAAAAGGAGAAGAAAAGUUAACCUAUAGUGGGGUAAUUGAAGUUGAAAAUUUGUACUUACAUCGCACUUCAGAGCAAUGAAAAGUGAAGUGUAGAAAUGGGCUGUGGGAUUGUUCUAUAUAAUCUUAGUUGCAACUAUAUGGAUUGCUGCUAGUUUUGCGAUACAGUCUGUUGUAGAUGGAGGUGUGUCGCCAUUUCUUGUAAUGGGUGAAUUGUUAUAGAUGUUGGGUGAAAUGGGUGAAUUGUUUUCCCUUCUCCUCAGCUAGCUAGGGCUUGCGGUUGUACUGGAGGUGGCUGUUGGCGGUGGCUGUGGAGUGGUUUUGAUUUUGGGGAAGAAGAAGAUGGGGAUGGGUUGUAGAUUUAUUUUUUGAUUUUUUUUAAAUCUUUGAUAUUUUAUUUAAAAUGCCCCUGUCUUAUUUGGGGAAAAUUUUGAAGUUUUUUUUUUUAUUUUGGGAGUCAACUGACGAUUUUGGUAUUCAAACAAACAAAAAUCGUCAUUUUGAACUUGAACUGCAAAUUUUUUAAAGGUUUGAUACUCAUGGUGGCGCAAACGGGAAAAAAGGGCAAAAACUGCUAAUGAACGAAAGGUUUGGUACCUUGGCUAUAAUUUUCUAUCAAACAUUCUCAUAUUACAAUAAUUUUGCACAUGAAUCCAUAAUUUUUCUUACUUUUUAAUCACAAUUCCUUCAAAAAUAUUAUUUUUUAUAAAAUAUAUUCCCAAAAAAUCUUACGUCAAACGGGCCUAAGAACGAAACUAGAUAAAAACUUUGUGUUCUUUGCUUCAGUACUUGGGAUUUCUAGGUUCAAUAAUGUCAAUGGUUUUGACAAACCUCACAUGGGCCCUAUCGUCGCUUCCUAGUAGGGGGUUGGGUUCAGCUUCAAGUUUAAUAAAUGAAUUAUUUAUUGAUGAAAGUUAAUUGAAGGAGGUUUAGUCAAAGGAACAUACCUGCGGUUGGUUUGCUAAAGCUGCAAGAUGCAUCAACGUAUUGCCUUCCUUGUUUUUCCAGCUAAACACCUCCUUAGAAUUGGUCUUCCCAGCCCAACCAAACAAAACCAAAAAAGCUCUAAAAUUGUUGUUUCUUACAGCAAUAUGCGCAGCAGUCUCAUCUCUAACCGUCAAGUCAUGUAUUGAGUGUGGACAUACGAGAAGAAAAUAAAUCAAAAGAUCAAUUUCCUCCUUUUUCACUGCGUAAUGCAAAAGAGUGAUCCCUUCCCUCCCUGGGACACGAACGAGGCCCGGAUCAUGCUUAACGAGUUGUUUCACAGUGUUGGUGUGUCCCUUAUCCAAAGCCUUGUGCAGUGGACUAAGACCAUCAAGGUUCAACUUCUUCCCCAGCGAAGGCUUUAGCCUCAAGAUUUCAAGAGCAAGG